rnacentral:lncRNA from 1 species
AAAAAAAAAUAGUGAAGACAAAAUACAUCCAUACAAAUAUUAUUUUAAAUUGUUUUUGUCUCAUUUUACUAGGGAUGUAGCUCUUAGGGUUGUGAACAAUGGAUGAUUAUGUUCGAAAAUUAGGCUCAAAUCCUCAAACUGAACAAGUAUACGGCUCAACAUCACAUAUCCAUUUCUACCUACUUCAUGACUCGGUUUAGUCGGAUUCGGUUUAAUCAGAUUUGUUGGAAACACGGGUGGGUUGAAUCGGGUUAUCCGGUACCCUUCAGUUACGAUUUCGGGUUUCAAAAAGGUUGGGAUUUCAAAGCUUCAAGAUAAAGGCGACAUACAAACAUGAAAGAAACUGGGAUUUCAGAGCUUUGAUAAGGUUGGUGAAUGAGAAAUUGAAGCAUCGAGAGGGAAAUUGAUCUGAAGUGGUGUGUUGGUGUAUGAAGGAGAGAUGUUAGAAUAAUUCAGAACAUGAGACAGAAGCAAAGAAAGAGAGAAACUAAGAAACGGCGGAAAGAAGGUGAUGGAUGUUCUCCAUAAACAAAAUCAAACCCUAGUUUUGUUUUACAUUGUUGGGUCAUUAAUCAUAUAAGUUAGUUUGAAUAUGGUUCAACCCACAAACAAUUUUAUCUAAUUAAUCAUAUAAUUAUUAUAUAUAUCAGACGGGUUCGGUUUCCGAUGGACUCAGACCACCCACCUGGAACCCACCGUGCCUAACCAAUAUAUUAUGGUUUUAUGCAACCCGCUUGACCCGAAGCCCUGAAUAAACAUAACUGCUUGCUUUCGAGUGUUCUGCUCCGGACGGUUUGGGCCAGUUACAAUUUUUCCCCAGCCCUAGCAGCUGCAGAGAUUCAAUAAAAAUAUCAUCUUCAAUACUUUAUAUUUUUAAUUCACAAGCAAACACCAAAGAUAGGUCGAGUAUUUGGUCUUCUCAAGUCAUGCUCUCAAAGAUAUGGAUUGAUAUGAAUUAGAACAUCAUGUAUCAACGUUAAUUUCUCUAUCAUGACAAACGUCUUGGAUAAAAGCUUCUUCUCGAAAAAUUUCCUCAACAGUGAACAAUACCGAUUCAAAGAAAACAACUCAACGUUCGAAGGCACCCUCGUAGACUUGAAUUCCUUCACUAACAAGGCAACAUAAAAUAAGCCAUCCUACUUGACAAAUCACUGCAUGUCAUAGCAAGCACACCUCGACAACAAAAUGUUCGUUGAGGAUGAUUUUUGUUCUUGUCCCUUGAUUCAAACUUAAAACAUUUUAGUCAAAGCAAAUGAUUAUCCAUCUCCAAAUUACCCACAUUAACGGUGCAUUCAGAGACCCUUCUUGAAAGAAUCUUCUUCGUAUUACCGAUAAAACAUUAUUGUCCAUUAAGCUCAACACACUCUUCUUGUAUAAGGUCAUACAAAUUCAUCACUCCUGGCUACGGAUUGACGACUUGGGGGCAAUUGUUUUGAACUAACCCAAGGUCCUAAAUAUUCAUUACAUAAGGCCCAACUAAACUAGAUUCUUCUCAUCUUUGGAUCUCAUCAUUUUGUAAGGUCUCAAUGACUAGUAACAGUUGAUGAAGCCUAACAUUGAUGAGCAUCGUUCGAAACGAAUCUUUUAUCACUCUCAAACAACUUUCUUUUUGUGCUUGUAAAAAGCAUCAUUUACCACAAUGCAAGGUACAUAAUUUCUGUCAACUUAAUGCCCCCACUUCUUAAUCUCAUACUAACUUAAGCGUCAUAGUGCUUGCAGGUAUCACCGCAGUUGUUCAACUUCAACCAACUCAUCUCGAUCACGCAAGAUCACUAGUGAUUAAGUAAUUUUUUAUUAUUAAUUUUUCAUAUCUUAUACCCAACAAAAUUAAAAUAUUAAACUAAAAUAUAAUAUGGGUCAUGUUAACUUGUGUCAUGUUAAGAUCUAAAAAAAGAAUUAAAACAUAAGUUUUGUAUUGAAAAAUAACUUUUUAAUCUUUCAAGACAUUGAAUGCACAAUUUCCAAAAAUAAGUUUCUACAUUUGGAUUCUAAACUUGUGCCUUCGAGUUAACAUUUCCCAUAUAAUAUUUAUAAUUUUAAAUCAAAAAUAUUAUAUUAAACCCAAAGGCUUGAUAAGAUUCACAAUUAUGAAGAGAAUAACGAGUUCAUAGGGCAGCUAGAUCAAGUUGAAGCUUCAGAUCUUGAAGAAAUACAAGAGGAUUUCAAAUCCCAUGGAGAAGUUCAAGAGGAAUCUAAUUAUAUAGAGGAAAUUAAAGGUUUCCAAGAACCAACACAAUUACGCAAGAUAAAAGAAUAAGAAAGCCACCUGGUUACCUUAAACUCUUCUAGUAAGUCCUAUCAUAUCUUUCAUUAUGUCGGUUAUAGCUUUUCUGCAAAGCAUAGGGCUUCUCUUGCAGCAAUUACAUCUAAUAUUGAGCCCAAGAAUUAUGUGCAAGCUGCACAAUAACAAGAGUGGCUUGCAGCUAUGGAGCAAGAGAUUCAAGUUCUAGAAGAAAAUAACACAUCGACCCUUGAACCAUUGCGAGAAGGAAAGAAAUGGGUUGAUUGUAGACCGGUCUAUAAGAUUAUUCAUAAGGCUAAUGGAGAGAUAGAGAAGUAUAAAGCUCAAUUGGUCGCAAAAGAUUUUGUGCAAGUUGAAGGAGAAGAUUUUUGAGACCUUUGCUUGAGUAACAAAGAUGACAACUGUCGCUGCUUAUUGACUAUUGCAGCUGCUAAAGGUUGACAAUUACACCAAAUGGAUGUGAGCCUUCCAUGAUCAACCUCCACACCUCAAAGCUUCCUGUACGACACCAAUUUGCUGCAGCUAUGAAUUGUCCCUACCAAUCCCUAAUAAUGCACCCAAAUCCCAAUUACCACAUUGAUGUUGGGAGAAAAGUAAAAGAAAUAAAUAUUAAAAAUCAGGAAAUACCAAAUUAGACAAGUGACCAUUAUACAAUUUGGAAGGCUUACAAUUAGGGUCAAAUUGAUUUCAAUUUCAACUAAAUAAAUGACAUAGCAAUCUAAUUAACAUUUGAGGCUAACGCUAAAUAUUAAGAGAAAGUCCUCAAAGAUGAGAAAGAAAAGGUAGACAAUCCAUAUUCAUCCCAAUGCCAGAAACAUACAGUCAGUGUAAGCUAUAACAAAUUCAAAUUCAAUCUUGGGUGAGGAUGCAGAUAAAGACUCGGUAAAUGCAUCUACUUUAUUGUCUUUAAUCUAAUUCUAUGAACAAUUUACGUUUCUUACUUUCUUAAAUGUCCCAAAUGGGAAUAUGGAUUCUCUCGUGUGUAAUUUAUAAGUGUGAUCUCUCACCAUUCAUCAAAAGAUGGAAACACAUGAGAAAUUUAGAUAAAGUGAACUCUCUCAUGUUUAAAUUACACAUGAGAGGUUCCAUUCCCCAAUCCAUAUUUCAAGUGGUUAAGCUGAGCUUUGGACAUUUGAAAAGAGUUUGAGAAGUAGAUACAUUGUUCAAAUUCAAACCCUGACUAGUAAAUUUGAAAACAAAAUUAAGCAUAUGAGUAGGACUCCGAUUUCACGUUGAUACAACUAUGGCAUUUGAUGUAAUGACAACACAAAUAGGAAACUACCAGCAUACAGAACAGAACUCAUGAGAGCGCACAAUAUUAUUCAAAAUAGAACAGAGUAAAAUCACUUGUUUAAGCCUAAUUCCUUAUCAAUUGCAAUUUUACCAGUUUCAAGAUCCUCAUCAAAAAACAUAUCCCAAUGACUAUCCCAUUUGAUGAAAAACUCAGUAUCCUCAUGAUAUUUCACUCUGUGCACGUCACCAGCAGGUGUAAACAAGUAAUCCCCAACCGUUAGAUCAUAUCUCUCUUCUUUUGUCAGAUUCCAAACACUCUUCUUCCCUUCAAUCACCACUAAAUCAUGUCCAAAGGUAUGAUGAUGUGCCGGCUCGACGCUCCCGGCUUUAAACCUCACGAACGCCGACGUCGGAGUUUCUCUAAUGAUCUUCAUUGAUCCGCCAGGAAUCAAAUCGAUCGGGUUCAGUUCCCGGUUCUUCACCAAACAACAAACCGCACACGAGUCAACCGGUUCCGGUUCGCUUUUUCCAAUUUCCGGCAUUUCAACUAGUGAUUUAUCUAGAAAAUUCUCAAUCUCUUGCGGCCAUGGUUUGUUAUCGUUUGCAGGACACGGAGACUUGAACGGCGUGUUCAGCCACGUCUUCACGAUCUCGAUUGCGGUUUCCGGUGACGUAUACUUGCCGGAGACAGCGAGGACGUUUGAGUUGUUGAUUGAUCGGGCGUUGACGGCGUCAGAAGGGGUGAGACAAGUGGCGGCGAACACGCCGGGGAAUUUGUUGGCGAAGAUGGAAACACCGGCGCCGGUGCCGCAGGCGACGAGACCGCGGACUUCUUGGGAGGAAGAGGAGAUGGAUUGAGAGACGCGGCGACCGACAACGGCACCGGCGGAGUAGUAAGAAGAGGUUCCGAGAUCUUCGACUUGGAUGUUGAGGGAACGGAGGUGAGAGAGUAAUGCAUCUUUGAGAGGUGUGCCGAAGUCAUCGGCGCCAGCGAUGAUUUUGAUGUGUUUGCUGGAUUCUGCCAUGAAUGAAUGAUUUAUGGAAUGCAAAUAUGGUGAAAUAUAGAGUGGACUGUGAGUGGAGAGAAAGUGAGAGUUGUAUUAGUAAUAGUAGGCUUAAAUGCAAUUUUAGUCCCCCUAUUUUGAUUGAAUCUGAAUUUUAUCCCCUCUAUUUUAAAACUCGGAAUUUUACCUCCUCUAUUUUUAUUGAUUCUGGAUUUUGCCUCCCCUAUUUUAAAACUCGGAAUUUUACCCCCCUAUUUUAUGUUUUUCAGGAUUUUGCCCCCUCCUCCUAUUUUAUCCACAUAAUUAAUUAUUUGUAUUAAAUAUUUUUUAAUGAAAAAAUAAAAAUAACACCAAAAAAAUACUAAAAAAAAUGAAUAAAAAAUACUGGAAAAAAAUGCAUAAAAUUAGUAUGAUCUCUAAAAGUAAAAUUAAAAACUAGUAUGAAAAUACAAGAAAAUAGCAAAUAUUUAGAGGUGUAAACUAGUUUUUUCAUGUAUUCUUAAUUGAAUUUUUUCUUGUAAUUACAUUGUUUUUCUAUUUUUAGUUUUUUUUUUCUUUUUUGUUUUCUUGUUUUCCUUAUACUUUUUUCCAAAUUAAUAUUCGUUUCUUUAUUUUUCUAGUAUUUUUUGGUUCUUUAUUUUAAAAUAGGGGUAAAAUUCUGAAAAACGUAAAAUAGAGGGGGUAAAAUUCCGAGUUUUAAAAUAUGGAGGGCAAAAUCCCGAUUCAAUCAAAAUAGAGGGGGUAAAAUUCCGAGUUUUAAAAUAGGGGGGAUAAAAUUGCAUUUAAGCCGUAAUAGUAUUAUCGAUUCAUUGAAUCUAGACAAAUUAUAAUUUUUUUUUUUGUGGUGACACAAAUUCUAAUUUGAUCAAUAUGGUGAAUUAGAUUAUAUUUUUUUAAUUAUCAAAAAUAUUUUUAAAAAAAUGUAUCCUUCAUAUUCUUGAGGGAAAAUGCAUCCUUAAUAUUAGAAAAUUAUAUUAAACUCUUAUUAUAUAUAUGUACUUUAUCUAGAAAAUUAUAUUAAACUUGUAUUAUAUAUAUAUAUAUGUACUCUCACUGAUCAUGCUAUGAUAGAAGAUGAUCGACAACCGGUGUAGGUGUGAUGCGGAGGAAUGUUGUUGAACAUAGUGCAAUGUGGUAAUUUUUCGUUAGAACGGAUGGUGUCUGUGUAAAGACUUUUCAACGUUCAAUUUGUACAACAAUUUUGAUACAACUUUUGUAUAAUUUUCUCUCUCAUACUCACAUUAUGUUUUUAGUCUCUCUCUAUUGUUUUUAACCAAUGAGAAGAGAGAACAACAAAGUUGUCUCAAAAGUUGCACCAAAAUAGUUGUCAAAAUAUCACUAGUCUUUGAGAAUUUUCUCAUAAUGAGAGUGCAUACCUUCUUGUUGUAGUGUGUUUAUCCUUUUAUCGGUUGUUAAGGGUACCAUGUAGUCAUAGAGCGGUUAGAAGGUUUCUCCCUUUGUGGACGGAUGUUUGAUCGUAAGUGUAGGAUCUCGAUUGACAUUGGAUGUUUUUCUCAUGCUUUAUGAUAGUCCUUACUUUGACUAGGCACGGUAUUAGGCCCUCUACCUUUAGGGAUUAUAAUUUUUUAUAGAACUAAUAAUAUAGAGAAAAAUUUUAAAAAGUAAAAAGGAAAAUAAUUUGAUUGUGAGAGAGUUGUUACAUAUCAAGUAGUACAUUUAGAUUUAUAUAGCCAAUUAGGUCAAGUAACUCUUAACUAAUCUAACUAGUAACUAUCUUUUAUAUCUUUAAUAGUCUUGUGCACGUUGAAAGGUGUUUACAACACUUCCAACUUAGGAAAUACAAAAAAUAAAUACCAAAGAAUAUUGACACAAAAAAUAUGAAAUGCCUAAAUACAUGGAAAAAAAAUGGAUGAUCAUCCUUUUUUUUUAGGGAGAUUAUCUAAAACCUUAAAAAUAUCGAUCUUGAACAAGUUCACAAGCUGUAGCCUCGUUCUAAAUCUCUAAAGAAGGAAAAUGAAUUUGUUUAUAAUCUUCUCUUGGAUCUUCUCCUUCUACUUGGAACGGUUGCUUUGUAUGUUGUAAAGCUUCUUGGAUGAAAAUUCCUUCCUGUUCUUGGAAGGGCUUAUCAUACACCCACUUCUUGGAGAAAGUUAAACAAAAUAUAAGAUUUAGCACCAAAUUUGCAAACUUUUUUUUUGUCUUGAAUAUUGUAUCUUGCAUGUUUCCACAUUCUUCUUGAAGUUUUAGUGCUCACCCUCAUUGGCUUGCAUUUCUUGUUAUCACGUAAAACUUGCAAGGACUCGCAUGCUAACAAUUUGAGUUACACAAGGUGACAAACCUCCAUGUAUGGAAGACAUCAACCCAGACAAGGGAACAAGCAUUCUUCAAAAUUGCAACGCUUCUCUCCAUUAUCAUCGUCAUCAGUGGAAGUGGAAGGCGUGGCCAAAUAUUCAUCUGCUCCACCGAGUUCCCAACUCAAUAAGAAACAAAAGACCAACCUUGUUGUUGGAGGGGAAAAUUAUGGGUUCAAGGGGGAUUAAGAUUGGGGUUGGCCUAGUGGUUGGCUUGAGAUUUUGUAGUUUGCUCUUCUCAAGAUUUUAGGUUCGAUUCUCACUUGUGCCAAUUUCGGUGUGCAAGUCCAUACAUAGCUUGCUUAGAACGGGGCCUCUGCAAGUGGGCGGUGGGAUUGGUCCCUUGAAUUAGUCGGUCCUUGAAUCGGAUACUGAGUUUUAAAAAAAAAAUUGGGGUUAGAAAAACUUAUUUUUUGUAAAAAAAAAAAAAUGAUUUAACUAGGAGAGGAAAUACCCAAACCGUCAAAAACAAGGAAAGAAUUCAAUUUUACAUCGGUAUCAGAAGAAUUCGGGGACGGAGAAGGUGUCACCUGAUAAGGUCUGACAACACUCUGCUUAGUUUAAAGAGUAUCUUUGCUUCGUAGGUUGUGGUAUAUAAAACAAUCAAAUUGGUUGAUUAUUUAAAAUAAUCAAAUUUGAUCUUUUCAAAGUUCUUUGUUUGUGUAUUUGAAAAAUUUGCUUCCCCGGGCUCAGAUUAGUUGGGGUGAGUUAGGGUUAUUUCAAUUUGGGCCCCAUUCUUAAUUUUUUGCGGGCUGCCCGUGGCCCGAACGGGCUCCGGGCUUUUUUGGGCCGGGCUAAAAAGCCCUGGAAAAAUUCGGGCUCCAAUUAUUAGGCCCAAGCCCUACGUUUUAUGCGGAUUUUCGGGCCGGCCCAUUUUGACAGCUCUAUUUUCAUUCAUAACUUUCACCCCCUUGUAUGAAUUUCAUUUAUAUUUUUAGAGAAUGCAGUAUUUCAUUUUGAAUUUAACUUAUCAUUUGAGAUUUUAGUUACGGUAUGAUGAAGGGACAAUAUUGAAAGGGAUAGCAUGGGGAGAGUAGAUAGGACGAGGUAUGUGAGGGUCUACGUUCCAAAUCCCAAACAAAGCAUGUGUGGGGAUUGGGGAUGGUGCUUUGCAUUUGCACGAGGUUGUGGGAUCCACGUCCUAGGAACCAAUCGUUUCUUAGUCCUAAAGAUUCUUUUUCAUGUUUCAAACAAGAGUCCUAAAGAUGGAGUUUUUUUUUUAACAAGCAUAAUGCAUUAAAAAUGAACAAUUUUAUAAUACUAUUAAUUUCAUGUGUUUGUAUAUUUAAGGACAGACAAUGCUACUACAUUUCCAGGGAGGAUCCUGAAGAUGUUGCGGUAUCCUUCAAUAAAUAGAUAUUCUUUAAUAAUAAUAAUUAAAGUAUUGUUAUGGAAUGAUAUUUUGCAUUGUAAAAGUAAUUUUAAAUUUAAGUUCAUUUUAAAAUAACUAAAUAUAAAAAAUGAAAUGAUUAGAUGUUGGAUGCAUAUCCAACAACACUAUCAUAGUGUUCAUUUUUUUCUUUAAUAUGGAAAAGAAAUCACUUGAGUGAGUCAAUUUCUUUCUUUUUUAUCGUUCGUUCGUCCACCGUUUGAGGUGAGUUCCUCGUCUCACACCUCAUGCUCAAAUGGGUACACACACCAAUGCUUAUUGGGAUUUUUGUAUGAGAAUAUGCGGUUAUAUUACUCUCUCCGUCAGGGACGGAGCACCCUAUGGGCCGAGGUGGGCCACGGCCCACUCCAAAAAUAAUAAUUCUUAGUAGGUAUAUAUAAAUAUUACAUCUUAAUUUGAUAUUAUAUAUAUUAUUUCGUGCGAUUUAGUAGUGAUAUUCUAGUAUGUUGUAGUGGUUAAGAAGCUUUUUGCCAAGUAUAAUGUUCUAGGUUCAACUCCUGCCUAAGCCAUUUUCCUUUUUUUUUUUUUUUUUCCAUUUUUUUUUAUUUGAAAAAAACAUCCUGCAUGCUAGAAGUCUAAAGUUAAAAUUCAUAAAACACAUAACAUAUAUAUAAUAUAAAUGUUAAAAGAUCCUUAAAUAACAUUAUAUCAUAAAAUCCUUAAAAAAAAACAUUAUAUCAUAAAAAUAUUUAAUUUUUUUUGGUUACAUAAAAAUACUUAAUUGUAUAAACACUAUUUUUUAGGUGCAAAAAUACUAUAUUAUUUAUUAAAUAAAAAUAUAUUUCAUUAUUGUACUUGAUUAUAAGUAUAUUUUCUUAUGUAAUGAUCUUUUUUACAUUACUAUAUGCUAUGGGUUUUUUUUUACUCAGUCGUCUGAUUCAUAUACAUUUGUUUAUAGAAGUCAAGAGUCAUUUAAUUUAACCAUGAGGUUCAAUCGAUGACCUAGUUGUUCGAUCAAUUAUCUUGUACUUUGUCCGAGUUGAUAAUCGGUUAAGAUUUAAAAAUAUUGGUUUGAACUAUAUUCAACAAAUAACAAGUCUAUAGUCAUUCGAACGAACCAAUGAUAAAAUGUGCCGAUAAGAAAAUAUAUAUUUUCAUACACUAAACAAAUUGGCCGCCCACAAAAAACUUAAGCUCCAUAAGUAUUUACGGAUCACCCUAGAUUUAUUUCAUGGCUCCGCCACUGCUCUCCGUCUUAAAAUAUAAGCAAAAAAAUAUCACUUUCUUUGUCUCAAAAUAUAAGCAAAAAAUACCAACUUUUAUGAUAUUAUUAUGUUUUUUCAAACAAAUCAUCUUUUCCAAUGUAAAAUUAAAUGUAAAUUGCAUUCAAUUUAUUCUCCUUUUUAUUUUCUCCAUAAUUUUUAACCAAUGAGAAUUAUUUUUACAUCUUUCCAUGAAACUUAUUUUAAGGAGAACACAAAAAAUUAUAUCUCAAAUCAUUAAGUGUUAGUUUUCUUAAUAUGUGUGAAUUUGUGUUUUUUGCUUAUAAAUUAGGACGGAGGGAGUAUGUGAUGAGUAGUUCGUUUCUUCUCUCCAUUCUCUCUCAAGUAAAAAUACUCGAUAGAAUAUCACAAUAUAGAAUAGUAAAUCAUAAGGCAGAAUAAUAUAGGACAAACUUUUAUGGAAUUGAAUUUUUUUUUUUGUCAUACAUUAUUUUUUAUGGAUAAAAGACUAUUUUAGUGUUUUAGAUAACUUGUACUUGAGAUAAAAAGUUACGCUUUUAUUUAGUGAGUCACAAGAAUUUCAAUUUUAAUUUUGUCGCAACAGUUCUACAAUCAGACACUCUACGACUUGAGUUGUCCUAUUAUGUCCUAUAUUUUUUAACAGAUCAAAUGCUCCAAAGGUAUAUUUGAGUAAAAGUAAGCAAGUCAUCAUAAUUAUAUAAACCCCUAAAAAGUCAUAAAUAAAAAAGAAAAACUCAUAAUAUUAGUUAUAAUGUAAAUAAAUGAAAUUUCACUCUGAUCACUAUUAUAGAUAAAUAUAUUUUUCUCAAAUUUAAAAGAAUAAAUUAUGUAUUGUUCAUAAGUCUUAGUUCGAUUAAUAAAAACGUUAAAAUAAGACAUCAUGAUCGAAUUCAAACAUCCACUUUUUCACUUGUGUCAUUAAGUUUCCAAUGACUCUACUACUGUUUCGUCUAUUAACAAACAAAUAAUGUAUUCGAUAAAUUUAAAAAAAAAUGUAUCUCAUACAUAGACUAAUACCUCAAAUUCGUCCUUGAAUUUUGAAAAAUGAGCCAAAUUCGUCCUUGAAUUUUGCGAAAUAUCUAAUUAGUCCCCGAAUUUACAAAAUGUCAAUCAAAUCAGUCCCUCCGUUAAGUUGGUAUGUUAACGGAGGUGACAUGUAACGUUAACCUCUUACAAGGCUUACCACGUCAGAUGUCACGCAAGCAGUGACCAAAUUGAUUGAUUUACAUAAAAUUGUCAAGGACCAAAUUGAUUGAUUUUCAGAAAAUUGCCAAGGACCAAAAUUCCCAACGACUAUUUCUCCUCUUUCUCUUUAACGGCUAUUUCUUCCCCAAUUAUAUAAAUUUGGAACCCUAAUGUUAUAAUUUGUCACCUAGAGUUCAAAAUCCCCAAAAUGUCUUCCAUGAAUUGAUGUCAAAGUUCUUCCCCAAUUCAAAAAACUUAAAACCCUAAUUUUUUUUAUUCAAUUCGAAAUUCAAAAAUCAGUGGUCAUUGUUGAAGAUUUGGUGUUCAGAAAUGAUGGGUGGUGGACGUAUGGGAAAAAACAGCUACAACAGACAGUCUUCAUCUUCAAGCUCUCUGUUCAAUGAUGAUGUGAGAGAGAUUCAAUGUUGGUGUCCUAGAAUUUGUGUUGUAAGAAAAACCAACAUUGUCAAUAACCCAGGAAGGCCUUUCUAUGUUUGCCCUCUUCCAAAGUUUUGUUUAACAAUGGUUAUGUGAUGUGUGAAUGGUUUGUUUAAAUGGUACUGAUUUUGUCUUUUGAUUGUACAGGAUAAUGGUGAAAAUUGUAAAUCUUUUGUGUGGGUUGAUGAAGCUGAAGAACUAGGUUAUUUUAAAAACAAUGGUGCUGGUCAUGGAAGAAAUGCAAGGUUGAUGGAGAAGCCAAAGGAUAGUGGCAGAGAAGAGGUUUGGAAGGCAAGGUUGAUGGAUAAAGUUGAUUGUGUAGGAAGUGAGCUUAGGUUGAUUAAGAUAUUGAUAGGAGUGAUUUGUUUGAUUGAGUUGUUUAGAAUUUUAUUUUAUUGUGCCAAGUCUGUGUAAUGCUGUAAUGUUGUAAUGAACAGUGGUUGUCAAUGAAUGAAUUCAACCUUUCUGUCAAAAAAAUUCAAUCAAAUUGGUCCUUCUAUUAUAUGUCUAUCCAUCAUAUCGAUCCCCAAAUUAGUGAAAUUACCAUCAAAUAAGUCCUUGAAUUUUCACAACAUACAUCAUGUGAUCAUGCAUACAUUUGCUGAACAAAGUAAAAAGUAAAAGACAGACACAUUGAUUGUAAAAAGACAGACAUUUACAUACCAUCAUAACUGAUACAUUUGAUGUUCAUAAGUCAUUACAUAGCCAAAAAAAAUAACAUUGCAGAGCCAUCAAGUCAUUCGAUGUUCUCAAGUCAUUACAUAUCCAAAAAAGCAUUAAUUAAACAAGUCCAAAAAGUAUUAAUUAAACUACUCCAAAAGCAUAAUUUAAACAAGCAUCAUUGUUUUGGAAAUCCUGGAGUUGGGAUAAACUCCAUGUAUUGGAGUUGGGUAGAAGCGGAUGACCCGUAAUUUGGAUUUGGAACUCUGGUAACUCUAAGAACAGUUGGAUUUUGUGGAGCAGGACCCCUCAGUGGUGUUUGUUUAUGCCUGUCAUUUAAAAUCACUGGUCCUCUCAUGCCAUAUCUCUUUGUACUCAUUCCCUGAAAUAAAAUCAAUCACAUCAGGACUUAAAUUAUAACAAUAUCCAUCAAAUUAGUCCUUAAAUUAUCACAAUAAGUAUCAAAUCGAUUCUUAUAUAGGGGUAUAAUUGGAAACCCAAGAAAAAUUACACUGAAAAGUUAAAUCUCGAAUUUUUACAAUUUCCAUCAAUUUAGUCCUUGUACACGUGGCUGCCUUGUUGACACUUGUACAGGACAACACAUCAUGCAAGAGAACACAUCAUCACCACUAACGGAGCUUUUGGACGGAAUGACCAUUUUGAUGGACGUCUGUAAAAUUUAGAGACUAAAUAAAUAUUUCGCAAAAUUCAAGGACGAAUUUGACUGAUUUUUUAAAAUUAAAGGACGAAUUUGAGGUAUUAGUCAUCGACUCAUCGUAUAUAUAUACACUGUGAUAGUGAUAGUAGUAGUGUAUAGUACCCACCAAUACCUUUUUCCCUCCCCCUCACCUCACUCACUCCUCCUCCUUCAGUGGCGAGUAGUUGUAAGACUAGUAACCUCCCUUUACUUUUAUUUAUUUAUUUUUACCCAUUUUCGUUCGUUUCCGUUUUCUUUUUCACUCUCACUCUCUCUCUCUCCCUUUUUCGGAUCGUGUCACCAUCGCCAUCUUCUUCUUGAGGUUCGUUCGUUCUUUCGUUUUCCUUUUUUUCCGUUUUAAUUUCUUUUAUAUAUUCAUCUAUCUAUCUAUAAUCUAUCUAUUAUAUUAUUACUAGUAUUCUGCUUUUUCUUUUUUGCUUUUUGAGUUUUCAGAGAACAAACAUUGACAGUUAAACUAGUUUGCUACUUUUCCUUUUUGUUUAAUUUCACACUGAACAAACAUUCUCAAAAUUUGUCCUUUUUUGUUGUUGUUUUUGUUGAUCCAAUUCAUAACCAUUUUUCCAAUCCAACUGUGUCUGACACAGGUUUUGCAAUUAAGGUAACUUUCACUAUUCUGGGUGCUUUGGUGGGUCUCCAUCUGUUUGUUGAAAAACCUAAACCAACAAAAUGAAGGAUUUUCCUUCUUGUUUUGGUGAAAAUGGUGUUCAAGUUGCGGAUUCUUCUUCAUCGUCUUCAAGUGCUGCUAGAAAUGCUCAGAAUAACAUGGUUACUUGUGUUUACCAAUGCCGGAUACGUGGUAGGUCGUGUCCGAUUACUGUCAAUUGGAGUAAGAAUAUGGUGGGUCAACUUCUCACUGUUGGGAUCCAUGAUUGUCUUUGUAAGGUGGAUGUUAAACCUUGGGUUUUUUCUAAGAAGAAAGGUUGUAAGAGCCUUGAGGCUUUUUCUGCUAAAAUUGAUGUCUUUUGGGACCUAUCUUCGGCUAAAUUUGGUUCUGGGCCGGAACCGUUGGGAGGGUUUUAUGUUGGAGUUGUUGUGGAUCGUCAAAUGGUUCUUCUUCUCGGGGAUUUGAGGAAAGAAGCUUUCAAGAAAACCAAUGCUGUUCCGCUGCCGUGCAGUUCCAAUGCAGCUGUUUUAGUUGCCAAGAAAGAACAUGUUUUUGGUAAGAAGUUGUAUGCUACAAAGGCUGUGUUUUGUAAUAAUGGUCAAAUUCAUGAUCUUGUGAUUGAAUGUGAUACUGCAAGUGGUGUUAGUGAUCCGAGCCUUAUAAUUCGUCUAGAUAGCAAAAUUGUGAUGGAAGUGAAGCGGUUGAGAUGGAAGUUCAGAGGGAAUCAUACUAUCCUUGUUGAUGGCCUUGCAGUGGAUGUUUUCUGGGAUGUCCAUAAUUGGCUCUUUGGUGCUUCUCUUGCAGAUGCUGUCUUUAUGUUCAGGACGUGCCUCUCCGCGGACAAGUUGUGGACUACACAAGCACAGCCCCUUUCUUCUGAUGAUGAUAGUCUGCUGCAGUGGUCUUUUUCCGAGAGGUUUUCUGACACUAGAUUUUCGGAUCUUGGUUUCUCGCUUAUUUUGUAUGCCUGGAAGAACUUGUAAAGAUGCAGAAAUCCACCAUAUAUUUAAUACUAACAGACAUCUUAGUGAGUUUUCUAUUCAUCAACCAUGUCACUGAAAUACAGUCGACAGAAAAUGAGUCCUUUAGUUUUGUUUCUUUCGAUCCACCUGUUAAAUUCACAUCCUCGAUCUAGCUAAUUGGCUGAGCUAUUUGAACAGAUCAGUUUUUGUUUUGGAAAUCCAAAAGGCUGUAUAUUUGUCCUGAGGUGUUAAUCUAUGGUCUAUUUGAUUUAAAGUUUGCUUCUUGUGCUUUUUAGCUUAUCACAUGUCCAUUCUUUUGAUUAGUAUGUACAUACAUAUUAGUAAUUAAUAAUUAUACACAGCUCCGGGUUGUCGAAUGUUUUAACUUCUAGUGUUGAGAAAUGAGAAUUUAUUUGAUCAAAUAUGUAAUGUGGAUACUCCAAACUGAUAAUGCAUAAUUAUUACAAAAUUACUUCAAUUAUAAGCUAAGGGGAGCUGAGAUUGAAGGUUGCCUAAUUACAAUGUCACUGCUCUUUCAUUUUUACGACUAUUGGAGGCUUUCUUCUAUGCUGAGGCAACUGAGAUGAUUAAGUUAUCAUCAGUCUCUGGACCAUUAAUUCUUGUUUUGUACACUACGCGUGAGACAUGGAUAUGAAUAUUUUGCGCAAAUUGGGUGUCAGAUUCUGACCAAUUAUAUAUUAAUACGUUGUUAGAUGCCAAAUAUCAUUUUAGUUUACUCUAUCUAAACACUCCAUUCUCCCAUUGUUUGUGAAUCAUUGUUGUCUUUACAUGCUGAAACUGAAACAUUCGCCCUGCUCAUUGUGAUCUCUUAAGGACAUAUUAAUAUUCAUCUACUUUUCAGCCAUGUAGCUUGUCUGUUGUAUGAUUCUUUGCUGCGGGAGUAGACAUGCUAAUUAUAAAGAAUGAUAAUUUCUUUUUAAGAUUGUUAGGUUGCAAUUCCAGCUGCGAACCUCGUGCAGAUGAAAUCCUCUAACUACGAAUGCUAUAUAGAAAACUCUUGCUUAUUGAUAUUUUCAUUAUCGUUCUUGACAUAGUAUGUGUCAAAAGUGAUGGCACCACUGCACCAGUGUAGUUAUUCUUCUCAAACUCCAACACAGGCUAGAACUUUACACUCCUGUGCAUCCCUUUGAUAAAAAAAACUGCACUGCAGAAUCUCUUUUACGCUCUUGUUAAGCCUAACUUGUAGAUAUUUUGUUAUCCUUCUUUAUCCCUUAAACCAUGAAUAAAUAAACUAGACCUCCUUAAAAACAUAUACACAUGUUUAUGUACUCAUGCUCCUAAGGGCUGUCAUCCACAUCUACAUGAUUUGAUCGUUUGGGACCAUUACCAAAUCAUGUACCCUUUAAAGCCUUCUAAAUAAUUGUUGUCAGAAGAGAACCGGAUAUUGUGGUUUUCGAUCAUCUAGGCAGUCAUUUUCUGCUGAUUCCUUUAUCAGACUGUUCUACUUCUACAUGGUUUAGUUCUUUGCAACCUGGGAUGUAAUUUUCAUUUGUUGAUAUCUGGCUGAAGUCAGAUGUAUAUCAUUUCUAAGAGCAUCUGUUACGCAGCAAGAGAAUAACAGAUGAUAGCAAUCCAAAUUCAGUGUAUUAAUCUCCUACAUUGCAACCCCCUUCUUCUUUCUUACCUGCACAGUUGUUAUUUAAGGUGCCCUGUAAUUAACGAGAUCUGCCAACAAUUUUCAUAGUCUGCCACAUUUUCACACUAGGUUAGAAAAUGUUUUUCCCUAUCGGCAUUAGCUCCAAAUUCAAAUUGCUAGUACUGCAGUUUGCUGCAUCUUCAUUUGUAACUGUCUGCCAAGAAUGGUGGCUAGGAUUAGUUACAUUUCAGAGACUUCAAUCAUAUAGCAUACAAACCAGCAUAAACCGUGGCUGCGCUUGGUUAAUUCCUGCUUAUAAGCAACCAGACUUGUUUUAUCCCCAAUUUCAUAAGUUCCAUGUACCUAGGAUUCAAAAUUUAAUUCACCUUUUUGGCUAGAGUUUUAAUCUUGUAAGGCUUGAUUUUUAGAACUAUAUUUCCCACAUGGAACUCUACCUCAAGUCUGUGCUUGUUGGACUUUUUACGUAUUCUGUUUUUAGUUUGAAUCAAACGCUCUUUCAAUUCAUUCAACAUGUGGUUUCUUUAAGCCAUUAACUUUGUAACCUCUUCUACUGCUGUUCAAGUCACACUAGCUUUAAUGAAGACAAUCAAGGGUGCCUCUCAUAUAAAUGCUUUAAUGUGAUUUAAUAAAUGAGAAAUUCACAGUUUUAUUACAACAUUUUGUUUGUUUUUGUUUUACCCGAGACAAUCAGUACGGCUGGUGCAUUAAGGGAUUAGCUCCUUCUGCUGAAUACAACUUCUUGUUAGUAAGUUCAAAUGGAACUGUUGGUCAAUUUCAUUGAAUUACACUGAAGAUUUUUUCCUUUUCAAAUUCAUAGUGUGUGUAAUGAAACACGGCAUAUCCAUGAUUGAAGGGGUAGAGAGAACCCUGUGGAUUAUGUAUUGAUUGAAAGAGAAAAUACAAAUGUUAUGGGAGCUAUGCCCUUUUUCCUUCCCAAAGAAAAAACGUAUUAUACAGAACAAGUGGUUCCAAGAGCUUUUUUUUUAUGCCACCGCCCACCGCUAGCCAACAAGUGGUUCUAAGAGGUUUUUUUUUAUGUCAUGUUAACUUGUACCCUAAUGAUACAUGUUAAAAGAACUUAAAAUGAACAAUUUUGUAUUGAAAAACAUAAUAUUUGAACUUUCAAGAAGUUGAAUGUACGACUUUUAAUACGUAUAUUUAAAUAAUGAGUUUUUUAACAUAUGUCCUUGAAGGCAUAAGUUGGCAUUUACUUUUUUUUUUUAGGUAUCAAUUGAAGUUCUACACACGCAUGAAUAUUACACAUGAAUGGAGGUUAAAAUUAUAGGAACCCUUUAAAGUCUUUUAAACUGUUUCAUUACGCACUAACUCAAUUUUAUGACGCUUAAUUUUCACCCUAACUUAAUUUUACGGCACCAAGUUGUUUAGGGUGUGUUUGGAUUGAGGGGUUAGGAGGGGAAGGGAGUGGAGGGUUUACUUUUCUUUUUUAAAUUAUGAACUAUAUAACAUGUUUUUCUAAAAUACAUUAAUUGUGAUUGAAGUAUUAUAUGACUUGUUUAUCAUGUUAAUAUGUUAACAUUUUAAAAAAUGUUUUAUAGUGUCCGUAAUUUAAAAAUGAAAACCAAACUCUCCCCUCCCUUCCCCUCUUAAACCCUCCAUCCAAACACACCCUUAAUUUCUCUUCAAUAUCACAUACUCUCUCUUAGCUUUACACUCUCAAAUGUAAAAAUGUCCAUAUUUAAAUUGUAGGAAACUCUCGAAGCUCCUUAAUAAGUCUAUAUUUAAAGUUGUGUUAGUUGAACAUUCAUAUAUGUAAUAACUUUUAAGACAAUCAAUAUUUUAUAAAGGAAAUGAAAUAUUGACACAAAAAUCAAAACAAUAAAGAGAAAAAGGAAAAAAAAUAAUAAUGAAUAUGAAGAGAAAGUUGUUAAAAAUGGUUGUUCAAAUAUCAUUUCUCCUAUAUUUAAUAAUACACAGUAUAAAAAGUAUACAUAAAUGUAACAGAAAAGAAAAUAGUAAAAUUGUUAUUGGAAUUAUUAGGCAGAUGCCCUAAAAUUGGAAUAGACAAGUCAUUACUCACAAAGAGUACUGGUUGACCAAAAGUAAUGGCAAAUUUUAAGGUAACUAAAAAGGACGGUAAGAAAAUAGCGACUGAUACGGGUGCUUGCCUUGCGGGAUUGAGAUGGGAGUGAAGUGGAGACCAUAAAAAGCUGAUGUGUGCACCUCAAAAGCACUCUAGAAAUAGAAAUAGAAAUAGAAAAUUAUAGGAACGAUGUGUCAAGGCCCGCAAUUAAUGUCGUGUGUGUGGACAGGGAAAGAAAAUAACAAAUGUACUAACUAGCUAGACUGAACAUCUCUGAAUUGAUCAAAAAAAGACUGAAAAUCUCUGAUAGUUAUUUUUGAGGGUCAACUUUGAGUUCGUACAUUACUUCCAAGUGAUCCUUAUAAGGUUAUUUUAUACUUAUUCAACUCAGUUCACAUUUUUCUCAUAUGAUAAAAAUAUAUGUAACCCUCAAUCAAUCUAAGCUUUUUGUCAAAAAAAAGUAACCCAUUGUUUCAUGUUUUUUAUUUGCAUGAAACAAAUGUUUAUUUCAAUUCAAUGCUACCGGAUCUGUAUUAAACUAAUUCAACCAAAUCUAUGCAGUACACUCUGCCGCCAGAUGUUCCUUCAUUGGUAGAAAUAUAAGGAACGGGUUCAUUUUUCUGUGAAACCCUUUGGAGAUCCUAUAACAAUAUAUUUCUCUCAAUUAAAAACACUUAUACCAAAGCGACCAUGGAAAAUACAAUGUCAAAAGUAAAUUGCACCCCGAUAACAUGCAUUAGGAAAGUUUUAUCACUAUUUUAGAGCUGCAAUGCCAACAAAAGCUUCACGUGUCUUUAGACAAAUAUUUAUUACCGAAGGUAAUAAAAUACAGAACAAAAUGAAUUCUCAUUUUAAUUUUAAAGAGAAAAUAAAUGAGGAAUUCUAAAUAUGUUGAUUCAAGCUAUAGUAUUUAUCUAAUAAAGUGCCAAAAAGUUUGUUAAAUAACAACAAUAUUUAAGAAAUGCUGCAUCAUGACGACAAUGUUAAACUCUUCAAGGCAGUUGUAAGUUGAGGAAGCUUGUCAGGAGCUCUCUGCUUGUAAUCCCUCUCCAACGCUUUGGCUGCUAGAGAUUGUAACUGUGAUCCUUCUUUAUCUUCCUUGUUCUUCCCUUUUGUAAGUUGUGCAAUAGCAGAAGUGCACUGGAGAAUAGAAGCAAAACUCAAUUUCAAGCAUAUAUGUGAACAGUAAGUAUGAAAGAAGAAUCCAAAAAUCCCAAGUUGUAGAGAGGAAAAUCAACACAAUAUAUGAAGGAAAAUAUGAUAUCUACUAACCAAAGCAGGACUAUUCAAAUAAGAGAAUCGUGAACUUGUAACUUGUAUAGAACCACAUAAAAUAAACACUCACCAAGCAUAUACCGAAGAGUGCUCUGGUAUUCUUGCCUCCAGUUAAGUCAAUAGUGGAUGCAUAGUAUUUCUUGGCAGUUUGGACAUUUUCUAAUCCACCAAGCGUAUAAAGUACCUGGCAACACCAUUUCAGUUAAAAUAAUGUUUUAUAACUGUUGCUAGGUAAACCCAUACAUCUCUAGGACGCAAUAUUCGGUGACUUGCUGUUAUUAGAGUGUAGAAACCCGGGAGACGGGGAAGAAUUUGAUUUAACUAUGAUAAAUUAAUCUUAACUCAUAGAGUAGAUACUUACAUCAGCAUAUGCUAAGUGAUAAAGUGGAACAGUUGGUUGAGCUAAUAUCACUUCCUCGUAGCAAAAUGCUGCUUGUUUAUACCUAACAGGAAGACAAGUAAAAAAAAAACACAAAGGCAGCUGAAUAAUUAGCAACAGAAAUAAAUCACUACGGAAAGAGAAACGGAAGAAUAAAAUCUUACAUUUGCAGGGAUGAGUAUAUUUCAGCUAGUUCUCUCCAUGCAUCGUGAUCUGCCAUGAAUCUGUGAAAAUGAGGAGAGAAAAAGUUCAUAUCUAUUCGGACUGAUGUUAGUUAUAAGCAAUAUUUUCCUUUAAACGGUCUUCAAUUUCAGAUGGGAAAAUAUUAACAGCAGUCUUACAUUUCUAGAUAUUUAUUAAGCCAUUCAAUAGCCCCAGAAAUAUUGCCUUGUGCCUUUGCCAUAGCCACCCUCCUUUUAUGGAUGAUCUGUACAAUAACAAAGCCAAAAAGAAAGUUUGGUUAUUGUUACUCAAGAAAGCCUUGGUGCAACAGUUGGAGUGGCUUCCGUGUCCGGAGAUAACAGGUUCAAGUCACAGAAUCCGCCUCUUGAAAAUGCAAAGUAAGACUAACAAAUUAAAUACGCAAUUGGUAAAACCCUCCCUAAAUCCCACUAUAGUGAGGCUCUAUAGUAUUAGGUUACCCUUUUUGGUUUCAUUACUCAACCAGCCUGGAUUAUUAGAAGGUUAAAGUGAAAGUAUGUUAUACAUCAAGUCAAAUUGAAAAAAUAUCCAAAAAUAAGUCAUUGUUAUAAAAUUAUGCUUCAUCAGAGUAACUGAUCAACUAACUGAAUGUCCCCCCUCCUCUCUUUUCCCCAAUGGUAAGGUUAAGUGAGUUUACUUGAUCAAGAGGAUUAUCCUCCAAAAGGCUUGAGUAAGCUUUUUCUGCCUUUUCCCAAGAACCUUUUGCUUCAAGCAACAUUGCCUCCAGCCUUCCUGUAAUAAUUAGUUACCACAAAUCAAUUAAAGAUACUUAUUUGGAAAUUUUCUAGUGGGAGCAAAAACAUGCAUAUGUAAAACAAACUUUUUUGGAUUUCAAACUGUAUAUGUAUUUACAUUAUAUUAUAUAGCAUCCCUCUUGAAAGAAUGGAAAUCAUCCAUGUUAGUCACCCACCAAUCCAAAAAUUUGCUAAAAGAAACUAGAACUGGACAUCAAUAAUCAGGGAACGGUGUGCAGUUGCUUGUGUUUUGGAACGACUAAAAAUUACACUUAGUAUACUUGAAAAAUUAUCACAGUUGUAGAAGUUUUAAAUGUCAAGGAUCAAGACCCAAAACAAAGAUGCCAAAGGUUAAUCAUUGCAAUUUCAAAAUAGAUUUUCCCUAAACAACAGUUACAUUUGCUACCUAGACAGCUGUUACAUUUGCAAGGCUCUAUCUAAGAUCAGGCGCUUCCACUUGUAAUUUUUAAUGUUUUUUCCAUUAAGCUUAUAUUGACUCAAGUAAACAGUAACAACUGUUAGGUUGAUGGUGCUAUUCUUUCAAGCAACUUAAAUCCACAGCACGGUAUAGACAUAGAAUAAGAAAGUAUAACUUACCAACUCUUUUACUCUCCGAGAACCUCUUCCGAAGAGCCUUUGUGCAGUCCUGAUAAAAAAAGUAAAAUAUUAUCAACUUCAAGCCAUGAAUUCUAAAACUAAAGACUUCUCAUCAUGUAUGAAGGAGACAAAUGUAGCAAAUCCUCAAUUCUGGCAACAUAAAGGUUUAGCAGCAUGUUACUAUCCACUAUCCAAUUUCAGAAAUUACAAGAGCAAACAAGAUUUCUAUAUAGAACCAGUACCAUCUAACACAUGGAUCCCCCGGUAUCUCCAUAUCAUAAAAGAGUCAAGUGACAAGAGUCAGAGAGACAGUCUGUUUUGAUUGACUUAUUUGACCUUAUUUAAUAACAAAAAGACUUGUGAGUGAGACUAUUGGGGAGAGCUUAUGAAAAAUAACUUACUACAUGUUUAUAAGUUGUUUUCAACUUAUUUCCAUAGGCUCUCAAAAAUAACUCUAGAAAAUAACUUAUACCAUAUAUGGAAACAGUUUCACUUGAUUUUAUCUUUAGUGAUAUAAAUAACUUAUACAUAACCACUUAUAUGAUAACUCUUAUGCUUUAAUUAAGUUGUUUAUCCAAACGGAGCCUAAGUUAAUGAAUAGCUACGAAAAACUAGAACCACUUAUGCAUUCCCUAAACAGCGUAGAAUUACAAAAGAAUUUCACACUAACAAAUAUAUAUAUCCACAAAAUUGAGUUGCAAAUGAAAUCCACAACAUCAAAACCAAUCAAAAAACACAAAACAAUAAUUAAAUUAAAGAUCAAAACCUGAGCAACAUCAAGACAUUGACAAUCCAUGGCAGCAACUGCAACUUGCUCAUACAAAGUCCAUUCUGAAUCAACAAAAAAACAAAAACAAUCAAUCAUCAGAAAAACUUUAAACCACAAUUGGAAGUAGUUGACUUGCAUAAUCUUAUUCACAGUUAAGCAAAAAUUAGGUUUAAAUUGAUACCAUCGGCGCCGAGUUUGGAUCGGAGUUUGGAAUCAUUCAAGAUGGACAAUCCAUGCUUGAGGACUUUAUCAGAACGGCGAACCUUGAGUUUUCUGACGAGGGAAAGAUACUCCCAAGCUCCUCCGCCACCAUUAUCGACCUGAAUUUCUAGAUUCUUCAAUUCAGAUUCCUCUGUUUUCGUUACCAUCUUUGCCGAAUUCACAGAUCCAAACAACAACAAAUCGAUUAUCGCAGGCCACACGGGUUUUAGAUCGAUUUGUUGUUAUUGUUAAUUGGAAAUAUCACUGUUUUUGCCAGCACCGCACACACUAUCACUCACUCCUAUACGCUACUACUAGUAUAUUAUACUAUACUUUUUUGCGAUGGAGUAUUCACUUUAGAAUGGUAUACGAUCCGUAUAUGUGCCUUUAUUUUAUUAUCUUCUAAUUAUAUAAUUCCUUUAAAAUAUUAUUUAUAAUUACAAUUUUAUCUUUUCUACCAUCAAUCAAUACUAUAUAUAUAUAUAUAUAUAUAUAUAUAUAUAUAUAUAUAUAUAUAAAGUAAGGUUUUUUAUGUCACGUGUCACUUUCACGUUUAUUCGCAAUAUUUUUAUUAUUUUUUUAUUUUUUAAAACCAAUAUUUUAAUUGACAUAAAUAUCUCAACAAACUUUUGAUCUUAUCUAUUAAAUAUUUUACUUAAAUUUUUCAUUGUAUUCCUAAUAUUUUAUGUAACAGAAAUAACACAAAUUCCUAAAAGUUAAUUUUAUUCUAUAUGUGUUAAUAUUUUUACUAAAUCCAAUUAAUUUUAUCUGUAUGUCCAUCUAUAAAUUUACGAGUAUUUAUAAUAUGAUAUAUUUUAUUAUAUUUGUAUGUAUUUAUUAAGAUAUUCAUCCUAUACCAAUCUGUGAUAAAUUUUAUUUGCGGAUAUCAUACAUAUAUUUUUUUUAUCUUCUUGAAUAUGUCUAUCUAACACGGGCAACGCCAGGUAAAUACACUAGUAUUAUUUAAAAAAUAAGUUAAAUCUCAUUAUAACAACUAGCGUUUAAACAAAUGUGUUCGUGUGUCUAGCUUUCUCAUUAUUUUUUUGUUACAUGAGAAAAAAGAAAAGGAAGAAAUAAAAAACGGAAAUAAACUAAGUACUUGAAAAAGACGCACUUAAGGCAUCGCCUAGUAAAGCUGAUGCUAAACAAUGAAGAGGUUCAUUGAAAGUAACAAGAUGGUUUGAACGGUUAGCUCCCAUAUCUUGGCAAGAAUGCCAGCACGAAAAUUUCCCUCUCGAAUGAUAUGAUGAAUUGAAAUAGACCAGUCCUUAGCAAGAUACAUUCGAAUGAGUUCUAAGAUAUUUGCAUAAUGGUGGAACUUGGUAGUCUCCUUCAUUAUCAAUUGUACUGCAUGAAGAGAGUCGGAGUAACAUAUGAGCUUUCUAUAUCCUGCAUCCCAACACAACUUUACGCUAGUCAAUAGAGCUUGAAUUUCAGCAUGUAGGAUAUUUGAGAUACCUACACUACCAAAGAAACCAAGCUGAAAACUUUCAUCGUGCUUACGAAUUAGACCACCAUAACAUGCCUUUCCUGGAUUUGUCAACGCGCUUCCAUCAACAUUGAGAAUCAUGGCGUCCUCAUCCCCGUGUUGUCAACUCACCAUCCUUGGAGUAAGAGUACGAGUAUCUAGGGAGUUAGUACCAAAAGCCUGCUGAGCAAGAUGAUGCUUGGAAAAAAUAGUUACAAUGAGUAUAAAUUACAAAUUGUAAUCAACUACGGUAAAAUAUGCUUGAGGAUAAAUGCAACAUAAACGCUGAAAAACUUCAACGUUAGUGUUCGUUUUGGUGUUAGUAUAAAGCAAUACAUGAUUUUGGGUUUAAUUUUAUUUGUCAAAAGUGUUUUUUGAGUCAACUCUCUCGAUUUAGGAGACCCUAAUAAUCUAAAGUUCCGCUGUUAGGUAAGAAAAGUUUGACCAAGAAUUAUUCUUUCAAUUUUACCCUUCAUUUGAUUACUUUUUAUAAUUUUACCAUUCCUUGUUAAUAAACUAGUGUAACUUCCCGUGCCAAGCACGGGAUUCAUUUUAUUUUAAAAAAAUUAACGAGGUUUACACAUAAUUUGGUUUUCAUAUAUUAUUUGAUUUUUUUAGUUUAAUUUCAUUUCAAAAUUUUGACAUUAUGCGUUACUCUAUCCUCAUAUUUAAAAUUGAAAAAAUAAAUCACCGUUUAUUAGGACAAAAAAAGUUAAAUUUUAAAAAGAUAUAACUAUUUUUGUGAGAGUCGCCGCCUUCCUUAUCAUCCACCCUCCUUCUUUGCUCAUCCUACCAAAUCCAAACAUUCCCUUCACAAUGUAACCUCACGCAUCAAGGAGGUUGCGGUGUGAUUCUUUGACCACCUCCUAGAACCCCUUUUUUAGGAUCGGUUCCAUCAAACCAUUCAGCACCUACUAUGGAUUGUUACUCUCAAAUAUGGUUUCUAUACAGUGAUAUUCUAAUGCGGUUGUCUCAUGUAUUGCAGAUCAGGUUUUUCUUCUUGGCAUAUUGAAACCACCGUGAAUCUCCUCUGUUUUGCGGUGGUUGGGUUAGCGAACAUUAUGGUUGUGUUUCAACGACGGUGGUUGGGUUUUUCGCCGCCAUUGUCAUCGGGUUUUGUGUUAUCCUACAAAUCAUGGUUGAAUUUUCCCUUCUCGGUCCGAUUCUGAUUAUGAGCUCGACAUUGCUUCGAAGUUGCGUUUUUUCAUAUAUGGUCUCACCGAAAAUGGGGGUGUUGUCGUCUUUGUCAACAGUGAUAUGUAUGGCUAGAAAUGACCUUUGAAGCUGGUUGUUGUCAUGUUAGAUGUAGUGGGUUGGUGGCGUGUGGAUUUGUUUUCGUGUUGGCGAUCAGUUCCUUACCGGCUUCAAAAUUGGGAUUCGAGACUCAUCAGUUCACACAUCACAUUUCUUUUACACAUUGAUUUUGUGCCCGUAAUGCAGGUUCGCUGGAUUGUGCAACAUGAUGUGUGAGUCUAGUUAUGAAUUCGAAUUUGUUUAUUUACCCAUUGGAUUAUCAUGUAUUGUAUUAUCAUAUCGCUGAUUAGCUUUUUGGUUUAACUGGGUUACUAUGUCCCUCAGUCCUCUUUCUUACAAACAAAAAUAUUUUAAUAUAAUUAGAGUGUCGCAGAUCUAUCUGCAUCCCAUUUGCUUAAAAGAAAUAUUUUUAUGAGUCAUAAAAUAGUGGGCAAAAGUACAACUAUACUUAAAAUAUAAGAACAUUAUAAAUAAUUAAUAUAUUCUUCAAAAUAUAUCUACUUAAUAAGAGUUCAAAUUAAAUUUGGUUUCUCAGUCAUUCAAUACAUUAAACAUGUAUUAUUACCUCCGUUUUAAUCUACGAGUAUGAAUAAAAUUAUUACUUUUUUAUUUAAUCACAAUACUCUCGGAUUUCAAUUAUAAAAAAAUAUCUAACUUCAAAAUUUCACUUAUAUGCAAUUAGUUUUCUUGAUUUGAUAAAAAAACUAUAAAAUUAUGAAAAGUACCAUAUAUUGGAACGUGUUUCAUGAGAAUAAAAAAAUAUUAAAAUGAAACUUACAUGAAUUAAAAUGUAUAUUAGGACAAAUAACAUUAAAUAGAGUCAAAGUAAGUUAUAUAUGUUUUAAUUUAAGAUAAAAAAUUAUUUAUUUUUUAUAUUUAAGUUUGGAGAGAGUAUUUCUCUUGGAAGCAAAUUAUCUCCGGUGAGAAAAAAUUGACAGAAAACAACUUUCAUUAAUCUCCUCCCAUCAUUUUUUUUAAUUAGUGAUUAUGAGUCAAAUUAAAACACUCUAACCUAAUUUUGUUAUACUUUACUGUAAUUUUGAUUUUCAAAUUCAUUGUUCCCCUUUUUCCAAACAAACAUUUCCUCCUUCUUAAAGUUCCUAGCCGAACCUCACAAACUAAAACCUCCACCAAACGUGGGUUAGAAAAAAGUAGGAGAUUUAUGUCAACCCACUUAAUUAUAUGCAAGUUCUUCAACUCAUUAGUGGUGAUCCUAAGAGUAAGGUUAAAAAAACUCUUCUAGUAUGCUAAUGCGAGAUAGAUCAGACAAGUAAAAAUAAAGGUAAAAUGCAAAGGUCAUAAAUAUUGAUAAACUUUGAUUCCCUUUGUUGCAUAUGUGUUGUUGCUAUAUGUUUAUGAUGACUGUGCUCUAGAACUGUGUUAGGAUCAUGGAAGAGUGUUAUUUGAGCUAAUAUUUCAUUUUGUGUCACUUUACAUGCUAUCUGUCAAGCUCAAUUUGUGAUCUAUGAGAUAACAAAGAUUAAAACACAAUACUUUAAACAAAACAAAAACAAAAAACAAAAACAAUAUGAAAAAGUACCUUUCAAUCCAUUAGAACCAACUCCAUGAAAAAUGGUAGUUUUUUUAUUUUUGUAGUCUUGAACAAACCAAGCACGAACAACCCUCACAACCAAUGUCCACGAUUGUUUUCUUGGCGAAACAUCAGAGAUGAAGUCGUGUUUUGCAGACCUUUUUCUUUGCAAUAAAAAAGUUACAUAAAUAGCUUAGAUUAUAGAUAUCAAAGAACCAGAGAAGAGGAAAAAGAAAAAAAAAAACUAUAUUUUGUGAUUGUUGUGUACUCAUACCCAAAAGUGCUUCUAUUUAUAUAGAAAAUAAUACUAUAACGAUUAAUAUAUAUAUAUAUAUAUAUAUAUAUAUAUUAAUUGUUAAUUUGAUCGUUUUAAAAUUAAUAUUAUCAACGUCUUUAAUAUUAUAAAAUGUACAUUAAAUGAUUAGAUUAUAUUUCAUGUAAAUUAAAAAAAAUUAACUUUAUAAGAUUUGAAAUUUAUAAUAUCUUAUUAAUAUUAAGUAAUAUAAUUUUGUAAUGAACAAAAAUUAAUUAUAUAACCUUAAAAACUAAUUACUACAAUUAAAUUUUUUAAUUAGUAGGUUCUUGUCAUAGUGUAACGGACCAAAAUUCAAAAUAUAAUUUAUUCAAGUUAUUUAUUAUAAUUUUGUAACCUACCAAAUUUUUAAUGUACCGUAUAAAUGUUAAUCGAAUACUAAUUAUAUCAAUAAUUAUUUGAUUGUAACGUAUAAAUUUUUAAUGUAACAUAUAAAUUUUAAUCGAAAUAAUAGUUAUAUUAAUAAUUAUUUGAUUGUAACCAACUAUGCAUUUUAUGUACAAUUUAAUGUUAAAUAAAAAACGGUUUUUAAUAAUAAUUAUAAUUAUUAAGUUUAUAUUAACAAUUAGGAGAAAUUUUUGGAGCAAAUGCCAAAUAGCAUUUGGAUGAUGUGGACAUCUUUAGAGGAGAGGAUUUUGGAAUAAACUAUUUCUAAAAACUCUAAAUUGUUAGUAUAAAGAUUUAGUUAAACUCAUUUUAAUUAGUGUGAUUGCAUACAUCAGCACAGAUGAACUCUGUUCAAUAAGUCUUACUAACCUAUUACUUGUGCUCGUCUCUCGUAAAUGGAUAACAAAUAAAACAUGUCUAUAUAUAUAUAUAUAUAUAUAUAUAUAAACGAUAAUAAUUUAUUAUUCCUUUGUCUUUUUUAACUUGUGUGCCCAAAUCAUUUUAAAAGUAGGUUAUGAUCAAACAAGUUUUACUUUUUCAAUAGUAGAAUAAGAUCAUUUAUUUUUUAAAUAUGAUUUGUGACGUGAAUAUUAAAUAAUUAAUUAAUUCUGCAUUAAAUUUAUUUUGAAUAAUUAUUUCAAAAAUAUUAAUUAUUUAAUUCAUUACUCCUUUAUCUUUUUUUACUUAAAUCUGUGUGCCCAAAUCAUUUUAAAAGUGGGUUAUGAUCAAAUAAGUUUUACUUCUAGUUUAAUAGUAAGAGUGUAGUUUUUUUUUUUAAAAAGUUAAAUUAAUCCACACAAAUUAGCAUCGAUAGAAUCGAACCUGAGACUUUAAGAGUAUAAUAUUUUUAAUUUAAAAAAAUCUGUUAUUUCAUAAUAUCAAAGAUUAUUUUUCAAAAAAACUAUUAUACUCUUAAAAGUCCAUUAAUAUGACAAAGAAAGAUAUGAAGAUUGAUAUGAGCCUUAUGGGUAUUGUUUAUGUAGCUAUGGCAUAUCCAAAUCCAAUUACCUUCAAAUUCUCAAUUCUAUUAAUUGUAAUGCUUGCAUUCGAGGCUAGAGAAACUAUAUCUUUUCAUAAGGUAACAAUUGCAAUUAUAUAAUAUAGCACCAUAACCAACCCCCACAAAUAUAACCGUUCAUUGCAAAUCCAAAGAUGACGGUCUUGAAUUUCACACACUUAUGUUUGGAGAAAGUUACAUGUUUUCAUUCAAGCCAGCUAUUCUACCGUGGAUAGAAACAUUAUUCUUUUGCAGUUUUACAUGGUCAGGAAGCCCCUAUCGUCAUUAAUUCAUUAUCUUGACAUUUAUGUUCAAGACAGAGAUUUUUGCAACACUUGUAAUUGGAAAAUAAAUAAAACAGGCGAUUGUACGUAUAUUAAGGAAGACCAUAUAAUCAAAAGGUGUUAUCGUUGGGAAAGGGUUGAAGUAAUGGAUGCAAACAUAACAUCCAAAAUGUAACUUUACUGUGUUUCUUGCAAUCGAAAUAAACUAUAAGAUUGCUAAUAGUUGAAAAAUUAGUUUUAUAGUUGAUGACUGAUAGCUCACAGCUGAAAAAUUAAUUUAAUAAAAUUAAAGUGUUUGGUAAAAUUAGUUGUUGAAGUAACUAAAAAAUAUAAAAUAACCUAAAAGGAAAUGUUUGUUUACUUUUUUUUUAUAUAAAUUGUGUGUGUACACACAUAUAACUUUUUUAAUUAAUGUAUUUAUUUUUUAAGGUUGUCAUUCUCAAGGUUGUCGUCGUUCUUCAAGGUCCGGUAAAGGAUGAGUUGAUGUGUUGCUCCAGAUUUUUUCGGAUGGUGGUUGUGAUUAUGAUCUAAAGCUAUAAGUCUUCCUCCACGCGGGAAGGGAAGGGUUUCCAUUCACCGGAGUGUAGACCUCUCUAAUCUAUAUGUUGUUUUAAUCCACUUGUGUUGUUUUUUUAUUUCUAUAUUAUCUCUUUGGAUAGAUCUACACUUGUGGGUGAACUGGGUUAGGUGUUUAUAUCCCCUCAAAUUUUUCUUGUAUUUUUUCCUUUUUUUUAAUAAUACAUUUGAGCCUAUAACAAAAAGUAUUUAUUUUUUAAUGUUUAAAUUUAUUUUAAAUUAUUUUUAUCUUCAAAAUAAUAAAUAUGCUUUAUGAAUUAACUUGACAUUUUUUAUGUAACAACUUUUUUGUUGAAUUUUAUUUAACUAAACUUGCUUCAUAUUUAUUGCAACUUUUAUUUAAAAUUAAGAGCAAGGUCGAAAAAGAAAAGUUGACAAGAAAAUACGAAAAGCAUUACCGUAAGAUAACAACCGAAUUGUAAGUGAUAUAAAACAUGGGCAGUUACUUCCUUCAAGAAAAAAAAAAGACAUAGGCAAUAUUUUUUUUAAAAAAAAUUUGGUAUCCGAUCCAAAAUCUGAGGGGAUCAAUCACACCGCUCACUUGCGGGGGAAGACAUGGGCAAUUACUAAUGUGGGUAGUUUUUUUUUUAAAGAAAUAAUAAAAUUAAACAAAUAAGGUUAAAAUUGGAAGAAAAAAUGAAAUGCUAUAAACUAUAAGCUCAAAAGCCACUUGAAAUAGCUUCUCAAAAAACGUUAUAAAUUGUAAAAAGCUUUUUACCAAACAUGUCUCAUCAUAUGAAUGUUAAUUUUUCUUGAACAUUAUUAUUGAUCAUUUUAUUUUGUCAUCUUUUCUAUAUUUUUUUAUUGAAAUUAUCUGUUGUCUUAAAUAUUAUAUUUUUUCUUUAGAAGAUUAACUCAUAAAUAUAAAACUUCUAAGGUAUCUUAUACUAUGUACAUUUUUCUAUGAAAAUUGUUGUAUACACAUGUUAUAAGGCUCAAAAAUAUAUGUAAAAGAUAAAAAUGCUUCCUCAGCAGUUAACUAUCGACAAAAAAAAAAAAAAAAACCAUUGGCACUUAAGUGCCGAAGAACACAUAUCAUUUUUUUUUGUUGAAAAUAUUAUGGUUCCAUGUUUUUUUUUUUUUUUUUUGUCAGGUAGCUUAGUGGCUAGAAUUCACCUUAUAAGGUGAAUAAGUGGAGUGUCCAGGUUCGAACUCCAACCCCUACAUAUAAUAAAGUAUUAUUCACCAACUAAGCUAUGCUUACGGGACAUUAUGGUUCCAUGUUACCUAAAUGAUAUAUUGCAUAUUGAUGGCACUGAUAGGACCAUAUGAGAACCAUAUUUUUUGUUAAAUAUUAUGGCACUGAAAAUAUUUUGGUUUCGGUGGACAAAAUUAAUGCCAUAUUGCAUGCUGUGCAUUUAAAAUUUUAAGGUUUAAAUGAGUCAUUGGUCCCUGCACUUUCAUCAGAUUUUGGCAUUGAUCCCUGCACUUUCAUCGGAUUUUGGUAUUGGUCCCUGCAUUUUGUAAAAAUAUUGGUAUUGGUCCCUCUGUUAACUUUCUGUUAAAAAAAAAACACAAAACCAACGGAGUGUCACGUGGCCCAAUCAUUUCAUGCCACGUGGCACCAAUAUCAAUAUUUUUACAAAGUGCAGGGACCAAUACCAAUAUUUUUACAAAGUGCAGGGACCAAUACCAAUAGUUUUGUGUUUUUUUUUAACACAAAGUUAAUAGAGGGACCAAUACCAAUAUUUUUACAAAGUGCAGGGACCAAUUCCAAAAAAAAAAAAGUGUAGGGACCAAUGCCAAAAUCUGAUGAAAGUGCAAGGACUAAAAACAUAUUUAAACCAAAUUUUAAUAUAUCAUGAGAACAAUUCAAAUAUACCAGUAUUAUUCUACUUUUCGGGGCUAAUAAACCCAAAUACACCAUAUAUACUGGUUUUAUUGUUUUCUAGUAUGUGAGAUAAAUUCAAGGAGCCAUACAACCAUGAUCUAAUAGGUGUCCAUGGAACCAUAAUAUUUUUGUUCACGUAAGUAAACAUGAAUUACAAUAGAUGACACUUAUUAGAUCAUGACCUAAUGGGUCUCUCUACGGAUGUCCAGGCCCAUUAGUAGAAUUGGAUACUCCUUCUCUGUGCAUCUCAUCCGUACAUGACACAUGGAGCUGGAGCACGUGCAGCUUACAUCACUUGUCCGUGUAGGACGCGUGGCACACAAUGAAACACUUCUUGUGAGGACCACAACUUUCACUUGGACAGUAACGUGAGGAAGAAGUGGAGCUCAAGUUGACCUGAAGAGUAGAGUUGAGCUAGGCAUGCUGAAGGGUUAAGCUGAGCUGAGCAUUUUGAAGGGUCGAGCUGAGCUGAGCAUGCUGCAGAGUCCAGCUGAGCUGGUCAUGCUGAAGGGACAAGCUGAGCUAAGCAUGCUGAAGGGACGAGCUGAGUUGAGCUCAACAUGCUGAAGGGACGAGUUGAGUUGAGCUCAACAUACUGAAGUGACGAGUUGAGCUGAGCAUGCUGAAGGGAUGAGCUGAGCUGGACAUGCUGAAGGGUAUAACUGAGUUGGACGGACAUGUUGAAGGGACGAGGUGAGCUGAGCAUGCUGAAGGGACGAGCUGAGCCGAGCAUGCUGAAGGGUAUAGCUGAGUUGGACAUGUUGACGGGUGGAGCUUUCGUGACCUGAACACUCAAGUUGAGCUGGAUAUGUUGAAUAGUCAAUGUAUAGUAAAGUUCAUGUGGUAUGGUCCUCUAUACCAGUCCAAUUUCCAACAAAAUAAAUAUGGGAAACAUUAACAAGUGGCCUCAGGACAUUGUUUAGUAACUUUAAAUAGUAAGUUUUUGUCAAAGUUUAUGAAAUCAAUGCAUUAGAAAUUGAAGUUUUUGACCUUUUUAAUGAAUAAUUUAUUUAUUAGGAAUCCUUAAAGAGUGCCCUCAAGGCACUCGUUAACAAAAGCCAAAAUGAUAUGUGUUCUUCGGCACUUAAGUGCCGACGAUUUUUUUUCCUUCCUUUUUCGUCGGGAGUUAAUUGGCGAAGGAACUUCGGUAGUUAACUGCAGCCGGUUCUUUAUUUCAGUAGUUAACUGCCGAGGGGACAUUUUCGUCUUUUACAUGUGUUUUUCAACCUUAUAACAUGCGUAUACAACAAUUUUCAUUUUCUAUUCUAUAUAAUAGUAAAUUCCCUUAACUGAGAUUUAACAUUAAAUGUAUAUUUAUUUUUAAAUAUCAUUAUAUUUACAAAAAAUUUGCCAUGUUAUUAUCAUAUUUUUUUUUAUUUUGACUUAAAAUCCCCCUUUUUUUUUAGCAAAAUAAAAUCCCUUUUUUUUUUAACAAAGCUAAAAGUCCCUUUCUUUAAUUUGCAUCACUUUUUAUUCUAUUGAAGUAUUAAGAUUUUGACUAAAAUUUAACAGAUUAUUAUAAAUAAUAUAUUUUUAAUGAUUUUUUUUUGAAGGAAUGUAUUUUAUUUUAUGUUUACCUAUUAGAUAUAAAUUUCUAAUAUAUUAUAAAUUUAUAUAAUUUUUUUAUGGGUGUGAGAGAGAAUGACAACAAAACACACAUUUUGUGGGUACCCGUCCAAACACAUCAUUUUACGGGAAAACCCAAGUUGACUAAGUUUAUGUUUGGUUUUCCUUGACAAGGGUAUAUUGAGGACACUAAUCCCAUAAGUGGGAAAAAUUUCAAGCACCAUACAGGGUGGUGUAUUAACAAAAAAUAUGGUGCUAAUACCAACGUUUUUUUUUUUUUGGUUUAAUUUCACAAACCCAAAAAGGAGUUACGACACAAUUUUACAAAUAAAACCGGCGCGUUUUCGAGGAAAAUCGUCGAAUACCUUAUAUGCAACUGCAGCUGCACGUAGCAGUUACCACUCACUCCCUCACUCGCUCACCAUGAAUUCUAUGGAAGAACACGAUGUUGGCAUCACCUGCUACAUUUCCAACCUUCCUGGCUUCCGUGGAGUUUUAAAGCAAAGGUUAAUUCCCUUCAUUUCACUGUGAUAUUAUUCAACACUUUCUUGUUUUGUUAAUGCUGAAUCAAUUCAAUUUGUGAUCUAGGUAUUCUGAUUUUAUUGUACAUGAAGUAGAUUUAGAUGCAAAAGUUGUUGAGUUGUCCUCACUUGAAGCCCUUGCCGAGGAAUCUAAGCUUGCAGCAGUGGAAUCGAAGGUAUAUCAUGAUUUUAGCUUAUUGAUUAAUUGAUUUUCGGUUAAUUUUAAGUUAUAAGUUAUGCUUUUCACAAUUAAUUGAUUUGUGGUUCUUGUUUCAGAGUGUCCAGGAAAAUAAAACAGACACUCCAUCCGAAACUGAAGUUAUAAGUUAUGUUUCUCAAAUUGAAUCCUUUAAGUCUCUUGCGGGGGAUUCUGAUGCGUCUAGUUUGGAAGAAUUUAUUAAUCAAAUUAGUGCUGGCGGUGAAGAUGAUAUCUCUCCGAUUACUCUUUCUCCGGAUUCCGAUAAAUCCCAUCGAACGGUUAGCACGAGUCUUCCAACUUCUGUGUUCUAUGUUAGAUUUGGGAGAGACAUAUGAUAUGGUACCUAUAUCAAUUAGUAACAUUGAUAUUAGGUUAAAUUCUAGGAACCAGGGUUUAUCAUCAAGACCAUGGAUUUGGAAUGCAUAUGAUAAAGUAUCUCUAUCAGUGAGAACUCUGAUAUUAGGUCAAAGUCUAGGUAGGGAUUAGGGUGUCUCACCAUAAUGGGUUUAUGUUUUCAUUACCGAUAAUGUGCAUUUUAUAUCAAGAAACUGAGUGUCAAAUUGAAUCCUCUUGAUUUGCAGUUCAUUUGUUUAGGUUAUUUUUUAGUUCAGCAUUAUUUGUUUUUACAUUUAGUUGAGAUGAGUAAUAUGACACUGAUUUGACUCUUCUAUAGAGGCAAGCAUAAUGAAUUCAUUUUGUAGUUUUGCCCCCCAAUUCAAAAUAUCAUUAAUUGUAUGCUUCUUAAAUCUAUCAGGCAGUGCAUGUUUUCUUUAGGGAAAACUUCAAGUUCCUGGUCACCGACACAGUCGAUGGACCUGAUGCUUCCAUAAAAUGCAUCCGUGUGAGAUUGAAUUCUGGUGGAUCCAACAACAACGGCAAAAACUCUAGGAAACGCAAAGAAAGAGAUACCAAACCUUUUGACAGCAGAGGUUCUGAAAAUUGGCCAGAAAAUGCUGGCAAGUUCCUUAGGUAAAGUUUCUGAUAACAAGCCUGUUCUUAGAUUAGAAGGUCUACUUUAUGUAGCAAUUGUGGGGAUAAUACCCUAAAUAACUGAUCGUGAUCGAGGUCACGGAGAGGUUUAGGUUCUGUUGAACACCCUGAAGACUUGCAUAUUGUAUUUCAUUUCUCUUUGUUCUAUUUGGGAUUACUCUGAUUCAUGGGGAAAGUAGUUGAAUUGUACCCUAUCUGUUUCUGUCCUUGGUUCUUAUUCACUUUGAGUCUAUCGAGCAUUUUGUUUGAUAAACUAUAAAUUUAGUAGUGCUCAAUGUAUUCCAUGUCGAUUUUUAUAUUAACAAAAUUAUAUUACAAUUCAUCUUAUACUGGUGAUAAAUACACUCAUAAUAUGCCCUACUGCGUAUUGGUCUUAUAUAAUGCUUGUUGAUGCUGGUUUAUCUUACAAAACUGCUCUAUUACAACAAAUAAUAAAAAAAGGAGUAAAGACUAUCAUUUUCCCUUGUAACUAAAUUCACCAAGCACUGAAAUUGAAAUAACCGAUGACGGAGUGGACUGGACUUCAAUCAAACUACUCCCUCCGUUCCUUUUUAAGUGUCACUUUUGGAGAAAUUUUUUGUUCCUAUUUAACUGAAUAUAUGAAAUGAGUAAAGACUAUCAUUUUCCUUUUUGUUCCUAAUUGAAAUAUAUGAAAUGAAAUAUUAAAUGAAUAAGGUUAUUAUAGUAAAAGUAUAUAUUAUUGUAUCAAAAGUAGUAACAUUUAUUGAAUGUCUUGGUUUGUGUAAAAUGUCAAAAAGUGACAAUUAAAAAGGAACGGAGGUAGUAUUGUCUUUACCAACAUAUAUUUUAUUCAGCGAUUACAUGAAAUUGAUAUCAACUCUUGCUUGCAUUUCAUAUUUUGGUGAUGAUAUAUUCCCACUUUUAUAUAUCGUGUUUAGUUGCCUAUUGCUAUUGGUUGAAUGUUUCUACCAAUGUGAUUUAUAGGUUUCACCUUUAUAAGGAGAACAAAGAUACCCAGGAAGCUUUGGGGGUGCUUGGACAUAUGCUUGGCGUCAAGGUGUUUUUGCUCAUCUUUGAUAUAUAUAUAUACCACACUCAUGAUUGCAUUUCACCAUGAUAGUUGAUAGUUGAUACACAAUCUACAAACUGUAGCUUCAAACGUGUUCAUGUUUUACCCACUGCCAAAACAAACACAUAUUAUUUAUGUGUACAUGUUGAUUUUAUUUUCCUUGGUUGAUGACGGGAAUAUGGAAAUUGGAGAUGUGCAAUAAUUUAUUUCUAUUUGCUUCAUUUUUACUUUUUUUUUAUUUUUUAUUUUUAUAAAUUUGCUUAUCGUAUUUAUGUAAAUUUUUAUUAUGCCUCUAUGACUUUUAUUUUUAACCUGGAGGUUAAAAAUUUGAUUUAUUAUUAUUAUUAUUAGUUAGAGUUGUGUGAAUUUUUUGGCUCAUUAAAUUCAUUUUUAUUUGUGGAAAAUGUAAUAUGUUUGGCUCAUUUUUUGGCUCAUCAACCUGGAUGUAAAAUGUUUGGUUCGAGUUAGAUGAAACAAUUUUUAUCGUCCAGCGUCCAAAUUUAUCCAUUUGACAUUUUAUUCCCUAACCACAACUUUGUUGUGAUGACUGGUCAGUAAGGAAAUUGAGUUCUGUUUGUAUUAUGUCUUGUGUUUUCCUCUCUUCUUUGUCCCUAACCACCCUUUUGAAAAGUAAAUUAAUAUAUACUGUCUGCUCUUGCUAUAGUUGAUUUCUAGCAAAUCUUGUUAAGGUUUUUACUGACUGGUAGUUGACUAACUGACAGUCGAAAUCAUUUGGAUUUGCGGGUACAAAGGAUAAGCGUGCUGUCACGACCCAAAGGGUAUAUAAUUUUAUAUUUUUUCUGAUUUUGCAGUAGAGACAGAUGCUUCAGUUGGUUUAUUUCUCAUUUUUGUUUCUAGGUUACUGUUUAUAAGAAGCAAGCAAGCAAACUAGCUUCCCUUAAUGAGAAGUUGUUUGGUAUUAAAGUGGGUGAUUUCUGGUAAGGGGAUUGAAUUAUAAGUGCCCAAUGUUCCUAUUCAUUAGUUUUUUCAUGGAUGUUGAAACUAUAAAUGUAUUAUUGUCCAGUUAUGUUAAUGAAGGACUCUGUCUUGGUCAGCUAUUCGGAAACAGAUUUACAAUCACAUUACGGUGAGAGUAUUAUCUAUACAUGAAAUUCACUUUCCCCUCUUAAUUUACUAUCUCGUGUGGUUAUAAUUACUUAUAUUUGUUGAUGUAACAUCACCUUUUUAUUGUUACCUAUAUAACUGACAUAUUUUACCAGAGGUGUUGUUGCAGAUUCUGUGGAUACCAUAAAAGCUGCUGCAGAUUCCUUAGGACGGCAUGGCUUCAUUAACUACUUUGGUUUACAAGUACUUUCUAAGUCAAACCUUUGUGCUGUCUUCCAAUCUUGUGUCCUUUUCCUCUUUCUUCUUGUUUAUUCUUGAAUUAGUUAUCUGGUGGCUGGAUUUGUUAUAAUAGCACAAUUUCCUUGUGCUAGUGGGAGCUGAAAUUCCCUAAUUACAUAUUCAUGUAUGAUAAAGCUUUUUAAACUAUCUGGUCCAAAAAACUUAUAUGUUCACUGCUCAGCGUUUUGGAAGUGGUUCUGUGCCCACUCAUCGUAUUGGAGCUGCAUUACUCCGGGGGGAAUGGAAAUGUGCUGUGGACUUGAUCCUUGAUCCAAGAGAUGGAGAUAUCCUUUUGUUGUUUCUAUAAGAUAUAACAGAUAACAGAUGAUAUGUCUUAAUCAAUUAAUUCUGCUCUAAUCAAUUAAUAGCAGUGUAUUUUUUUUCCUUUGUUCUCCAUAACUUUGCUAUUUAUUACAAAAAUAUGUAAUAGCCAAGGCACGCAAGUACUAUAAAGAUACCAAUGAUGUUGCUGGGACACUUAAGCAGUUGCCCCAAUUCUUAGUUGCUGAAACGGCCGUGGUAAGCUUCUGAUGGAAAAUUACUUACCUACAUUUGUAAUUUUUUCUAUUCCAUAAACUUGAUCUGAGAGUGAAGCUAAUCUUUUUGUUUACCAACUAUGUUCUUCCAUGUAUGAUGCCAUAACCAAGUUUUGUUGACAAAUCUUCUGCAGCUGAAAAGUUUAAAACAAAAUCCUGGAAACUACUUGCAGGCUUUGAAAUCUAUUCCACGAACUUUAAGGAUGAUGUGAGUAUUUAAAUAAAUUGAUAUGUUUUGAAGUAAAUAUUUGUCUUGUCACUCUGUUACUGGUAGUAAUUUUUCGUAGUUGGGGUAAUAUCAUUUCUGUUGCUCAACAAUUUUUGGAUAACUUCUGAGUCACUUUACUUUGAUCACUGUACUGAUAGUAUUGUUUCUUGCUUAAAAAAUCCAAAAAUUCUCUUUCACAUAUAAGUUUCCUUUUUCAUACUGAUCCUUCUUUUUCAUUGAAUUUCAAACUAAAGAAAUACCCGAGUUAUCAAGAUGUUUGGUGGGGUUUUGGCUGACAAGCUUAUCAUGAGCAUAAAUAUUCAACACAAAACAUGCAGAAGGAUUAUAUGCAACAUCAUUUCCUUUGUCAGUGUGAAAUUUAUCACUAAUGUCAAUUUUGUGCAAGAUGUGCACGUCUUUGCUCUUCUCCUCAUCCCUCGGGGUUCCAUUCAGUCCUAUACUUUCAUAUCAGGCUGAUUGAUAUUUUGAUGGUAAAAACACUUAGGCUAAUAGGCUGGUGUAAUAUAUUUGAAACAUAAUUGAUGAGUGCAUGUAUUUUUUCACCCUGUUUGUACGCUUCACUAUCUCCAAUAUAAAAUUGGUGGAUUCAGCACUAGACCUCUGCUUUUGAGAUACUGAAGCUGAAACUCUAAAUGUUUAGACUGUUUAUAUGGUGAUGUUUUCUCUUACGUUGUGCAGAGCAAGUGUGCUAUGAACACAAAUAAAAGAUGAAAAUAUUCAUUCAUUUUAUCAUUCCAUCACUUUUUUUCUUUUAGGUAUGUGCAUAGUUAUCAAAGCUAUUUGUGGAACAACGCAGCAAGUACAAGGGUUAAAAAAUAUGGUAAGUUGUGAUUUGUAAUAAUUUUCUAUCUUGCUUUCUCUGACAAUUAACUUCCAAUGUUACAUCUCCUGUCAUCCUUACUGCAUUCAAUGUGUUUUUCAUACAAUCCUUGCCAAGAACAAUCAUUAUUAUGGCAGUUGAAGUUAGAUGAUUUUUUAUUAAGUUGAAUUCAACACUACUAUGUGGCAGGAACUGAACAAGUAGUAUUAGGAGACUUGGUAUACUGUAAAGAAAAUCCUUCCGAAAAAGUUACAGGGAUUGUUGGACCUGAAUGUGAUGAUGACCGCGGCGAUAGUUAUGAUACUAAUAACGAAGAUGAAGUCUCUGGAGAUAUUCAUGACAAAAGAAAUAGCUAUGUAAAGGUUAGUCUUUUGAUUUUUGCCUAUGACAGAGGUCUGUUACUAAACCAAGUUAUUGCUUUAGAUGUAUGUCCUUUUAUGUCAUAUCUUUCUGGUUUAUUAUUUGAAUAUAGUGCGUACAAUAUGCAGACAUAGAGAUACAUGUAUGCAGAUUUUGUUGGCUAUUCCUAUUUUUAGUCUUUUUAUAUAUUGCUAUUAUACUGAAUGUAAGUUCAAGAUGAAAAUGUGAAACUUAACUUUUUUAUAUAAUAGUAUAAAUUCAUUAAGACAAAGGAGAUUAUGGUUAGAGUUAAAAGGAUAAGAAAACCUCUUGGAAAAAAGGAAAACAAACGAUAUAGAACAAAGAGAGCAUGAAUGAAGAUAUUAGGGUUACUAGUCCUGUUCGUCUUAGUCCCGUGAAUGUGUGCCAUGAGGACAACACAUUGACCUAAUUAGCAUAUGUUGGUACAAAAAGUGCAUUAGAUUAUUAUAUUUGAGGAAUAUGCUACUAAUACUAUAAAUCUUGUAACGUUGUCAUUCUCUCCUUUUCCUUUUUAUAGUCUAAACCUUCAGACCCAUUUAAUGGUCAAAAUAAGAGAGAAAUGAUGGAUAAACUAUCAUAUUGUGCCUUAAUUCAAUGUUUGUUAAGUAACAUGAUAGGAUUACUUAAUUCUUUUGCCUAUUCUAUUUUGUCUAUAUAUUUAAAAUUUGGGUUAAUAUCUCAAAUAGCCCCUGUACUUUGGACGAGGUCAGAAGAUAGGCAUAUAAAACAAACACACAGAUCCCACCCUUGUAAUUUUUUCUUCAUAUUUUGACCCUCAUAUAAACCAGCCAGCAGAAUAUGAUGACGUGUCACUGACACACGAAUAUUUUUUUUUCCUUCCGUUUUUCUUUUAAUCCAUGUGACAUACACAUCAUUUAACCUUUAGUUUUUACUUUAUUUUCAUAUAUAUAUAUAUGUAUAUAUACUUUGGUGAUUUGGUGUUAACUUUGUCGGCAUUCGAUGGAAAUCGCUUCAAAUAUCAUAUAUAUAUAUAUAUAUACAGGGGCUGUUAACUUGCACCCACCUAAAAACACUAAGGUGCAAGUUAACAAGCUGCACCUACUAGUUAUUUACCAAAACACCCUUUUGUCUAUAUUCAAAUUAAUUUUAAAAAGAAGGGUAGCUUUGUAACUAACUUAAGGACAUGAUUGUGUUCCAAAACACCCUCUUGUUCCUUAAUACUCUGAGCAAAACCAUCUUUAUCAGACCAUAAUAUCAAUGAAGCAAGCAUAUAAAUAAGUAUCAAUUACCACCGACUAGCAGAAAAUCAACAUGUAGCACAGCGAGAGAAGCUUGGAAGAGAAAAUAUAUAAUUAUAGGGUAUGUUGUUGAAAUGGUGUUAACAUAAAUUAAUAUUACUAAGGACGAAUAAGAAAGAAAGAAAGACUUGACAGAAAAAAAAAGAAUGAAAGAAAGAAAGAUGACGACGACAAGGAGAUGGAGUAAGAAUGAUGAUACAAACCUGCGAUACCUACGAUGCGUGUUCUCCGUGUGAAAUUGUUUUUAUUAAUUUAAUAAUAUAAUGACAAAUCUACCCUUCUGCUUAAAACAGGUUUCAGGGUUAUAAAUAUGUUUUUUGGUAAAUAACUAGUAGGUGCAGCUUGUUAACUUGCACCUUAGUGUUUUUAGGUGGGUGCAAGUUAACAGCCCCCUAUAUAUAUAUAUACUUUGGUGAUUUGGUGUUAACUUUGUCGGCAUUCGAUGGAAAUCGCUUCAAAUAUCGGUAAUAUAAAAUAUAAGUAAAACUUUUAAUUCAAAAUGUCAAUAUAAUAAAUAUAUUCUUUACAACAACAACAACAACCAAGCCUUAUCCCACUAAGUGGGGUCAGCUAAUAUAUUUUUUAAAAAGGUAAAUGUCAAAUAUAAUAUAAUAUACUGUAACAACAUAUAUGUUGUUCUCUUUCAACAUUUCAUAGAACUUAGAAUACACAGUGCAAUGAACGGUAGCGUGUAUCUUGUCACCCUGUAUAGAAAUUUGUUUGGUAGUUACAAACAAUAACGCGUCGAUUAAAAAAAAUCACAGAAUCCGAAAAACAAAAAAAAUAUUAUUUUCCGAGGCUUACAUAAUCCAUGAAAACCAUUUAUAUAGCUGUCCCUAACAACAUCAAUCUGAUAGACUGAUACCACAACCUCACAACACGAACCACAAUGAUUAGAGAGUUAUUGUGAAGGGAAAUUUGUGAGACUGAAUCGUAAAACCUUCAACGAUGCAAGAGAAAAUAGAAAAUAUUGGUAUAUCAAGUGUGUAGUGAAUAACAAAAUAUCAAUGGUGCAGUAGACUCGUUGUCCUAUAUAGUUUUGAAUAACAAAAUAUCUCACAAAUUCUAUGAUCCUUACGGUUUGUGUUCUUUGGCUGUGGUAUCAGUCUGACGUUGUUAGGGACAACAUGUCACAAUCCAUAGAAAUGGUUUUCUUGGAUUCUUAUGUAAGCCUCGAAAAAUACAAAUUUUUCGUUUUUCUCUUUUUGUGAUUUUUUUAAUCAACACAUUAAUAGAACUACCAUACAAAUUUCUAUCCUGGGUAACAAGAUGCACACUGCCGUUCAUAGCAUUAUGUAUUCUAAAUUCUAUGAAUUGCUGAAAAAGAACAACAUAUAUAUGUUGUUACUAAUAUAUUACAUUAUAUUUGACAUUUUCCCUUUUAAAGAAUAUAUUAUAUUGACAUUUUGCAAUAAAAGUUUUACUUAUAUUUUAUAUAGUAGUGUUAUAUUGACAUCCAAAAGCCAACAACUUUCCACACACCAUAUGUCUCUUACAUUGAGCUAUUAAGGCUGGCAUGCGUCUCAAGCAAAUAAAAAUGAUUACAUAAAUUGAUUUGUACACUUUACCAGAUAAAAAUACAGUGUGGACAACUAUUAGGUUGUUCAUUUAUCAUUUCCCUAUUUUAUAUUACCGAUAUUUGAAGCGGGUUUCCACUGAAUGCCAACAAAGUUAACACCAAAUAACCUACAUACAUAUGUAUGUAUGAAAGGUUAAACGAUGUGUCUUCCACAUGGAUUAAAAGAAAAAUGGAAAAAAAUCCAGUGUUAGUGACACGUCAUCAUAUUCUGCUGACUGGUUUAAGUGAGGGCUAAAGUAUGAACAAUCCAAAAUCCCAAGUGUGGAAUCUGCUUUUUUUUUUUUUUUUUUUUUUUUUUUUUUAAUCCAAGGACUAUUUUCAAAUUGACGUUCGAAACUGCUGGUCCAUAUCAUAAACAUUUGAAGCCUCCAAGCUAUCAUGAGUUGAUAUUUCCGAUGCUUAAUAAGGAGUUGGAAUACAGUGAUAAAUUUUUUCACAAAGUUAGCUGUGGUUUUUUAAUAGAACAUUGCAUCCAAGUGGCCUUUUGUACUCUUUGCAGCCGGAAAAGUGACCUCUUCAGAGGGCAUUUUUCCACUUCAAAAGCAAUGUUAUGUCCCGGGUGUUUGGGGUGCAACUAGAAGCUUCCUUUUAUUCCUAAUUGAUGUUGUUUGACCCUAGAAAUUUCUCCCGUAGUAAGUAACAAUCUUACAAAAAUCACAUGUAACCCUCUUCCUAUACUUGUCCUUUAAACUAUUCCAUCUCCAUCCUAAUUAAUAUUAGGUGUCAUAGCUGCUGGAAUCUCCAUCCUAAUUAAUAUUAGGUGUCAUAGCUGCUGGAAGGUAGUGAAGUUUGAAUUUGAUUUUUUUUAAUCUAAAAAUAAAUCCUGGUAGAGUACUACAAUGGGAAGGAUAAAUUAACAAUUGAGAAUUUUUAACAAAAAAUAGUCACACAACUAGGAACAGCCAAAGUUGUGUGGACGGUCUUCCUUCUAAAUAAGGUUUACAAUUUAAAGUGGGUUUACUUGAUAUGGCAGGCUGUGACCACUGAAGAUCUAAAUUCAAAAUGUUAUGCAAUUGAUGAUGUCAUCCUUCCUAUGCCAGGGUCAGUUUGAUCAAAUUAUGUGUGGCUGUUUAUUUAAUUAAUUUGUUUGUGUGUGUGUGUGUGUGUGUGGGGGGGGGGGGGGNNNNNNNNNNNNNNNNNNNNNNNNNNNNNNNNNNNNNNNNNNNNNNNNNNNNNNNNNNNNNNNNNNNNNNNNNNNNNNNNNNNNNNNNNNNNNNNNNNNNUGGGGGGGGGGGGGGGACAUGUGUAUAUUUAUUUGAUUAACUCUAUAUUUAUGAUCUUGCAGUUCACGGUCAAUUUAUCCAACCAAUGAUAUUGUCGAAGUGUAUAAUGAUUUGACAAGUAAAGUACGUACCAGUUUGACCUCUUGUAAUUCUAGUAUACUAAUUUUUGCAUGUGUAUGAUGAUAUCCAAGAAGCCAAGAUUGAAUGUCGUGUCAGUUCACUUUUGAACUAUUAUUUGAUUGGUUUGCAUUUUGGGAUUCUUAAGCAGAUUAUUUUAUUUCAUGUUGGAAGAAAUUAAAAAAUUGUUCUAACUCUGCUUCAUUUUAUUGUGUCAAGCUGGAAACAGUCCUUUGCUAUGAAAUCAGUAAUGAUCUUGAAAUUGAAAUAAGUUGAUUUUUAAAUUUGGCUAUAGGUUAUAGCUAUAGCUAUUCCUUAAGGGUUUGUUUGGGAAUUGGAAGUGGAGUGUUUGAGGGAAAAGGGAGGAGGAAUUGGGAGGGGAAGGGAGGAAAGUCCCCACUUCCCAUGGGGAUUUAUUUUCCUCCACAAAGAUUGAAACCCCCUAAUUUUAGAGAACUCAAAAAAUAAAUUGGGGGAGGACUCUGUUAAGGUUUUGGAAGGCUUUGAAAAAUUUCUCAAGUCAUUUUCCCUUUUUUAUGAUAUUCUCAGCAAAGAAAAUAUUAGUCAUAAGUCCCUCUCCUCCCCUCCAAAAACACUCUCAAACAAGGUGGGGCUUCCCCUCUCAUUCCCUCCUCUCCUAACACCCGAACAAAGUCUAAAGGUUAUAUGUAAUUUCUUACAUGCCGUAAGAGACCAACCUGAAGAUCCUGCUGUAUCGACGUGAUUAAUAUUAAUAUCCAGUAGUUGAGUUGGUUAUUAGAACUGGCAUUUCUAGUUACGACAUCAGUAUAGGACAUAGCUUCUUUACUUCCUCUCUUUGUACCUCAUCCUUCUGUUACUCCAGCUAGCUCCGCAUAUAUUUAUGGUUCUUUCCUAGCAUUUUUCACAACCUGCUUUGCUCAUUGUUCGAUCCAUAAAUGAUUUAUUUUACUAAUUAGUUACAUAUUUGUUUUUACUGUUCAGGAUGGAAUCAGUUUAACUGAUAGCGUGCAUAAUGCAAAGUAUGUAAUAAGAAUCUCGUCUCAAAUCUCAACGAGUCUGAUUCUACAUUCAUUGUCUAUUUUACCCUUCUUGUUUGUUUUGCCAGUUCCCUUACUCUAGUUUAUUUUUACUUCUUAUCAGGGAAUUCUCGAUCACUAGUGUUACUGGAAGUUACAGGAGGGUUUUUCAGAAACCAAUUGACUUUGAAUGGUACAUGCCUAACUUAAUCCUCUGCUUGAUUUCAUAGACUAUUAUUUAUACCUGUUUUUUGAAUGAAGUCCACUUGUUGAAUAAUGUCUUUGACUGGAUGCAAUUGCAGGGAAUUACUUACAUAUACUGAUAGUAAUAAGCCAUUGGUAGAGACAGAUUUAGAUAAAAUUGGAAAGUCUAAACCUAUAAUUGUCAACACAGUGUGUGCACUAAAUGAGCAAAAGGAGAAAGUCUUUGAUUGCAUUAGCCAAUUAGAGAGCUCUGAUGAUGCUCCAAAGGAAGUAAUAUUACCACAUGAUGAAUCUGUCCAUGACUCCAGCUCUCAAGACUCCCAUACUGCUCUCAAGUUGACUUUUACUCUUCCUUCUUCAUCUUAUGCGACAAUGGCGAUAAGAGAGCUUCUGAAGACUUCAACAUCUGUAAGCACCCAAGUUGAAAAAGCCUUUUACUCUUACAAUGUUUGUUCAAGUUAUAAUCAUGACUGAUAAAUUUCUAUUAUUGGUUAUUUGUUCUUGAACAAUAGGCUUCUAAAAACAUAAAAUUUGAGUAAGCUUGAUCCUUGCAUAUUAAUAUUUUAUGUACUAUUAAUAUUUUUUAAAUGCUGCUGCAGGUUGCAUAUCAGAAGACAUUAAACCAGUAAUUAUCACAGAGAACACUUGAAAGAUAAGUUUAAGCUCAAAUGUUUCUAAUUCUCCGUGGAUGACUGGAUGCUAUAUGUAUCUAAGUAUCUUGUUCGAAGUAAAGUUGUAUACUCUUAGUUUUCUCUAUAUUAUGCUGGAGAUACCGCGACUUUUCUACUGCAAAUUAUAGUUGAAUACUUUCAAGUACCGUAGCAUUAGUUUUAUUUAAAGAUUUCCAUGUAUUAGUUUUAGUGCGUUGUGAUUGCACAUACUUUCCUAUUUUUGUACUGUAGCAAUUCUUUUAUUUCCUGUUGUACUUAUUUUUUAGCUGCAACAUUCUAUUCCUAUGCUUUCUUUAGACACAUGAUAAAAGUAAUGUUUCAUUGAAAUCCGCUGAAUAAUAUCAAGAAAAUUUGGAUCAUAGGUAGGAAGUUAAACGUAGUUAAUUGCUAUAUAUCUGUUCUCCUUUUGAAUAACCAAUUUAAUGUCUUGAAACUUACAAAGUGAGAGAGUCUGCGGCAGAAGGUAUGUUGAAACCAAAUUAGUUCUGACUUUUGUCUUGAUUAUUAUGUAUACAUUGCAAUGAAAGAUUCAAUGAAGGAAUUUAUCAUGCCUGCGUAGAGAGGACUUCACCAUAGUAACAAUAGAACCCACCAUUUCUUAUCCGUACAAUAUUUCGUUUAAUGCUGCGAGUAAGAAGUACUGCAUGAUUUAUCUACAAAAAAAAUGCGACGAGUGCAUAAUUUCCAUUCUAUAGUUUCUGUUACAACAAAUUACUAUUGUCACCUUAUCUGAUAUUUUAAUACUCUCUUCAGUCACUAUUAUAUGUUAAAAAUAACUUUUUAUAUCAAUUAUUCAAUUAAUUUAAAAUGUUUUUUUUUUUUGCUUAUUAUAGAAUUGGAGGAAAUAUUUUUUUUGAUGUCAACAUAGUGUGAAUGUCUUGUAUGGCUCCUCAGAAGGAUGAAUAACACAAAUGGAGAAAUGGUCUAAACUUAUUUAUCAAAAAACAAUAGUGUUAAUGCCUUGGGAAAAAAAAAGAGCGUGGACUGUUGUAACAAGUUAGUUGGGAACGAGAGAGUGAGCUAGUAGUUCACUUCACAGUCUUUGAGUACUCGAUAGAACAUCAAGUAUAUUGUGACAGCACACGAGAUGCAUGUAAUGUAACGCAACGUUUAUGUUAGGGAUGGGGGUCCCACGUUGUCUUUUAUCAUUUUAGUCUGUCUUUUGGCCCACGAUUCUGUCGCUAGACACUGCCUCUCAUACUCAGACUUUAUAACUCAUCGUUCAACAGUCAGUCAAUGUCAUAUUUAUUUCAGUAUUGAUGAUAUAAUCUUGGCUCUACGGUUUUUUUUUUUGAGAGAACCUCUAAUUUAACAAGAAAAAAAAAACUAUUUUUUUCUUUAAGACACGAAUUGUUAUUAUGUUUAGAAUGAUAAAAUGCACUUAAAUGAAAUAUGAACAAUGAUAGCGCAGAAAAUCAGAAGCGGAAGCUUGUUCAGAAGCUCUGUUCGAAAGCUCGUUCAGAAGCAGUUUCUGAUUCUAAGGUUUAUGUGAAUUAGAGAGAGAAUUGAGAGAGAAGUAAAAUUAUGAUGAAAUUGUAAUUGAUUUUUAUUGAUUCUACAUACGAAAAUAUACAAAGGAGGUAGCUUAUAUACAAUGUCUAGCUAAGUUGCUUGAAACACAAACAAUGUAACAAACUCUAGAUAUUAUCUGCUAACCUCUAAGAAACUUGUAACAAACUUCAUAACAAACUAAAACAAAAUGUGAUUAACCACUGAUUGUGAUUAUCACUAAACUAAACUUGAAUUAAAACAAAAUAAUAAACAAAAAUGAUGUAAAACAAAGAUAUUCUGUCAAGAUGAACUCACGUGUGGUCUGGUCUUGCUCUGUGACUGUGACUGUGGGCAAUGCAAGCAAAGUAGAAGAGGGUAAAAGAGCUUGCACGUGGUGGUGACUGCCAUGGUGAUAUGUGAAGAUUCCCAUCCUUAAAAUCACUGGCCCCACUCUCUGUUUAUUUUCACGUGCACUGUCAUUUCUGUACCGUUAAUUAUACUAUCGUCACUAUCAGGCUUAGCUACUGCUACUCUAGUACUCCAUCCAUGCUACCCCCUCCUCGCGCGUGUACUUCAAUCCCCAAAUCAUUCAUUCAUCCAACCGAUUUGCAAACUUCAAAAUAAAUUAAAUGUAAAAUGAAAAAUCUCACGUACUAUGGAUAUGACCACUCAUCGAAUUAAACCUGCAUUGGCGUCGAAAACGUGUUGGUGUUCAACACCGAUAUAUAUGAUUAUGUUGAAUUAUAAUAGGCGUCAGCGUGACAUUUUUUAUGUCUUGUCCCAUGUCCAUGCUUCAUAGUGAAUAAGUCAAAAGAUAAAGACGAUUAACUAAUAAUAUUUUAGUAUUUUUAUUAGUUGAGAAAGAACUUGUGGAUGAAAUAUUGUUAUUUACUAUAAUUCAUUUACAAUAUCUAUUUUUAAAAUUAACGGUUGAUCUUUAAAAGAAAUAGUUCACUUUAAAGGUUUGUUUGGUUCAAGGGAUAGUGAAGGGAUUGAUUGUGGGGAGGAAAGAAAGUGAGGUGAACCAAGAUCUUUUUACAGUUUGGACUCCCCGUCAGUGAGGUAGGAAAGAUUAGUUUUUAUGGGUCCCACGGCUAAAAUCCUUUCCGCCCAGUUUUAGAAAGAAAGCAAAGAAUGGAGAACCGCUUCAGUGAAAGGACAAAAUUGCUCUUGCUUUUGAAAUGUGUUUUUUUACAUCACAAUCAUAUUGUGGUUUUAUUUUUUGUUUGUUUAAUUUCUUGUUUUUGAGAUCUAAGGCAUCAACCAAAGCAUACAUUAGUUUUUCUUUUGCUAUAUGCUACCGUCACUUUGUUUUUUCACAUCAUGUACUCCUGGUGUUUUCUUUGUUUUAGUUGAUUAAGUUCUUGCGAAUAACAUGUACAAAAAUCAAUUAGUAAUUAAGUCAACGUUUAAAUAAUAAUGUAAUAAUACUUAUUUUAAAUUUACAUUUAUUAUAUAUAUAGUCGCACAUUUAUUACCUCAUUAAAAUAUGACAUUUAUAUUAUGUAAGGGUGAUUAUGUCAUUUACUAAGUAAUAUAUAUUUCUUUCCUCUCACUUUUGAUUCACUUUCACUCAUACCAAACAACUAAAAAAUCAUCUCACUUUCCAUUCACUUUCUAUACACUUCCAUUCCUUCAACAAUCUUUCCUCUCAUUUUCUUCUCUGAUCCAAACAAAGCCUAAAUGAGUUGAAUAACGUUGGAAAACAUACAACCGUAGUGUGUAGAUUUGAGAAUGUUACAUUAGUUAAUUUAUAGAACGAUUUAUAUACUUUGUAUAUAUAAAAAUUGGUAUUAAUUUUUAGGCUUAAUGAUGGUAUUAUUUAUAUAAUAUUAAGUGAACAUAAAGGAUAGGCAGCUAUAAAUAAUAAUGCGUCAUAGAAUAUAGAGAUCAAUUUGAAUUGACUUGCCUCAAUUUAUUUAUGGCUUAUUAGGAAGCGUGUUUCUUUGAAUUCAUACACUUUUUAAUUUCAUCUAAAUAAACAAAACUAGCAUGUUAAGUGUUGACAAACAAGAGAGAAAGAGACCGGUUGAUUAACGUCAUGCAUGUAGAGUAUAGUAGUAGAGCUGCUUUGGUAGCAUUAGCAAACAUGUUGGAUGAAGGAGAACAUUUUGAAUUUGAGCAAUUGAGUAGUACUACUACUACUAGUCUUCUUCCUUCGUCUUCUUCUUCUUCUUCUGUUGCAAACAUCAACAACACCUUCCACCACAUACCCUUAAUUCCUUCUACUUCUACUUCCAAUUCUCAUGAUCAAUUUCCACUUCAAACUCAAAUAAACCUCUUCCACCCAUCAAUAUUAUCAUUGCCCCACCACUCCCCUAACACCACUACCUUUAAUUCUAAUUCUAAUUCAAUCAACUUCCAGAUCCAAAUUCCACCACCGUUGAUCAUCGAUUCUAGCUGGACCAACCACGAACUUCUUGUACUCUUCAAGAUCACAUCUACCAUCCACAAUUUCUUCCCAGAUCAACUCAUCACAUGGGAUCAUGUCUCAAGGUAAUUACAAUUAUUAUAUAAAUGUUUCAUUGAUAUUUGGUUAAUUAUGUCAAUUGUUGUGUGCAGUAAGCUAGCUGAGCUUGGGAUCAAGAAGAGUGCUCAAAAUUGUAAGGAGAAGUUUGAACAUGAGAACGCAUCAUUUUUCCCCCGGUUCGUUAGCGAGCUUCAAGAUCUUUAUCAAGGUGGUGGUUUUAGUGUUGACGAAAACACCCAACUCGAAGAAGAUGAUAGAUUAGAGACCAAGCAAUGUGAUGAUGAUGACGACAAGGUGAGGAUGGAGAAAUCAAAGAACAAAAAGAGGAAGAGGCGCCGUGAUAGAUUUGAAAUGUUGAAGAGUUUUUGUGAGACAGUGGUUAAUAAAAUAAUAGCACAACAAGAAGAAAUACACAAUAAGCUACUUGAAGACAUGCUCAAAAGAGAUCAAGAAAAGCUUGAUAGAGAGGAAACAUGGAAAAAACAAGAGAUUGAAAGGAUGAACAUGAUGGUACAAGAACAACAAGCUAUUGCAAGUGAUAGACAAGCCAACAUCAUUGAAUUCUUGAACAAAUAUCUAGCCACAGGAUAUUCUUCUUCUUCUUCUACACAAUUGCACCCACAAAACCCUAAUAAUCCUUCUAACAAUCUAGAAUCAAAAACACCUUUUUCUAAUGUGAUAGCAGAUCAAAACCCUAGCUCAAGUGACACAGAGUACUCAAAUUCCACUUCUACCCUUGUUGUGCCUACAAUAAUGGAGAAAUUAGAGGAUAGGAGAAGGUGGCCAAGAGAUGAAGUGUUGGCACUCAUAAACCUCAAGUCUACUACAAGUGUAAUAAACAGAAGCAACAAUAAUGUUGAAGGAAAUAGUAAUAAGGGACCUUUGUGGGAGAGAAUCUCUGAAGGGAUGUUUGAGUUGGGAUACAAGAGAAGCGCAAAGAGGUGUAAAGAAAAAUGGGAAAACAUAAAUAAGUAUUUUAAAAAGACAAAGGAUAUUGUUGUGAAUAAGAAGAAAAGGUCAAUGGAUUCUAGGACUUGUCCUUAUUUUCAUCAACUCAGUUCUUUGUAUAAUCAGCAGCAGGAAAAAUAAUUGAUCCACCCCAAGCUCAGUCUUCUGAUUCUCCAAUGGGGUAGUAUAAACAUGAUUAAGAAUGAUACAUCAUGUUUAUCAUGCAAUCAGUGAAUUAGCCGGUGAGAAAAUAUAUUUUUGAAUUUGUUUACUUGUCCCAUUUUUGUUUUUUUUUUUUUCAUCAAAAUAAUUAGUUCAACCAUAUAUUUUUUUCGUUUCUUUUAAUUGUUUUGCUUGGUGAUUAGCAUCCUUGUUUUGUUAGAAGAAAAUCACGGUUCAAAUUAUAACUUGUUAGCAUACUGCAGUCCACCCCAGUGACUGCGGAGAAAUACAUCUAUUUAUAUAUGUUGGGAGCUUCUACGGUGCAUUUAGUAGUGGUGAAUAAUGACUAUUCCGUGAAAAUUUAAUUAUGUUUUGUAGGUGAAGUUGAGGGUGUUGGGUUAAUGAGCAUAGUUUUAAAACUCGGCUCGGUUAUCGAUUCGGCGGGGGUACUGGGUCAAUGGUCGAACCACUGAGUCAUUGGUCGAACCGCAUGACUGAAUCGGAACCACUCAGAUGAUUCGGUUAGAUAACUCGGUCCUUAGAUUAAAUUUAUAUAGUUAUUUAACCGGAUUAACUCGGAUUGAAUCGGUGACUCGCGAUCACUUUAGAAACUAAAAUAAUUAAUGAGUGUUGUAAUUUAAAAAAUGUUUACAUUUAAGGACAAAAAUAAAAUAAAAUGGGUGUUUAAAUAUAUGGACGAAGAGAGUAAUACAUAUUCAAAUAAAUAUAGUAAAAUAAAACUAUUCUUUCAAAAAAAAUAUUGUAAAAAAAAUGUUUAUUAAAAUAUUUGAGAUGUCGGACAAUAAUAUUUAAAUGAUAAGAGUGAGCUUGGUUCCUUAAAAUAAAAAAGAGUGUUUGGUUUCCUUUAAAAAAAUAGAAACGUUUACUUGUAUAAUAUAUUAUGAAGAUAGAAUAAAAAAUAAAAAGAGAAUACAUGUUUUUUUUUUUUAUUUUUAAGAAAGACAAAAUACAAGUUAUUCAAAAAAAAAUGACAAAAAUACAAAUUAUGCAAAAAAAAAAAAAAAAAAGACAAUACAAGUUCAAAUGUGAAUGGAAAAUCAAUAUGGUAUUUUGAAUUAAUAUAUAAUCAAUAUGAAUCAAUAUUUUAUCACAACAAACAAAAGUGGUGCAGUGGUUCUUAGUGCCUUAGUGAAUACAUGCGCGCCUGUUCGAUCCCCAGCUGCACCAAUUUUCAAUAUUUUGAUAUAUAAAACAAUUGUCCAUUAAAAAAACCGGUCAGCUCAUUAAACCGCCGGUUCACCGGUUUUAAACAAGUUUGUCCGGUUCAUGCCGGUUCUCACCGGUUUAAAUGCAUGACCGAUCCAAUAUGUCAACCGAACCGGUUACCUCUCCGAUUCAUGGUCGGACCGGUUCGACCGGCCGGUCCGGUUUUCAAAACUAUGUUAAUGAGGGGAUGAACUUUUUUUGGAUGAAUAACUUAAGGAACUUAAACUUGGGAGGGAGGGUCCCAUAUAUAAAACAAUUGUCCAUUAAAAAAACCGGUCAGCUCAUUAAACCGUCGGUUCACCGGUUUUAAACAAGUUUGUCCGGUUCAUGCCGGUUCUCACCGGUUUAAAUGCAUGACCGAUCCAAUAUGUCAACCGAACCGGUUACCCCUCCGAUUCAUGGUCGGACCGGUUCGACCGGCCGGUCCGGUUUUCAAAACUAUGUUAAUGAGGGGAUGAACUUUUUUUGGAUGAAUAACUUAAGGAACUUAAACUUGGGAGGGAGGGUCCCAUAUUGAAUUUUGCUUUUUGUGUAGGAGACUCGUUGUGCUGUGUUCUCUCGUGCUUCACUGAGCAGUGCCAUUCAUAUUUCAUUGAGAUUGAAUAGUGAUAUUUGAACAACCAUUUCAUACAACUUUUGGUGACAAUUUUUUUUCCUCUCUUUUUAUUGGUUAAAAACAAUGGAGAGAGAAAAAGGAAGAGAGAUAAUAAGAGGAUAAUGUGAGUAUGAGAGAGAAAAUUGUCAAAAGAUUAUCACAAAGUGGAUAUACAAAUAUCAUUUAUCUUUGAGAUUUGGACCCCUACCAUUUCUACUAUCUCUUUUAAUUAUUUUCUCCCUUCUAAUGAGACUUAUGCGUGAGCGAUUGGAAACUAGGGAGGGAUAAAGAAGUAUCUAAUUUGCAAUUUUUAAUUUCAAUAACCCGAUUUCAAACUAGCGGUUAAAAUCUUUUUUCAUUUGAUUUUGUGAUUGAGUCAGGGAAGUCUUUUGAGAGAUCAUCCACAUUGAAAGUGAGUUUGAAAAUCACAUUUCAAUCCAAAAUGUUAAGCCAUUAAGUUUAUGGUUUUCUCACUUUUAUAUUGUUCAACUAUCCCCCUCUCACGUGUGACUUAUAAGUCAUACGUACCACACAACUAUCCUCCUCUCACAUGAGUCAAUACAUUUAUUAUGCUCCCCGUCAAACGGAAACUUUUUUCAUCCAGAUACACAUGUACUUGCACCGCUGUUUGAACAACCUUAGUUAGGAAGACUUUUGAUACAAGGAGUUGGUCGAACCCUUUGCAAAUCAGGAUCUGAUACCAUUGUUGAAUCAUAGGGGGAGCCCAAAUAACCAUCCAUAUUGAGUGUUGAACAACCACACAAGUGAGUUUGGACACCAUACUACUAAUCAAGUGUCUUGGAUAUGUGAGUAACUAAUGCGAUUAAGGAUUUGUUAUACAAGAAGCUUUCACUUUAGUGUAAUUUUUUUGAAUUGAGAGAGAAAAUAAAGGAAAGUUUUAGAAAACCUAAGAAAAUUAAACAAACUAAAAAUAUAAAGAAAACAUACAAGGUUGAAUGAGAUGAGAAGUGGAAAGAAAGAUCGUCAUAUUCAUGAAGAAUGACUAGAUCAAUUGCGGAUUGACCACAUGAAUUAGUUGUUCAUGACAAGGAUUUAGAUUUAGUUCAUCUAAAAACCUAGAGAAAAUGAUAAAAUAAUUGUUAUUUAUAUAUACGUCUUGGCAUAUCACGCACAGUGCCAAAAAAAUGAGUUAAAAUCGUUCAAAAAGAAAUUAGAAAAACAAGGAGCGUUGUACAACUUCAAAAUAAAACAAUCCAAAUUUAAACUAAACAUUAUUACGAUCAAAAUUCACUACAAAAAUAUUAACAUAUCGAUCCUCAUUAAUAACAAUCAUUUUAGGCGUGUAAAUUUGUCUUGUUUUUAAUUUGUAUUUAGUGUUGUGUUUCAAAGACAUAACCUUUAUUAAACAUAUAUAUGAAGUACUAUUGGUGUCAUUAUAUUCCACCGUAACCUCCACAUUAACACCAUCAUUAAUUUUUUUAUCCUCCCUUUCGAUCUCCAUCCUCUACUAAUUUCUCCUCACCCCUUCAUAUAAAUCAUUCCUAACAUAUUCACGUAUCAUUAUUCUUAACAAAUAUAGCAUUGCUACAAAACAUACAUCAAGUUUUGUUACAAAAAUUCCAAUUUCAGAAUUUAUGUUUUGCUUUAUGCACCAAGGUUCAAUAUUGAAUCUUUGCUUACUUUGUACCAUUCAAGAAUUCACGAGUAAUAAUAGGAAUCAUCACUAGUAGUAACCGCAUAGCUACCAAAGGAAUCAUGCUUACUCUCCUUCAUUGAAUUAACAACCCAAUGAUCAUAGCGUGCUGAGUUUGACAACAUAUUUUGCUUCAAAGAAGCAAAUUCUAUAGACUUGUUUCUCUGUUCUGUUCCUUGUUUAGGUCUUUGUCUUGGUUCACUAAUAGACCUUGUUUUUGCCCUAGAAGAUUCUGUCUUGUUCAUGUAACUUGGUGAUGACCAUGAUUUUCUAGGAGGCACAAUAAUGUGACGCUGAGAUGUUGAUAAGGUUGUUGGGUCCAUAUAUUCAAUCAUGUCACUGUAGUACUUUUCUGGGCUGUUUGGUGCUGUGAGAAUUGUUCUAGGAUUAUUAUUCAUGUGAUUCUCCUUCUUUUUCAAUUGAUUUUCUCGUUUUGAAAUUGAUCGACUUCUUGAAUAAUAUGCCAUUGAGUCAUACUUUCUGCUUUUAACAUCUAGUGGACCACUUCUACUUCUCAUAACCUCCAACAUUUCUUCCAUGCUCAUAUUCUUUGAAUACUAUUCAACAAUUAAUAACCAUAUUAUAUAUAGUUAUUGAUAUAUAAAUGAAUAACAUCUUUGUUUAGAUAAAUAACAAAUAACUUGUGUUUAUGUCAUGAGCACUUAUCAUAUAAGAAGUGUCUAUGUAUAAACUAAACCUAUUUAAAAUAACUCAUUUUGAGUUUAUCUAUCGAAAUAAGCAAUUGUGAGAUGGUUUGAGAGAGCUUAUGGAAACAACUUAUGACAUCUCUAUAAGCUAUUUCAAGCUUAUUUUUUUAAACUCUCAAGAAUAGUUUAUGAAAAUAGCUUAUAACUUCUAUGAAAAUUGUUAACUUUAGUUUAUCUUUUGUUAUUGAAAUAAUUAUAUAUAAGAACUUAUGAUAAGCUCGUAUCAUAAAAGCAUUCAUGUGUAUAAGUUAAUCCUAUAACAAAAGACAAAAUAAAGUAAAAGUAUUCUCAUAUAAGCUAUUUUAGAAAAUUUGUGGAAAUAAGAUGGAAACAUCUUAUGUAGAUGUCAUAAACGGUUUCCGUAAAUUUUGCCAAAUAGUCUCACAACUCACAUGUGUUUACUUCUAUAGCUAAGUUCAAAUAAAUUAAUCCAAACAAACCUUAAACCGAUUCCAGUUACAAAACAUGUAACUGGAAAUUAGCCAAAAACUUUGUUAGAAUGAAUUUUCAAUAGGAUGGAUUGACAUCCAAAUUGAAUACUGGUUAUAUUACAUAAUCUUCUUUGUUCAAAUAUUUGGAAAGUUUCUGCAGAGGCUUACUUGAUUUUGUUGUAUCAUUUGACCUUUGAAGGAGGGAAUUUCUGUGUGUUUUGGAGGUUGUAUUUCGAGGGGAUUUACUUCUUCUGCCAUCUUAAUCCUUUUAAUUCGUGCUCUAACUUGUAUCGACAUCAAUGCAUGCAUUCCACGUAGUGUUGCAGUUGUUUGUUUCCUUACAAGGUGACCCCUCACUAGUGCCUGUAACUUCACCAAUCCCUUUAAAGCAUGCAAUGCUCUCCUUGCCUGCAAAUUUUGUAUGUAUGUUAUAGCAUAAACUUUGUAUCACAUACACUUGAGAUCGAGAAGACAUGUCCGGUGUGUGACACCAACACAUGCGAUCACAUUUUUUAAAAUGUAAUGAAAUAUAGAGAGAAGUUUAUACCAAGUAGGAGCGAAAGGAAGCUUGAAUCUUUGUAGCAGCUUUUUUCACAAAUUCAGCAGCUGUUGGACGAAACCUUGGGGACUGAGUAUAGAACAGGCCUUGUAUUUGUAAUUUUGGAGAGUCAUCUGAAUCAAAAGACUUGGAAAUUUUAUGAGCUACUACCUUGCCCGUUGAUCUUCCACUUGUUAGUUUUCGGAAGCUCCAUCUGCGCUUCACUACCAUCUUAUUACUAUUACUGCUGCUACUACUAUUAACCGUGUUUGCGGUCUUAUUAUCGGGGCAGAAUGUAUCAAUCUGCUUGAAGUUCUCUUCUUUUUUCCCUAGAAGAAGGUUUCUAAUCCAUUUGCUUGCCUUCCCCAUUUUUUUUCCUUCUCACCUUCCAAAAUUCUACUUACUGGUUUAAUAGGAUUUAGUAACUAAACAGGAAGAGUAACAAAUGCUAAGGCUAUAAUAUCAAAAUAAUAAAUACGCGUAAGAGAUAUAGUUUUGUUCAUAUGUUAGAUUUAAUCUUGUUACAUAACAUGCAUUAUAUAUGUCUCAUUCUUCUAUACUUGUUUAAUAAUGCUCAUUUUGUGUUCUUGUGCUGCUUUGACUAUUUGUUAUUGGCUUUGGCCUGCAAGGGCUUUUCCUGUUAAAGCCAUUUGCCACCCUCCUAGAGUUUCCUAUAUAUAAUUCGACGAGAGUAAAUAGUAAUUUUGUUCUUCAAACGUUGCGCUGUCACAGUCGUUUUUGAAUGUAUCAAAAUUACAAAAAUAUACAUAAAUUUAUGUUUCAUUAGUUUGUUUAGUUUUCAAAUUUGUGUCUCAUUAAUUUUUUAUUUUGAAGAAUCAUUUGGUUCUCAAAUGUAUCUUUUGUUAGUCAAUUUGUUUCAUAAAAUUACUAACUAAAAUCACACUCAAAUAUUUUAUAUAAUUUUGAUACAUUCGGUGAUUAUUGUGUCCAUGUAUCACAUAUUUAGAAUCAAAAUGACUAUUACACUUUUAACCUAGUCAAGAGCCAACAAAAUUUCCAUUAGUGUAUGUAGUAAUUUUUAGGGGACCAUGCUGUUAAAAUCAAAAGAUGUUUCUUUAUCAUGGUCUAACAGCUAGUUUGAGGGUUACAUUUAAAUAUUCAAUGAUACUGUCUCUCUAUAAAAGAAGAAGGUAAAAACAUCACUGUUUUGCAACGUUUUCUUUUGUUCCUUUGAGGCUUUAACGGGAAUUCAAGGGCCAUACAUUGCUUGCACGCAAGUGCUAAGAAAAUUAAUUAAGAUGUUAACAUUUUUUUAAUCAUAUAUCAGUGACCAUUUUAGUCUUAGAAGAUGAAUUAUGAUUUUGAUGAUUAAAUGCAGUAUUUAAUUGCUUAACUCUAAUUCAGUUUAAUGUUAACAUAAAUUAUAAAUUAGCACAAAUUAAUUAAAAAUGUUGUGUUGACUUGGAUUUUUUAUCUCUAUGCUGUUGUAGUGUUUUGGGUUUGGCUUUGAUCUAGUCAAGGAUAUUAACUAACCAUCGUUAGCUAUUUCGAAAAUUGAAGAUUCCAAGCAUCAUCCACUUUCACAUCAACUAAUGGGUUUAAUAGCUCAACUAGCUUGAGUAAAAGAUUAAAAGAGUUGAAGAGUUAAAUGUUCAUGAUUCAAGUCAUCGCAAUGAGAAAAAUAGAAACAUAAUAAUUAAAACAUUAACAUUUGUCAUUAAAAUAAACCUAACUAAAAACAUAGUGUUAAUUGUUUAGUCCAAUAGCUUUUGAUUCUUUGUAUAGUCCCUGUUUUUGGUCUCUCCACAUGAUCCUAUAGUGGUUUUUCACAUCAAGCUGCUAGAAUAUUCACAUUGCUCCUUCUAUAACUUGAUUCGGUAAUCCAAGGUUUAUAACACACACCCGCUCACAAAGGAGUUGAUAAAAAAUAAAAUUAUGUCAUAGAUUUUUCAAUCAAUAAAAUCAAACUUAAAUAAUUGACCCCUCAUAAUUGCAAAACUCAAAGGUCUGCUCAUGGAAUGCAAGAAUUGUAACCCUAGACAAAACUUUAAUAAUUGAGUACUCCAUCUUGCAGUAUAUAUUGGAAAUUUGCCACAAACCAAAAUCAAUUUGUUUUUUAUCAAGAGUUAUUAGAAAAGUUACCAUAUGGGUUCCAACAAGUUUUUGGUCUCAUUGGUCGUUGUUUCCAUACUAUUGCUACACUUGACUGCUGAAGGGAGCCUCUUUGACUAUUUGAAAGGUGCUUAAAUCCCUCUCCUCUCUCUAUCUAAUGUGAUAAUCUUACUCAAAUCAUAAAUUUUGACGCAUUAAUUAAUAUAUAUUAGUGUUGCAUUGCAGAUAAAGCUUGUAAAAUGGCUGUGGAUUGUGGAAAAGGAAAGUGUGUCGUUAGGUCAAACCACAAACAUCCAUUUAAGUUCGUCUGUAAAUGUGAACCUGGUUGGAAGCAAAUCAAAGCGGGUCCAAAACAUAUGUUCCUUCCAAAAGCAUGUGUCAUCCCUGAAUCUGAAUGUGAAUUUCACUCUGAUCUCUCUUUCUUAAUGUCAUAUAUUUGUUUGUCAUCAGCAUUAGAGUAGUAUAUGUUUGUUAACACGGUGACUCACUAUGAUUUUGCAGAAGCUACCAAGUGUAGCUUUUUAAAAAUCAUUGUGGAUCGCCGUGGUUUUGGAAAAUCUACGAUCUUACCAAACAUCCAUUUGAUUACUUUGUCAUCUAUUUCUUUCAUUUAUCUCUUAGGUUCUUUCUACACUGAGCUCAACCCAGGCCAAGAAGCAUGCAUAUGAUCGUUAUGUGGUAGGUGUCUAUCAGCGUGGUGAUGCUACAGGAGAAAAACUAAUACAAUCUGAGAUGGCUUCACACAUUGCUUAGUCUAAAAAAUGAUGAACUUCUCUAUAUUUUAUUGUUUUCUAUAUAUAUAUACAGUUUCAUCUUACCGUACUACUUCAGUUUUAAAUAUAAGCAAACAAACUUUUAUAUGCAAUGUAAGCCAAUUUGUAAGAAUGCGAUGAAUUUCUCUUAUUUUGUGAGCACCAGAUAAAACUUAUGCAUCUCUGAUUGAAAUAUUAAAGUACAAAUCAACAAUGUAAUUUGAAUUAUCAGCGACGUAGGUAAAGAAUUGUAUUAUUUGAUGAUAGAAUAUGAUGACUUCAACGUUCCUAUGAAGAGAUCAUAGCUAUAUAUCAAUAAUGAUAUAAUACUUGAUAGCCAUCCCUUUUGACUCACAGUGGAGCGAUUACAUCUAUAUAUGGAAACAAAUUAAACCAAGAUAACUAGGAGGGAGAAUCAACAAUGUUUUAAAAAUUUGAACGGGAAUCAAAAAAUAAUGUUGUUAAGCUAAUAAAUAAACUAGCAAAAUUUUAAAAAGGGUCAUACAAACUUAUAAACUUGUGCCCUUGAAAUAAGUUAAGAAGCUAAAAAAAUUAAAAGAUUAUACUCUUGAAAAGAUAAAUUUAAAACUUUUAAAAUAUUAAAUACAUAAUUUAAAAAAAAAAUAUAUUUGUAUGUUUAGUUUCUUAACUUAUAUUUAGGGAACAAAUUAACAUUAUUUUAUAUAUAAAAAAAGCCCAAUAGAUUUCACAAGUCCAAAAUUAAGGAAAAAAAAAAAAUCCUAAAUUUAAUAAAAUAGCAAACUCCAAAUUCAAUAUUGACAACAAAUCAACAAUGUGUCAUUUCUUCAACUUCGGUUCAAACAACUCUAAUCUAUUUCAUCCUCUUCGCCUCCCUUUCAUCUAAAAUUCUGUCAGAAAUAAACAUACAAAGAUAUGAAUUUGCAUCAUCUUCUUCUACUCCCUUCGAUCAGCUUCAUGCCUUCAUCCUCAACUCCUCCCUUCAUCCCUUUGACAUGCUUCAUCAUAUUCUUUAAUUUGUUUCACCUCCGUAAGCACAAUUAUUAACACAAUAAACUUGAGUGUAAGUUCUUUUUUUUUUUUUACAAAAGGUAACUUAUUUUUCUUCAUUCAACAUAAUAGAACUAAUACAAGAUGGAAUUAAAUAAAAAAUAUGGUGACUAGCAUACAAUUUUAACUCCUUGUUAAAGUAUAGGCAACAUAAAGUUUGGAAAUUGUUGUAAUAGCAAUCUACAAGUAGACAUAAUAUUGCCAAAAUUUGAUUGGUUGUUAGAUUUAUCCAUGAUGUCUUCCACCACUAGCUUGCAAUCUAGCACUAUUUGCACUAUUGAUAAUCCUAGUUCCCCAAGCCAAGAUAUAGCCCAUUUAGUUAGAGCUUUCACAAGUUUUUUAAUAUUAUCCAGAGAUUCCCUCAAUAAUCCUUUUUAAAAUGUAUCAGAUAUUAAAUAUGAACAUUUUUAUUAGUUAAAAUUCAAACAUUAAUUCGUCAAUUUGUGUGAGUAUGACCCCUUUCGCUAUACUCAGCUCCUGAUAGUAAAUCAAGUGCAAGUUUGGUGUUAACAUAUACUAAUAAACUUAUAAUAAUCUUUAAUUAUAUCAAAAGGUUGGCAAUUUUUAUCAAUAUCUUAUCUAUCAUCAAAACCACCAAGAGGCCAACACACAUUGAAUAUAUAUGAUCACUUCUCUUAUACAUUUUUUUUAUUUAGCUCGUUCAUGUCGAUGUCACAUUUAAAUUCCAUCCUAUUAAAAUUAUAUAAGCAUAUAAUAGCCGAAAUGACCCCUCGUAUUUUCAUGACUCUAAUGUUUGCUCAUGAAAUGUAAGGGUUGCUACAUUAUUCAAAACUUUUAUAACUAAUUGGGCACCUUGUGUAUAUAUUGGAAAAUUAGAACAAACCAAAGUCAAUUUAAUCAUUAUUCAUUUCCUUGUCUUUUAUAAAGUCUCAAUCAUUAAUAGAAAAGUUAACAGAUGGGUUCCUGCAAGUUUUUGAUCCUUCUGGCCGUGGUUUAUAUACUACUGCUACGCAUGACUGUUAAUGCCAAAGGGAGCUUUUUUCACCGUUAUAGAGGUGCUUAAAUCCUUCUCCUUCUCUGUCUAAUGCAUCAUGCAUGGAUAUGAAGUGCUGAUUUUGAAACAUUAUAUCUUAGUGGUUGCAUUGCAGAUAAAAUUUGUAGAGAGGUGGAAUGUGGAAAAGGAAAGUGUGGGGCUACAUCCACUCACAAAAACCCAUUUAGUGUAUUCUGUGAAUGUGAGCCUGGAUGGCAGCAAAUCAAAGUGGACCCUGAUUAUUCAAACAAGUUUCCUCCAUUACCAUGUGUCAUUCCCGAAUGUAAGCUUCACUCACUUUUUUUUUUAGAGCACUAGCUAGUAAUUUAUUUGCAUCAUUAUUGAAAACUUUGUAAUUUGCAGGCACCAUUAAUGAUGAUUGCAAGCAAGCUUUGCCUCUAGUUCCAGAAAAAGAUUUUCAAAUUCCACACAACAUGUCACAUUCUGACCGUAAGUAACUUAUCAUGGACAUACUCCGGUAUGAAAUAUAUAUAAUUAAGUAAAAAAAGUACUUAUAUUUGGUGGUUUCAAAUAUAAUUCUAACUUUAGUUAUUUUUACUUAUAUAUAAUCAAGAUCGGGAUCACAUACGUUUUUGUUUUGUUUUAACCGUUUUCUGUGGAAAAAUAUGAAAUACUAUGUAGCUUGCUAUUUGGCUUUUUGUGGGGAAGGUACCUGCAUCAAGAACAGCAAAAAACAAAAACAUAAUUACAAAUACAGAUGCGAAUGCAAACCCAAUUAUUUCAAUCUUCUAAACAUGUCUGGUUUGCCUUGUUACAAUAAAUGUACGAAAUCCAGAGCAAUAUUUUUUUAAUCUAAUUUACAGUUAAACUGUGGAUAUUGUAAAAUAGUUUUUUGUUUUUUGGUUUAUAAUUAAUUGCUCAGGUAGCCUUGGAUCUGAUUGUUCGAAGCUUGGAAUUAAAAUUGUGAAUUCAAUAGCUGACAAUUCAGGUGAAUUUAUUUUCAUCCACCACAUAGUCCAGAUUUAGCUACACUAAAAUGAAUUGGUUAUAAAAAUGAUUUUACAUAUACACUAGUCAAUUACCGGUUGGGUUGGUUAGCACGGGUCUUACUAAAUUUGGUUAUAUUUGAAGUAUAAAAUUAGAUCUUAGUUUCGCAAUUUUUUUUUCUGCCAAAAUCUCUAUUUAACCAACAGUUAGAUGCUACAAAACAGCAAAUCAUAACCAUCCUUAUGUUCAUUAGAGAGGUAAUAAAAGUUUAAAUGCAGAAAUUUAAUCAUCUUUUUUCAUCAGUUCUUUCCAUAGCAAGCUCAACCCGGGCCAAGAAGGUUCCAUUGGAUAUUUAGUAUAUGGGAGAAAAAAUUGUCAAGAGAAAAGAAAGGAGAAAUAAAGGAGAAAGAAGCAUGUUUAAUUUUUUAAAGAACAAACAUAUCCUCUUAUCCUAAAAACUAAUGUACUUUAUAAUUACUGAAUAGAAUUACUUAUCAAAUUACUGGUACUUUGUUAUUUUAAUCUAGUUACUAGCCGAUUAGUCGCCAGACAAAAAAUUCAUAGUUCAAACUUAGAAGAUGAUCUUUCACUAAUCAAUUAUAUCAUUAAUUGAUACUGUAUUUUUUCAAUAUCUUCUAAAUUAAAAUUUGAACAAAAGUAUAAUACAUCAAUUUUAAUUUACCGUAUAAACCAUAAAUAGAACAAAUGAUUGUCGAUAGUUAAUUGUAUAAUGAAUUGACCAAUGAAAUCACAUGUACAUGUGUACAUAGCUUUGUCCAAAUUUUUAUGUAGAAGAAAAUAUUUGGCAAUUCAAUCAAUAAAAAGAUACAUAUGUAUUUCAUUAGUUUUGUAUACAUUAAAAUUUGAACAAAGUUAUGAUACACCCGUAAUACGAUUUCGUCGGUCAAUUUGUUACACAAUUGACUAUCGACAAUCAUUUGUUCCAUUCAUUGGUAUCAUACUUAUGAAAUUAGCAUGAUAUUGUAAACCCUUGAACUUUUUGGGUGCAAAUUUUGAAGUCCAAAAUACCAUUGCAAGACCGAUAUAAUUCAUAUUAUUGGUCAUAAGGCGAACUGCUCCUAUAUAUGGUGAGGUAUUGUCUAUGUUUGGGAAGAUAUUCUGAAAGGCUUCCAUUGGAAUAUUGGUAUUAACAUUCAAAGCUAAACCCAUUUGAGUUGCCCCAGUUGUAUUGACUUGGGACAUUGAAGUAUGAUCCUUCUUAAGGUCUCAUGUUCGAGUCUCCUUGGUGCCAAAUGACGGUGGGCUAAUUUAACUUCUUCGAAAAGACAUACGAUGGCUUGGAGAGGCAAAGGUUUUGUUCCCACAACAUUCAAUUACCUAUUUUUGAUUUGUCUCUUCCCUUAACUCAAUUGGGUGCCGUUCGUUUUUUAGAGUGGUGGCAAAGUUGUUUCUCAAUUGGAUUUUCCAGAAUCAGCCAACACUAUUCAGAACCAGGAAAAUUCAAACCGAAAUUUUUUCUCAAUUGGGAACAGAACUUAUAAACGGGCGAUGGUUGAAAAUUUAAAAAGGGAUUAAGAGCAUUUUUGACAAUUGUGUGUAACUAGAACAAAUCAAAUAGUCUUUGUUUUGGGUUUAUAAUUUCUAAGGUACUCCUAGAUCUACUUGUUCGAAUUCAAUAGCUGAUAGUGCAGGAGAUUAAGAGGUAUCUGUUUCAUCUGAUAGGCCAUAUUUAGCUCUACUAGAAUGAACAUUUGUAAUGUAUACAAUCUGAAUUCUUGAGGAAUAAAUGUCCAAAAAUGAUCAAUAAAAGAAAGGAACCGCUCAAUCUACAAAUAAACUGUUUGGGUUCAAUGACAAAAAGAACAAUUUAUUUCAAAAGAAUUGUUUAUAAAACUAUCUUACAUAGAACAUUAUUGUAUGUAUGGACAUCCAAUAAAAGUUUUUAGAAGCAAAAGCAAAGGAGAUUAUGUGUUUGGGGACCAAAAGAUCUUCCAAGCUCUCAACUAAACCAAGUUUGUUUAACGGCUAUUAAAACAAAACAAACUGUUUUUUGUGUUCUAAGUAGGUUCUAAGGUGGGUUAGCCAAAAUCACAAUGAACCAAACAACCGUAAAGUUUGCAACAACCACACUCUUAAAAGUUAAAACACUUCCACAUCCUAGCCAUUGCUUGCAUCAUAAACAAUAUGUAUGAAUAUGAGAUUGUCUUUCUUUUAUUUUCAUUGAGCACAGCAUAAAAAUUAUUGCAUGAUAUGAAUGAAGCUGUAAUAUUUAUGUUAUCAUUAUCCAAGUAAAACAAAACAAUUGUACAACAUACUCAUAAACAAAUGAAAAUAAAAUUUACCAAUGAAUCACUUGUCUUUCACUUCAACACCAGUUUUACCAGCAAUGAUGACAGAGGUAGCCAUGUUCAAGAACAAACCAUGCUCGACGACACCUUCGAGGGACGAAAUCUCAGCUCCAGCAGCAUUUGCAUCUCUAAUGGGAGUCUUAAAAUACAAAUCAACAAUGUAAUUAGAAUUAUCAGUCACAUAGGGUUUUCCACUUUCAUCCACUCUCAAUUUCGCAUCAACACCUUCUUCUUUGAACAAUUCUUGAAGCCUAAUCAAAUUAUAUUUCCAACAAAACUGAACAACCUCCACCGGCAUCGCUAAACCGCUUCCACCGAGACCAGAGACCAAUUUUGUAUCAUCAACAACCACAACGAAUUUAUCAGAAGCGGCUUCCACCAUUUUCUCACGGAGAAGAGCACCGCCACGGCCUUUAACAAGGUUGAGAAACGGAUCGACUUCAUCAGCACCAUCAAUAGCGAGAUCGAGACGAGGAUUAUCAUCGAGAACGGAGAGAGGAAUACCGAGAGAACGAGCUUGUUCUUCGGUGCGUUUGGAGGUGGGAACGCCAAUGAUGUUGGUGAGUUCGCCGGAGUUGAGAAGUUCGCCGAGUUUGGAGACGACGAAGGCGGCGGUGGAGCCAGUGCCAAGGCCGAGGACCAUGCCGCUUUUGACAUAUUCGACGGCUUUAUCGGCGGCGAGUUUUUUGAGGUCGUCUUGAGUGAGGGUUAUGGCUUUGACGGAGAAGGAGAGGGGUUUGGUGCGUAGUUUAAGAGAGGAAGGGGUGCGUAGGUUAAGUCGUGAGGAGGCAUUGAAGAAUGAGGAAGAGAGUGAUGGUGGUGAUGAGAGGGAUAAGGAUGCCAUUGUUUGUUUGAGGAAAUUCAAUUCAAUUCGAUUCAAUUCAGUUCUAUAAUCCUAUCUCAUCUCAUCUCAUUUGUGUUUGGUUGGUGUGUUAAGAUUUAAGAUUUAGAUUAGAUUGACCCAACCAAACCACACCGCAGGUUUUUUUUUUUUUUUUUGUUUAUUUUAGUAUAUUAAGUAAUUUUCAAUUGAAUUUUGGCGUUUUCCUUUUCAGCAAAGUUGGAUUGGAUUUGGAUGUUUCUUUUCCAACAACCAACUUCUAAAGGAUGCUCAUUCAUUCACCUAAUUAUUAUUCUAUACCUUUUUUUUUUUACUAAGAAACUACCUUCCUAUCUUAUUGACUAAAUCUUAAAUGGGAUUAGUGAAUUGCUUGUGUUUGGACUAUUUUAUAGGCGCUUGUAUUUGGACUUCUUUAUGUUUUUGUUCCCUUCAUUAUGUUUUUAUGUUACAUUUUUUCCUCAAUAAAAUUUAACAUUAUCUAUAAUUAGCAUUCAGAAGGGUACUUUGUGUCUGUCUGUCGGCUCUUUUAAUUGCACUAAUGCGUAUAAGUCACAACCAAUAAUUUUUAUAAAAUGUUGAUUAAAAUUUUAGGUAUAAAUAAUAGAUAUUUUGCAUUUUCGUAUUAUAACAAAUUAUAUUUUCAAUGAUAUCAACAAUAUAAAAAAUAUAAUAUAAAUUCUUAUCUUUUUUAAUAACACCAACAAAAUCAAAUUCUUAUAGUCAAAUAUGUUUAAAGGUUUAUUUAUAAAGUUAUCAUUCUUUAUCUGAUUAAAGAAGUCAUGUCUACUCCCCGUGAGUUUAGCUUAGUUGGUAGGAACAUUGCAUAAUUUAUGCAGGGGCAGGGGUUCAAACCCCGGACACUCCACUUCUCCACAUUUAACUGUGUGAGCUCUAGCCAUUAGGCUACUAGACCAAAAAAAAAAAGUCAUGUCUAUAUUGGUCUUGCUAUGUUAUGUAUAGUUGGUCUUAAACCUGGAUAAAAUAAAAGGACUAUGUUAGGCAGUUGACAACCAACGUAAAACUUCGUUGAAUUUCUAUGAUAUGGACCAAAUAUGUUAUAAUGUGAUGUUAGGUCGUUCUACGGAAGCAACACCUAUUAUAUAGCUUGGGUACAAUACAAUGAGCAAGGAUUGAUGUAUUGCGCGACUGGAUGCAGUGAAAAUAAGCAAGACUUUUCACAUCUUUAUGAACGGGUGUGGUAAAGAAGUUAAUUUAUAAGAGUAGGAUUGUUUUGGAACAUGAAAUAUAUACACUCUUACUGAAAAAUUUAUGGAAAUAUGGACAAUAUGACUAGGAUGAGGAUAAAUUUUACGUGCCUACGAGAAACUAAGUAGGUGAGUAAAAAUGCGAAAGAAUUAGGCAGUAAAAUGAUUCAAGUUUUAGUACAUUGACAAAGUUAGAUCGAGAAAUAGGGUAGGCAUGAUUGUAGAUAAGGAGUGUAAGAAGGAUAUUAUGGAUGCAAAAAGAUUAGGUAAUCGGAUCAUAGUCCAAAAAUUUGUAGUCGAUCAAGAUACCUUUAAUGUUAUUAGUGCUUACACAUCCUAGGUGAGGUUAAAAGAAUACCUUAAAGUAAUGUUUUAGGAGGAACAAACCACACUUUUUUUUUUGUAAAUGAUGUAGUCGUGCUUGAAAACUCAAUGUAUGGAUUGAAUGAGAGGUUGGAAACUUGCAGAUAAGCCUCAAAAGUGUAUGACUUCGGUCAAGUAGUAGCAAGACAAAGCGUAUGGAAUGUAAUUUUAGUAAAAGUGGAGUGUUUCUAACUUAGAGAUGAAAGUUGAAGAUUAUAUCAAACUUGAAGUUACACGGUAUAUAAUAAAUCUAUAGUGGAAAUUGAUGGGGAAAUUAAUAUAAGCAUAUGCAAAAUCAUGCAAUUCAAGUUUGGUGGUUAAAAUGGACUAAAAUAGGUUUUUUUAUGUGAUACGAAAGUACCACUUAAGUUAAAGGAGAAAUUUUAUUGGACCGUUGUAAGACCGACAAUGUUGUAUGGAUCAAAAUGUUUUUUUUUUAGGGGGUAUGGAUCAGAAUGUUGGGCACCAACACAAGAAUAAAAUACAUAUAGCGGAGAUGAAGAUGUUGAGUUUGAAAUUAAAUCUUAUCCAAUAAUUUAAAUCAAUCAUAACUAAUCACAUCUAAUUAACUAAUUCUAAUUCUAAUUCAAAUUUGAAUUAAAAAAUAUAGUAAUGAUUAAAGUAAAAUUAACAACACUAAUGGAUAGAAUUAUGUUGGAAAAAUUGAAUUAACUUUUUUGUUAAUUGAUUAAUUAACAUGUUGGAAGAAUAUAAUUAAUUUUUUUGUUAAUUGCUUAAUUAACAAAACAACCUUCGUAAUAGUUUUUAAAUUUUAUAGACAACCAAAAUUAUGUUUGGCCCAUAUCCCUCAUUGUAGUAACAAUAUUAUUAUUAACUAGUGUUUGCACGUUUGCAGUUUUUAUUGUGUUAAUGUAUAUAAUUAUGAACAUUAGUUUUUGUGAAAAAUAGAUUUAGAUUAAGAAUAUUUUGAUUUUUAAUAAAAUAUAGGUAUAGAUAUUUUACAAUUUUUUUUUUUUGACAAAGAAUAUUUUAAAAUUUUAAAUUGUAACAACCUAUACUUAUCUUUUUCAAUGACACGAACAAUAUAACAAAUAUAAUAUAAAUUAUUUUUCAAUGGCACAAACAAUAUAAUAAAUAUAAUAUAAAUUAUUAUCUUUUUGAAUGACACAAAAUUUGCUUAGUGUAUAACUGAAAGUGAAAAAGUCAAUUCAAAAUUUUGUAUUCCCUUUAUAUAUAUAGUAUAGAUAUAGAUGAAAUUUUAUAAGCACCUUUAUUUUAAUACACAAAAAGUUUGGCCCGUUUGAAAUAUAAUUGGAUAACGAUUACUUUCCUAAUUUUUCGUUAAAAAGUUUCUAGAAUAUGGUAUUAUUUGUUAUAACCAUCGUGCGAUUUUCCCUUAUAAAUACACACAACCUAUUCAAUCAUCCAACAAUUUCAAGCUUUGCAUCUUUUCUCCACAAGCCUCUCCCUUUCUCCAAGUUUGUUAACCGAUAUAAUUACAACUAUUUUAAUCUUUUUCUUCAGUCAAAACUAAGUGAAACAACAUGGUUCCAUCACUUUGUGCCAAUGGUUGUGGUUACUAUGGUCUUCCUUCAAACAAGAACCUUUGUUCAAAGUGUUACAAUGUUUAUCUCAAAGAAAACAUUGUUCUUGAGUCAUCGUCUUCUUGUCCUUCAAAGAACCCUAGUAUCAAUGAUAUUUGUGAUGCUGUGGCAGCUAUUUCUCUCAUUGACAGUGAUAACAUGAAGGAGAAGAAAACUAGGUGCAAGAGUUGCAACAAAAAAGUGGGACUAACAGGGUUCAAGUGUCGGUGUGGUGAUGUAUUUUGUGGAAUGCAUAGAUAUCCAGAAGAACAUACAUGCAAAGUGGAUUUAAAGAAGAUUGGUCGUCAAAUAUUAGAGAAACAAAAUCCUUUGUGUAUGGGUGAUAAGUUAAAAUACCGAAUCUAGAUAUGAUAAAUAGAUAGUGAAUAUUACUUUUCUUUUAGGUGCAAAAGUACUUUUUAUUGUACUUUUCCUUGAAACAAAUACUUUUUUAUUUGAGUACUUUCUUUUUUCUUUUGAGUUGCUCGUUUUUUUUUUUGGUUAGGUAGUCUAGUGGCUGGAGCUCACACAUAUUUAAUGUGGAGAAGUGGGGUGUCCAGGGUUCGAACCCCGACCCCUGCAUAUAUUAUGCAUUUGUCCCUACCAACUGAGCUAAGCUCAUGGGGACUGCUCGUUUUAAUUUUAGUUUCUUAUAAUUAAGAAUUGUAAAUAUUGCUAUUCUUUACGAAUACAUAUUUCUUACUAUUAAUAAUUCGUUGAUUUUUAACUAUUACAUGUUGUUAGUUAUAAUUUCGUUUUUAGAUUAUAAAACUAAUUUAAAAUUUAUCCAAGAUAUCAUUUUGUACUCCCUACCUUCUUUUUUAAGUGUCAUAUUAAAAUAAUUCUAUUCAAUUGACGAGUUUUUGGAUUUUUUUUUUCAAUUAUACCCACAUUUUAAUCUAACAGUUUCUCCUUUCUAAUAAAUUUAAUGUUAUCAUUGAAACUAGGAAACAAAAUUUAGUUUCAUGGAAGUUUAUUGCAUAUAACAAACAAAUUUUGUUUAAAAAAAAUAUUUAGUUUUAUUUUUUGAAAGCAGUAAAUUUCAAAUCUUCUAAUCUACAACCAAUUAGUUUAGAAUCACUUACACUCGUUAAUAAAUAACUCAAUAGUUCAAACCAGGCAAUGCAUAUACAACAAUUAUAUUUUGAAAUACAUCUAAGCACAAUAAUCAAAUAUGCUUGCAGCCAUGUAUCACAAAUCACUAAGGUCUUUUAUUAAGGUUUGUAAUGUGGUCGGCUAAAAACAUAUCUAUUUUUUAAAUUCAAAUAGCCCUAAAAACUAGAGAGCAUAUGUUAUUGAAUUAUGCUCUUCACCCUGCACUUUUUGCUCGCGUCCUGUAGCCUUGCCAAAAAUGCCUCUGCGUUAGUUAAGUAACGCAAGUGUUAAACUCUGCGUUACUUAACUAAAGCUGCGUGAGUUAACUCACGCAAGUGUUAAGGUAUGCGCAUCUUAACUCACGCAGGUAGAAAACACACUGAACACCAGCGUGACUUAACUCACGCUGAUUUUGUUUUCACCUUUCUUUGUCAUUUAUUCCUUUGAUUUAUUCUAUCCCAUUUACUCCACUUUUGUCAUUUAUUCUAUCCCAUUUAUUCCUUCGAUUUCCUCCAUUGAAUAUUGACCAAAACCAGCAAUGAAUUCAGUUUGGUUUCCCAUGAAACAAUAGCCAUCUCUACUUUGUCUAUCAUCACCAAAUUUCAUUGAAAUUUUGUUCAUUAUUUGUUGUUGUUUCAUUGUAUUUCAUAUGAUUUGGUGAUUGAAGAAUUUCAUGAUUCCUGAUUCGCUUUGGACUUGCUUGUGUUAUUCCCUCAAGUUCUGUGAAAGCUAAAUCCUGAAUUGUUUCUAACAUUCAUACCAAUAGGCGAAGUUGAUGGUGUUGAAACUGAAACCAUAUAAAAAUGUCUUGUUUGGAAUUGAAACUUUUGUUGAGGUUGGAGCAAGCGUGAAAGUAGCAAAAGUAAAUAUUGAAAGAAAAUCAACGUGAGUUAACUUACGCAUGAGCAUUUUCAGCAAGGCUGCAGGGCGCGAGUGAAAAGUGCAGGGGGAUGAGCAGAAUUCUAUGUUAUUUGUAUGGGAAAUGCUUGUUAUCUCGAACACAGCUGUCACAAUUUUUUCAAAUAUUAGCAAAAGCCCAGAAGUAUAUAUUGAAAAUAUGUAUAUUUUUAAAUAUUAGCAAUUUUUAUUUAUUUUUUCCAAAUAUUUACUAUAUUUUUAGAGGUUCCAAAUAUAUGUCCCGAGAGCUCAGUUGGUAAGGACAAUACAUAAUAUAUGCAAGGUUUGGGAUUCGAAUCUCGACAAAAAAAAAAAGACGUUCCAAAUAUAUUAGUUCCUAAAAAAUAUUCAAUGUAUAUGUAAUUUUUUUUAAGUUAAUAGUGCAUAUAAUUGUUGUGAGCGAAAGCCAAAAUUAUAUAUUAAAAAGUGAACGAGGAGUACUUCUAAGAUCAAUGUGUUGAGGGAUGUGAAUGUUUUAGGUAGUGUUUGGUUUGCAAAACAGCAAGUAUUGGACAAAACAGUACAACAUAAGGCAGAACACUACAGGACAAAUUUUUUAUGACAUUGAGUAAUUUUUUGUUUUAUACAAUUUACAAGAUCUGAAAUCUGACAUACUUAAAUAUUUUGAAUAGUUUGACCGUAUUGACCAUGGAUUUAGAUAUAUUUUGAAGACUUUUUUUUGAGCUAUUACUUACCAUAGAUCUAGAUCUAUUUUUAAGAUCUUUUCUAUGACAGCCUGCAAAUAGCUUUCAUUAAAAAAAAAAUCUCACUCGCUUUUGUAAUUGUGUAUUUGGUUCUACGGUGACGAGAAUUGAUUUUGAUUGGAUUGAUUUUUAAUAAAAUUGAGCGAGUAAAAAUUAAUUUAUAUUUGGAUAUAUUAAAGUAAGUUUUAAAUGUGUGAUUAAUCCCUGCACUUUUUUUGUUUGGCUUCCCUACACUUUAUAAAAAAUUUGGUAUUAAUCCCUCCGUUAACUUUUCGUUAAAAAAAAUAAAAAUUAUUGAAGUACCACGUGAUCCAAUCAUUUUACGACACGUGGCACACUAAGAAACAAAAAAUCAGAAUUAAAAUAAAUAAAAUAAAAUAAUUGAUUUAUAAUUAGCAUUCUCCUUAUUCAGAAUUAAUUAAAAAACAAAAUCCUCUACAAGCGAGACAUCACCACUACCAUCAAAUGGUUAACACCAUAUCUGUUCUUCUUUCUUCACCCAUCUCCAUCAACAGUCAACUCUAAUUUCACCUUCUUCUCUUUUUAAUUUAUAAUUCAUCAACACCAACUCUAAUUUCAUCAGAUUCAACAUAUAGUUGGCAUGAAAAUUCAUCAGAAAUUAAACCAUUUAACAGAAUAGAAAUAAACAGAAGUUGAAAUAGCAUAAACAAAAAAGUUACAGAAAAAAAUAGAAAUUGAACCAUUAAACAACAAAUUAGUGAUGGAAUGGCAGAUCAAAACAAAAAACAAAGGUGGUAUCACGGCCAAGAUCGAAAUCGCAGACAGUAACAAAAACGGAAACAAGAACGAAACUUGAAUCGCAAUGUUAGAUCAAGUUGAAUAAGAAAUCCAUUUCUUCCCCUUUCUCAAAGGUCGCCUUUUUCAUUAGCUCUGAUAUUGUCUUUUUAAUUUUUCAAUUUCUAUUUCUAAUGAAAUAAUGAUAAUACUAGUUAACAAUCAAUUAUUUUAUUUAAUUUAUUUUAAUUCUGAAUUAUUGUUUUUUAGUGUGUGUUUUUUUUUUUUUUUUUAAACGGAAAGUUAACGGAGGGACCAAUACCAAAUUUUUUAUAAAGUGCAGGGAUUAAAGCCAAACAAAAAAAAGUGUAGGACCAAUGCCAAAAUUGGGUGAAAGUGCAGGGACUAAUCCCACAUUUAAGCCUUAAAGUAAAAAUGAUUCUUGUCAAUUUUUUGUUUGGAUAAUUAUGAUCAAAAUUGCUUUUGAAUAUAAAAUGGAUAUUAAUAUGUGCAUCUAUAAAUAUGCACAGCUGAUGCAAUAAAUUGCAUAGCAUUAGUUCACAUGUUUAUAGAUAAAAGCAUUGAUUCACAUGUAAAAAUGUGAAUCAAUUUUGGUUGGACGCAUAAGCUUGAAAUACUAGCUUCAGGUUCAACUUGCGUUUGAGGCUAGAAUCCAUUCAUCACAAUGUAAAGCAAACAUAAUAAUUUUACACCAAAUCACGUUGCACUGUCCUAAACGCACGAAUGGAUGGGAUAGACGUGUUUCCAAACGAGCACUUAUUUAUAAUAUGUUCAUUUCCAUGGCAAAACAGCUCUAAACAUACAUUCGCCAAAAGCUAUGACUUUCUAGCUUCUUAAAAUUCACAACAUAAAGGGCCAGAGAUGCACGUCCAUCAUUGUAGAAGUGAUACCAAACACAAUAUUAGAAGGAACAAGCAACAAACCAUUGGUUUUGGCAAGCUGGAUCCUAUGAACUCUCCAUCAGUCAAGUAUAUGCUACAGCCUACAAGACUCUCCAAAUACAUUAAAAGUGGCUCGCUGCAAAAUAAAUCCAUAGAAUACCACCCGCAAAAUCUAAAUGCUUCAAAAGAUAAUGUACAACAUAACCAAACUAGAUAAUCAAACAACAAUGUAUUAUUUGGAACUCCAGCAUUACCUGACAAGCUAGUAAAGCAAAUUAGAAUUCAACGCAGUCCCAUAAAAGCUGCUUUCAUUCUAUUGGAGACAUUACUCAGUAUAUGUAAUAAUACGAUGCAUGUGUUAACAUACUAUGUUCAUUCAAGGUGAUGCUUCCUUUUAAGGUACCGACACAAUAAAUUUACCAUUCACAUAUUGACAUAAAAAUUGCUCAAUUUUUCAUCAAAAAAGAAAAUGCUGAAUUGGGCUCACAAUUUAACUAUAUUUUUAUAAUGAUUUGGCAUAGAGGUCAAUACUACCAAUUUGCAGCCGGGAAGUAGACUGAAUGUCUUUGACUGCCAGAAACCUGAACCUGCAAAAUCAUUUCAGGGUUUAGCAAUAAUACCUCGAUGCAAUAAUUUUCUUGAACUAAUUACAUAAAGUAUAAAGCAAGGAUUUAUAUAAACACCAAGAUACCAACACUCUAAACAAAUUUACACAUACAUCUAGUCAUAUUACUUUAACCUACCAACCGGUGCCCCUUGGGCACUGGUUAAGGAAUCCUUAAAUAGAAAUUUUGCUUUGAAAAUAUAAGUUUUUACUUUUGAUGAAGUAAUAAUUAAACUAUUUUUUUAUAAAAACUUACAUGUUCUGGUCGCUUAACCAAUGCCCAUGGGGCACUAGUUAAUAUUCUCCUACUAUAAACAGGUUUUACACAUACGUAAAGCCAUAUUUUAGCAUCUUGACAUGGUGUAAACAAGUUUUUAAGAAAUACUAAGAUGUGGUGAAGAUGAUAAAAUGAAAUCAAGAUGUUUGUGUAAAAUUUGUUUAUAUUAUCAUUGUAUAGCUAUUAAAGUCAUAAAAAAAAUAUUGCGAGUAAAAAUUACCUGAACAGAUUAGAUGGAAAACUUGCUGAGUUGAUCAUAUAUGUUCUACGUUGAAAACGGUCUUUAAAGAACUGAGAGGUUUGCUUGUCCAAAACUUGCCAACUGGUCCCCUCAUCAUUGCUUCCUUCAAGAAUCCUGGGAAAAAGGUCGUGUGUGUGUGGCAUAUCAACUCAAGUUAAUUCAUUUCAAAGCAAAGAAAAGAAGCUGAGUGAACCAACAUAACAGUCACCAAAGAAAAAAUAUAAAGAAACACACUAUUGGAGACAUAGUUGCUAACAGGCAGAGCAAAAGUGGAUGGUCAUAAACACACACUACUUGCUUGGCAAGUCUGUGAUUUCAUAUGAUUUUUAAGAAUUUGAUUUUUAAAUUGAAAGCCUAAUAAGUUUUAUAGCACCAAUAAACUAUAUCGUGCCACCUGUUUCAAAACAAUUGAAAGCUUCUAAUUAAAUAUCGAGAGACACUUUCUCAUUCAUAAGUAGUUUAAGAAGUUUUAAAUCAACAAUAGAUUAAAGUCAAACUAAAUUUUCAAUGUUAAUAGUCUUUGGAAAAAUAGCAAUUACCUUACUAUAAUUUAGAGCAAUGAAGCUUACAAGAUUAAAGAAUCAGAAAAAUAUAUCAAAUAAGCACGAGUAAAUCAUCCACGAGUGAAGAUCCUCUCAGUUCUAAAAAGAAGUAGAUAGGUCCAUUACAGUUUUGGAGUAUAUAAAGGAUAUUAAGACACACAUUCUCAAAACUGGUGACAAUAAGUUGGCCUUCAUAAACCAAAAUCAUAAUAAUGGAGAUGUCCAUUUCUUUCUUUAAAGAAAUAUAUAGAGGAUCUCUACUCCUCAUCCACUCAUUAACAAUAAUUAUAAUAAAAUGAAUCAAGAAUAAAACAAUUUAUCACCAAAUAUAAAGUCCAUACUACCAGUCCAUCGGAUCCCUUUCUGGGGCAUCAUUGGCAGACAUCAAUUCAUAUGCCACAAGCUCAAACUUCUUGUCCUCAAACGUUCUAUACACGAUCCAACAACCUACACAGUCAAAUAUUUAACAUUUUUAUUAAUACAAACAUCAAGAUAUCAAUGUCAGUGCCUUUAGAAUAGUAAUAAGAUGGACUCAUGCUAGCAUUUAAAACGAGUAUACUUAGGUUUCUUGCUCGAUUAUUUUUCAUAUCAUGAUUAUGAAUGCUUUUCAUUAAUCUUAAUUUAUGCCCUGAGGACAGAGAAUGCAAACAGAGCAUAACUCCUAGGAAUGAGUAAGUUAACAUGAAUUAUCAAUCCAAAUCUUACAUUAAGAAGAUUUCCUCAAUAGAAUUAGUAAUUAGUAGAAAUAGGUGGAAGAUGAAAUGGCGCAACUCUUGCUUUAACAACUUAGGUAAAACAUGUCAACUUUAUUAAGAAAUUAUAUAGAACAAUGUUUAACCUACUACUGCAAUUUGACGUGAAACAAACUCUAUAACCGCAAAGAAGUUAUUUAAUAGGUUAACUAUACACCUUUUGCUCCAUUUGGUUCUUCCCAUUUUGAUAUCCGAGUUCCAUCAAAUGCUGAUGUUACCUGAUUUUAUAAAACAACAACAAAGUUAUUGAUGCUAUAUAUCAUAAUUAAUGAUAUACAUAAAAAAUAAGUGAGAUAUAAACUCACAAUCCCUAAAGGCAACUCCUCAGCACUUGAAACGACUGAACCAGAAUGUAAUCUAUUUAACUUCAGAAGUGGCAACAGGAUCAUAUCUUUCCCAUAGUUUUCACACUUGUUAAGAUUGUUAACCAUGUCAUCAAGAGCAUCUAGCACAACAGGCAGUGCUAAAGAAGUUACUACAGGGUUACCAACCGAACAAACUUCAACCCUCCCAUCCGUAUUCACUUUUUUCUCCAGUGAAAGAGCAUCAAGUAAAUCAUCAAAAGACGGCAAAAGUUUCUGAAAUUUCGGGUUGCUUAGAACUGAAUCGAUGGAGGCCCUUCUUGAUUUAAAAGGGGAACUGGAAAGAUCCAAGAGAAUUCCUUUCGUAAUCCCAAGUACUUCGACAGCUUCGGACUUCGUUAGUUCUUCCUCAAUAAAUUGAUUAAGUACAGGACGAAAUGCAUUAUAAAUCUUAGUCACAUGCUCGUCUACACACAAUCGAAUUGGGCAAGCAGAAGAACUUAGGUUAUCAGAACCAAUUUCAGAUCUGGAUUUGCGCCAUUGCUCAUUCCCACUUCUUCUUCCAGGUAACGAGAGGGACUCGUCGUCUUCAGAAUGCAAACCCCUCUCAAGUUGCUGGUUUUCUUCCAUAUCACGUGCUUCAAUUAUUGAAAGUAGUUGUGAUGUAAAGCCUCUUCGACAUUCGGUGGUUAUAUUUGUGAGUACAGAUGAUAGAGAAGGCUCUGUAAGCAUAGUACGUCGAGAAAGGACCUUAAAUUUUGAAAAAGGUGCAAAAAUUUAUUAUCAAUUAUUACCAAUUCAGGAACCCUGAUUCGUUAUGAAAGUGGAAAAAAGCUUGAUUAUAAAGAAAACACAAGGAAAGAAAUUAUAUAAAUUAACCUACCUCAUGCCACUUCCUUGUGUAUCGUUUGGUGACAUCACGAGUUCCAUCUUUCGCUAUGGCAAUAGCAUAAUUUAAUUUCUUAUUCCACCUGAUUUCAUAGAUUUAAAAAGUUUAAAAACGACAACAACUACCUCAUUAGGUCAAUUAAAAGGUGUACUAGAAAAUGAAUUAUACCCUUUUUCAUAUAAUAAUGGCUUGUCAUAGAUUGCUUCACAUGGGUCAAGAUGCAUCCAUCUGUAAGAUCAUCAACGUGCUCAAAACAAAACACUGUCCAAAUGGAAAUAGUUUUAACAGCAUAUUACAAGAACAAGCAGUUUUUGUGUCAAUUGUACCUUCCCAGGAAUUGAGAGUAGCACUCUGUCCAAACAUGGUCUGUAAAGUCUUGGAUCUGGAGAUCGACUAAAAUUCAGUGACAAAACCUCACAAGACAAACACAUUUAUAGUGGGUUGUGAAUAUAAGCAGAGUUCAAAAUACUUUAAAUUCACAAUAAAUGAAAUUUACUAGAAACACUGUAAGGACUCAUUAGUGAAAACUGGUUCACUCAUCAUCCCACAGAAAUCAACAAACACCACUGUCAAAUCAUCACCAUAAGUGGCAAAUUGUUUCCAAUAACAAUGCAAGCUACUUUCAAGAAGAGAAAUGAUAUUUGAACAACCAUUUUUUGACAACUUUUGUGACAACUUUCUCUCUCAUACUCACAUUGUGUUUUUACUUUCUUUCUCUAUUGCUUUGGUUUUUGUGCCACUACCUAAAUUUCUUUGUAUAUUUUAGUACUGCAUUUGUAAUGUUAUAAUCAUCACAAAAUACGUAUCUCAAAGAUUCAAAAUCCUGUCUACACCAUAGGUCCUAGCAACUAAUGAUACAGAACACCGGCACUUUAUCUGCUCUAUUACAGCAUAAAAACUAAGAAAGAUUAUCACACUGAAAAGACUAAAUUUCAUCCAGUAUUUGAGUUACAAACCAGACGUGACUCAUAGCCAAAAGCCCGACAAUAGAGCGUAAAGCAAUUGGCCCAUUCUCCACAGCGGCCCUCUCUUGUUUCCACAAGCUGCAAAUUCAAUUUGAAAGAGAAUAAAGGGCGUGUCCAAAACAAAUGUGAUAGGAAUAGCAGUCAGUUUGACAGUUGGCCAAGUGUAAAAUGCAUCAGCAGCAGUUUAACAUGAGUAGAAUACCUUUUUCGGAUCAUUAUACCGAGGGAAGCGAGUCAGUUUGGAGCAAAUGGUGCAGCUGUCAUGUGGAAAUAUAAACGUUGAUAACCAGAAAAUUAAGGAAGUCAGGCAAAUAGUGGAAGCUAAGAUUAGUGAAUAUGUCAGAAACCUAUGAAAAUGCUUUAUAAGCAAAAGGUCAGAAUUCUAGUAACCAUGUAUGUAACAGGGGAAUAAUUUAGUUCAUAAAAAAACAGGAUUAUCUGGCCAAGACAUGUUCUAAUUCGAAAUAAACUCAGAUGAUUAACAGAUUGUUGAUCUUGCAAAACAGGACACUCAAAUAUAAAUAAAACUAAAAUGUUAAUUAUAAAUUAUACUUUUGAUCAGAUGACUAAGUAUAGCUUAAUGAAGGUUGUGCAUGAUGCCAUAAGAGAAAUAAGAUAUAUCUCAAUUGAUAAUUACCAAACCCACAUUUCUGAUCUCAGUAAAAGGAAAAACAAAAAGUAAUCUCACAUUACAUUAAAGCAUAUAUUCAACAACAUACCGAUAUUGUUCAACCCUUGAAGCUCCAUAAAGAGUCUCAGAAGGAAGUGGAGCAGUCAUACCCUGGGCUACAGUGUCGUUGCCACAGUCACGACAAGAUGGUGAAUUCACCCAUCUAUUUGAUGAGAACAAGAAAGAAAGAUAAAUGAUUAGAAGCGAGUGCAGGUGAGUUAGUGCUUUUCAUGGGGGAGAGAAAAAUAUAAUGUAACUCAGCUCAGCCACAAAUAUCAUGUGAAUCAUAUUUGAGUUAAAUUAUAAAUAACUCUAUAUUUUGUCCUUAUAGAGUGGUUGGCCAUUGAUGCAUUUGAUUCAUUGGGCAUUAAUAAAAAAGCACAAUAACUAAUUUAAACCUGAAGGAUUGUUUGAACCAGAAAAGCAGCUGCAGCAGGAAAGCAUGAUCUCGUUCUAUUUUUGAUGGAUUGAAGUUCCCCUCCUGAAAAUAUUUAUCAGGCUUACACCAAUUACAAAACAAUUGUAGCAGCAUACAAAAGCUUAUCCUUAUGAAAUGACAAAAGCAUCUCAGCCAAGGGUGAUAUCCAUACACAAGCACCGACACUCCAGAUUGAAGGUGCGUCUGACAGAACAUCGACACAUAUAGUUAUACUAAAUCCAUUCUAUUUUCUUAAAUUAUUAUUGGUAUCUGCAUGUCGAUGUCGAGUCCAAUGUAUGUGUUUGUGUUAGUGAUUUAUAGCUUGUUACAACAAAAAGACAGACAAAUCCAGGGUGAAUGAAUUUUCAGAAUAGUUAGAGACACCGUAAAAGGAAUUAGUUAGUUUAGAGUUAACACUUAACACAAUAUGAACAUCCUCUAAAAAAAUUAAAUAAUUGACCACAAGGAGUUAGAAUUUUCUCUUGAAAGAGAAAUUUACAUGCUCUUACUUUGGCCAAAGAAACCAAUGCUUUCUCCUCAAGCUCUUCCACAGGAACAGUAUUUCGAGCAGCUUCCUGGCGCCUUUCAUCUUCAUACUGCAAGAUAUAACAUAACAAUCAACAUGUGAAAUCAAUCAUGAUGUAAUUAAUUUUCUCAAGGACAAUAGGGAAACCUCACUUUGGCAAACAGUUGUGUUAUUUGAACAUCAAAAUAAAGACAUUGUAUGUGACACCCUAUGUGUUCUCUCUUACUUUUUAUUGCUACAACUUGCACACAAUUAAAAAAUACACAUAAAAAUCAAAUGACACCGUAUUUGACAUUAAAAUUAUGAUGUCAAAGUAUUAUUUCACUUUGGCAAAUUCUAAAUGCAGCUUCAUGAACUAAAUGCCAUGUGUUUCUCAUUCAAAACAAAUAAAAGAAACUACUGCUAUUGAGUAAAUCAGCAUUUCGGUCCUCGAAUUGUAAAAGUUGGUUGGACGUUUUAGUUCCUCAAAUUUACAAAGUAGCAAAUCAGUUCCUUAAAUUAAAAAAUGUCAAUCAAUUUAGUCCCUCCAACAAAUUCCCUCAUCAGUAAACAUCCAUAAAAAAACAAUGUAAUACUCACAUAUUGACUUGAAUAGUCUCUAGCAUCAUUAAGGCAAGUAUAGAACCUUUACAUUGUAGUAAUAAAUUUGAAUUUUUUUUAAUCUAAAUUGGCCAACAUUGUUCAAUUUAAGAGACUAAAUUGCUAUUUCACAAACAUGAUGAUUAAAUCGACCGAACCGGAUCAAUUUGAAGGAAUAAGAUGCCGAUUAACUCUACUACUAUUACAAUGAUGAUUUAAUCGUUGCAAUGUAAUAAAAUGAAAAUUACCAUGAGGACUUGAGUAACAUAUGGUCGUACUCGACUCUCAAAUUCCUGAGUAUUUUCGCUAGCAACAUACUGCUGAAACAUCAGUGCUUCCUCUUCUGCCUGAACAAAUUUACACAGACAACAAAAGUACAAAAAAAAAUCACAAAUAAUUCAAAACUAAGUUGAAACUUGAGAAAAAUUGAAGCGAGAAAAUCAAUGGUGUAAAACCUGCAAGAGCCUGGCCAAUUCCUCGUCGGAUUUCAAGAAAUCGUUGGAGUUAGUUUCAGGUUGUUGAGGAUGAUCAUUGAUGGAGACAAGUCGUAGUUUAUCAGAAAUUGUUGCAAGAUCAGAAUCAGUUGAAAUUUGAGUAUCAGGUUCAGCUCCAUAAAUCUGUUAAAUUGAUAAAUAAUUAAGAAUAAAAAAAAAAAAAAAAAAAAAAAAAAAAAAAGAGAAUUAUGAAUUGGGUAAAAUGAAAACCUUUUGUUGAUCGGGAGGAACAGAAGUGAGAGAGUAAAGCUGGAAUUGAAGAACUUCGAAGCCAUCAUCGGUAUCGUAUUCGAGAUCAAAAUUGGAAUCGUUGUGAAGAACUUCGAACCUUCGACCCACCAUUUUUGUGUUCAAAACAUCGAGUUGUUGUUGUUUACUUAGCACUGUUGUGAAAGUUGAAAUGGGAAGAAGAAAGACAUCACGUGGAAUACAGUACGUGGCACGAUUGAUUACAAGGAAAUUACGUGGUAUGACACGAGUACAUAUAGGAUUUGAUUUAGACAACAGUAACGCGGCUAAGAAUGUGUUUGGACAAAUGGAAUUCAAAUGAUUACUUUCAUGAAAUUUUAAAAUAAUCCCUAAAAAAAAUUAAAUUUUUUGAAGUUAAUUUUUUUUGAAUUUAUUAAAUGACAACUACAAGGUGAGGUUUUUAAAUUUAUUCUUUCUUAUAAUUUUUUUCAAGAUUUUCAAAUUAGUCCCAAUCAAAUUUUCAAAAUUGCUAAUUCAUCCCUAAAAAUUAAAAAGAACACAAAUUGGCCUAUAAUCUUUUGAAAUUUGCAAAUGGUCCUAUUUUUCAGAUUUAACCCAUGACAUUUAAAUUUUAUAAAGUUAGCACAAACAUACUUCAAGCCAUUGUAUGUACUUAGUUUUCGCUAAGGCUAUGUUGAUUCCAAACAUGCAUUAAAUGAAUCGUUAUUAUUUAUAAAAUGGUUAAAUGAGUUUUUUUUAAUCGAAUAUCAAAUUUUGUUUUUAGUCAAUCUAAAAAUUUUUAGUAAGUUUUGAUCCACUAAAUUUUUUCUAUCACAACUUUUGAUCUCUGUUUUUUUAGUAAAUUCAUGUGUAUUCUUAAAAAAAAAUAAAAAUUGCAGUCAUGUUUAGUAUUGUACAUUAUAAAAAUCUUUCUUGGAACCAACAAUGGAUUGGUCCAAGUGGUAGAAUACUUUGCCCUCUUAAGCAUAUGGUUAAGGGUUCGAUUUUUGCCUCAUGUAUAUGGGAAAAAAAAUUGUUGGAAGAGCAGAACCCGCCUUGCGUGUCUCAUAAAUUCUCUUACGAAAAUUAGUCACUAUCAAACGGUGGUGAAAACUUCGAAAAAAUAUCAUGGUAACCCAAAAAAAAAAAGACAUCUCUUGCAAAAGUUUAAAUUUUUUAACAAAUGAUAAAUUAAAUAUAAUUUUCUAAACUUUUAGCAUUUAAAUUAGAAAUUACUAGCUAUUACAAGAAAAUCUUGUUCAUUCUUAGUGAACGUGAGGUUUAUUAAACGACAAAUGAACUAAGUCAAUUAACUAUUUCAAUUAAGAUGGUUGUAGUGCUGUUUAAAUCGAUUUUGAGUCAAAAAAUUAUUUGAUCGAGUGACGGAUCUACCUCAUAAUUGGUGGCAGUUGCCCCAACUAAUUUAUUGAUUUUGUGAUAAGUUGUAGAAUAUUUUUAAAUUACUCACAUAUUAAAGGAAAAUCUUACUAUUUCAAAAUAUAUCAUUCUUAGUGAACGUGAGGUUUAUUAAACGACAAAUGAACUAAGUCAAUCAAUUAUUUCAAUUAAGAUGGUUGUAGUGUUGUUUAAAUCAAUUUUGAGUCAAAAAAAUUAUUUGAUCGAAUGACGGAUCUACCUCAUAAUUGGUGGCGGUUGCCCCAACUAAUUUAUUGAUUUUGUGAUAAGUUGUAGAAUAUUUUUAAAUUACUCACAUAUUAAAGGAAAAUCUUAUUAUUUCAAAAUAUAUCAACUUUUAGGUGUAAAAUGACAUAGUUUCUGGUUUCUAAUUUGUUUUUUUGUUAAGUAGCCUUUUUAAGAUAAAUGAACAAGGUGUAUGCGGUUCGAACCACAUUCACUUUGUAUUACUCCCUCCAUCCUAAAAUAAUCGAGCCAUUUGUAAAAAAAAAUGUCUAAAAUAAUUGAGCCAUUUCACUUUUCAAUACAAUAUUAAUCAUUUUUUUCCCUUUAUAACUAUAAUUAUUACUACUUUCAUCAUUUACAAAUCAAUAUAUUUCACUUUACAUUUAUGAUAGUGGAGAAUGCACCAAUACUUAACAAGUGCACUUAAAACUAUUUUACUCUCUCCUUCAUUUAUAUAUUUUUCUUAAUACGUGUGAAAUGAGCUUUUGACCUAGUAAAUUCGGGACGGAGGGAGUAAUAUGCAUUGUCUAUAUCGAGUUAUGCUCACAUCAACAUAAUUUCUAAUUUUUUAUCGCUUAUACAUCAAUAUAUUUUCUUAUAUAAAUAUUUAUAUUAUAGUAUACGAUCUUGAAUCUUGGUCCCUCUAAUUAAUUUUUGGCUUAUUUGAUCCAGUGGUCCCUCAAAUAAUUUCAAGCUUUCAUUUUGGUCCCACAAUUAAUAAAACGUACAUUUUGGUCCCUCAAGUUUUUCUUCGUUUGCCAAAUAAAUCCCGACUAUUAACUUUAACUCUAAAUGUCUAUGGUAGACCAACCUUAAGAGUGGUCCAUCGUAGACCUUAUUAAUUUUAUUAAUUUUAACCGUUUGAUUUUUUUUUUUAAAGAAAGUGGACCGUUAGAACAUACAAGUCUAUUAUAUCUUACGGUGAAUCAUCAACACUUAAUUUUUUUUCUUCAUCUUCUUCCCUCAUAUUCAACAACAUUCAUACAAAAAAUAAGAAAAAAAAUUAAAUUCAGAAGAAAAGAAAAAGUGUGCCGCAUUUAUCCAAUUUCAUUGCUUCCGUUUUGAAUUCCUUUUCUUUCCACAACAACUACCUCCCUAUUAUUAUUGUUAUUGUUCAUCAUCAUAUAUAUUUCUUCAUUCUUUCUUCUUUUAGGGUUUCAUUCAUUUCAAUUUCAAUUUCUUCUAUUUCUUCAGAGUUCCUAUUGAUCCAACACAUUCCUUCCUCAAUAGAACCCGAACCCAGAUAUAUCAACAAUAAUUCCAAUUGAAUUUUCCUCUAUUUAGUUAGAACCCGAAUUUGAAGAAUGGAGAAGAUAUAUUUAGGAAUUAGGGAUUUGGAUAAGACUGGUGCUAGUCACACCCCAAAAAAAACAAGUUACACCCAAAUUUAUUUAAAAUUUUACAAUAAUACCAAAAUUGCCCUCUUCAUGUAAAUUUUUAAAAACCCAUCUUUUAUGAUCAUUCUGAACCCUUACCCCCUUUCAUCCACAAAUCAUCAUAGAUGUGCAACCAAUAUCUGAAUCAACAUCUUUGUUAUUGAUAUGUACUAUAUUCAUAAAGGUUGGUGAAUUUCAUGAAUUUCAUUUUCGAUGAGUUUCUAUCUGUUUAUUGUUUGUUUUGGUAUCAGAUAUGCCUGUCAAUUUGAUUUUAAGUGAGAGGUUAGUGUAAAUUAAAUUUACGUGUAUGUAUAUAAAAGGGGUUAGUGUAGUUUACGUAUGUAGGUUAAUGUAAAUUCAAGUUUACGUAUGUUCAAUUUAGGUUAGUGUAAAUUCAGUUUACUUACGUUCAAUCUAGGUUAAUGUAAAUUAAGUUUACUUAUGUUCAAUUUAGGUUAAUGUAAAUUUAGUUUACGAAUGUAUAUAAGAGGUUAGUGUAAAUUCAGUUUACUUACGUUCAAUCUAGUUUAAUGUAAAUUAAGUUUACUUACGUUCAAUCUAGGUUAAUGUAAAUUAAGUUUGUAAAUUCAAUUUACUUACGUUCAAUCUAGAUUAAUGUAAAUUAAGUUUACUUAUGUUUAAUUUAGGUUAAUGUAAAUUAAGUUUACUUAUGUUCAAUUUACGUUAAUGUAAAUUUAGUUAAUUUGAAAUUUUUAUUUUAGUUAAAGGGUAUAUUAGUCAUUCUGAGGUGUAAUUUUUUUUUUUUUGGGUGUGACUAGCACUUGUCUUUGGAUAAUAAUUCAGAUAUGGCAUUAAUGGGUUUAACGAUUUUGGAAGAAUUGGGUCAAGGGGUUUUCUUGCUGGUGCCAUUGAUGGGUUUCACUAUGUUUUCAAGCGAUGAUGGGUUUUGGAGUUUCCCAUUAUUUAGGUUAAGCUUUUUAGUCAAAUGGGUUUGUUAAAGUUUCAAUCUUUGUUGUGUUUGUUUGGGAGCCAAUACUGAUUAUUGAAUUUAGCUGGGGGUAAAUGAUUGUUUUUUUUCUUCUAUAUGAAACUUUAUGCAAGGAAGCAACACAAAAUCUAGGAGCUGCAAGUGUUUUGUGAUGAUUUUGGUUCAAUUUCAAUUUUUGGUUUUUCUGGAAUUUUGAUGAAUGUCAACGAUGAAGAUGAAAAUGAUAGGAAGAAGAUGAAGGUAGAAAUUGAAAAAGAUCAAAGGGUCCACUUUCUUUAAAAAAAAAAAUCAAACAAUUAAGAUUAAUACAAUUAAUAAGGUCUAUGAUGGACCACUUUUAAAGUUGUUCCACCAUAGAGUUAAAAGUUAACAGUCGAGAUUUAUUUGGCAAACAGAAGAAAAAAUGAGGGACCAAAAAGUACGUUUUAUUAAUUGUGGGACCAAAAUGAAAACUUGAAAUUAUUUGAGGGACCAUUGGAUCAAAUAAGCCUUAAAUUUUUUAAACCAUCCCUCGUCCAUCAAAAUAUUGAAGUCAUACGCAUAUCACGGUCAGCUUAAUAUUAUAUGUUUGGUAUGCAAUAUCCGGGUAAAGAUCAUCUCCAUUUACAAAAAUAAAUGGAGAAUGUCAUUUAAAAAGAGAUACACACAAAAAAAGUGUGAGUUCUACCAUUGAGUGGGAUCCUUUUUUUAUUUUUGAAUCAACAAAUUUUAUUAAAAACCAGAUCUCUGCUCAAGACGAACAGAGACCGGUGAAACAGAAAAUACAAAUGAAAGGCGCAGUAUAUAGGCGGAACACCAUAAAAAAAUCCCUACAUCAUCACCACCUAAAAACAGACCCCUUCACGAAACCACCACUGAAAAAACAAAAUCCAUAACCACCAAUUGCCACCACUCAACCCAAAAUAACCCCCUCUAAAUGAAACACUCGAGUCGCAUCCCAUAAACUGAGUCACUAUUCUAAAGAUCAAUUAGCUUCCACCACCUCACAACUUCCGGACCACCGAAAGAACACCAUAAAAGCCCAUAACUAAACUUGAGCCAAAGAACUGACUCCCAAUCUCAAAUCAAAAGCGAUCGGUCCAUCAGACUUCAGGACCUAAUCAGACGGGCACCCCUUACCCCCGAUCCACCAGAGAAUGCUAGCCAAACAAGAAUGCAGCCAGACGCCAACUCCCGAUCUCGAAUCAAAAGUAUCCGGCCCACCAGAAUCCAGCACACAAAAAGUAAGACUGCGGUGGUUCAUACAUCAAUCAAAAAGGAACAAAAUAGAACAACUAAAAAAUGACAUAAAUGGAGAGGAUCUUAGCUCGCAAUAUCCUCCCCUUCAAUUUGUUUUUUUGUCCAUAUGAAUAGUGCUUUGCUGAAUGAUUAUUGUAGUUGUCAAACCAUAAUACUCAUACAUACGUAUUGGAAAACAAGAUAAUAUGAUGGACUCUAGGGAAGUUUUUACAAUUUGGGUUUUUCUAUCAUGUGCAAAUUUGCACAUGUUAAAAAAUUUAAAGUAGUAACUUUGACUUGGAAUUUAUGCAUUUUAUAUUAUAUGUGUAGCUUUUAAAUAAAUAAUUGUUAUUUUCAAUAAAAAAAUUACUACUUUUAGUUGUUUUAACAUGUGCAAUAUUGCACAUGUUAGACAAAUCCUUACAAUUUUUAUAGAGAUGGUAACUGGUAUGUUUUACGACAUUUGAUGAAACAUAGAUGAUGCUAUUUGCCGUGCAUAUAUAUUGGGAUGAUAGCAAGAUAGCAUGAUUUGUUGAUUCUGCUCUCAGAAAGCUUUUACACCUUUUACACAUAGAGGGUGAAAUGUUUGAGAACAUUUGUUGAAGCAUUGAUGAUCUUUAAUAUAUACAGAUCACAAUUGUGCUCAAAUUUUGUUGUCUAUGUUUUGGUUAUAUCUGUGAUGGGUACACAAUCUCAAGAAGCCAAACCAACCACAUGUCCCAUCUGAAUUGAAAAAUUUUAGGCUGUCUCAAAAGGUAAGUAACUCUAUGCACAAACCUAAUAGUGGUAGACCAUGUCGCUUAAUUUGACCAGAAAUUAUAAUAUACUCCCUCCGUUUUAUAUCUAAUCAUCUAUUUAAUUUUAUUUUUGUCCCUAAAUGUAAAUUCCUUUUUAAAUUACUAAAUGCAUUUAUUAUUUUUUCCCUAAACAUACCCUAAUUAGUACCACUAUCUUGUCUUGAAAUAUAAAAUAUUAAAUUUAAUACACAUACAAACAAAGGACAAUUUCAUAAUAUUAACACACAAAAGACAAUGGAUGCCUACAUUAAGGGACGGAGGAGGAAGUACAUACGUAAAGUCAUUCCUUGAUCUCCACCGUUAGUUUCAAAACAAUGAUGUACCAUCCUGUCAAGUUUUUCUUUCUUUUUUUGUUAUUAAUGGGCAUAGAUAAUAAUAGAUUGGUAAUCUAGCGCACUUAUAUAUGAGUUUUCACUUGGAAGUAAUAUACAGAGCCUGCCUAGAGUGUUUUGUACUCCUUAAAAUUUAUGUACUUGUUUGAUUCGGUUCAGUAUGCACUUGUUUGAUUUAUUUUAAAAACAAAUCAAAGAUAGUCUGUGAACUACUAUAUUAUUAGUAUUAGGGUUGGAAAUGAGUCCAGCCGAGUCGAAUUUAGUUCAAUUUCGUUCGACUUGAUAAAAAUAAGCUUGUUUCAAAACUCGACUUGAGUUCACGAACUCUUUUUCUCGACUCGAUUUAAACUCAUGAUCAACUCGAUUCGGUUCGAUAUAUGAAAUCAAAUGCACAAAAAUAACCCAAACCUUCUAAAAACCACAUUAAAAAAAUGUAUAAAAACACUAUUAAUCAAUCAAUUAAUUAAAAAUACUAUGACUGAAUUUCUAUAGUACAUGGAUAUGAAUGAGUCAGGGCAGGGCAGGCUGCUCUAUUUAUUCAUAAGAGAGUUCGCUCCCUGUCCUGAACAAAUCUUCUGAUGUGGGACUAAUAAAAUUGCAAGCAUACAACCUGCUAGUUGUUGAAUAAACUUACAUGCUAAUUGCUAUCAAUAUUUUCAAGGGCAUUUUCAUUUUACUUUUUACUCAGAUUGUAUUACCUUUGGCUAUUGAAUUUAAUUAUUUCUUUAUUUAUAAUUGUUAAAAAAGUAGUAACAAAAAAUACAGACAAAAAAGUAAAACUAAUAUAUCCUUUAAAAUUAGUGUAAUUGAUUUAGCAAUAUAUAUAUAUAUUGCUAGUUCAAUUUGUUUGGUUUGUAAUCCAAACAAAUUGAAUUAUGUAUAACUUAAGUUCAACUCAUUUGUUUGACGAAUUUAAUUUUGAAUUUAAGUUUGAUUCAUUUGGUUUAUGAAACGAAUUAAUUAUAAAAUCGAGUUUCGAACUAUUUUAGAGUUGUUUCAAUUCAUUGUCGAUCCUAACUAACACCCAAACUACCAAAUGGUUCGGAUAAUACAUUAAUAAAAUCAUCCAAAAGUCAUAGCUCAACUGGUAAAAUGUCGAAAUUGUUAGGCCGGAUGUCAUGACCGAGGUUCAAACUCAGGUACCCCCAUUUAUUUGUGCGAGUUUAUAAUGGCUUUGCUAUUUCGUAUAUAUCAAAAAAAAAAAUCAUAUAACUAUGAUAGAGACAUUUUAUUAUAAAUACAUGAGGUGAGCUUUGAAUCUCGUAUUGUCUAUAUACUCUCUCGUUUCUUUUUAAGUGUCACUUUUGGAGAAAUUUUUUGUUCAUAUUUAACUGUCAUUUUCGAAGUUCAAUGCAACAUUAAAUAUUUUUUUUUCCAAUAUUAUCCUUGCUCAUUUAUUGUGGAGAGAAAUAUAUCAAAUGAAAUAUUAAAUAAAUAAGGUUAUUAUAGUAAAAAUAUAUAUUAUUGUUCAAUGCAACAUUUAUUGAAUGUCUUGAUUUGUGUAAAAUAUCAAAAAAUAACAAUUAAAAAGGAACGGAGGUAGUAUUCAUUAUAAGAGACCAACUUUUAGUCGAGAGACAAUUAAAAAAAACACAUUUUACCAUGUAUACAAUCUCGGAUAUUGAUUGAUGGCUAGAUUGGAUGGAUGGCUACACCCAUAAUUGUGUGAUGUUAUUUCGUCUAAUCAUAAUCCAUAAUACUUCCACGUUGUCCACUUGUAUUUUCCUAAUUGUUUAUUGUUUGGAUUGUUCAGUAGUGGUGACUACUGCCCAUAUCUUGAAGUUAUUGGUGGUAGUAUAUAUUUUUUUUAUUGGAUUUGUAGACGAAGCAUAAACACGUCUGAAACAUAUAUAUAUAUAUAUAUAUAUAUAUAUAUAUAUAUAUAUAUAUAUUAAAGUUUUGGGUAUGAAUCAGAGUAAAAACGUUUAAUCUAAAUAGACGUUAUUGGUGAUACUUUGUUGUUUUAUUGAUUUCAUGUGCAAAAUGUCAAUGAUAUGGAAGGAAAAUCAAUGUAGUUUGGUAGGAAGUCAAUCAAAUGAUAUGGAACGAAAAUCAAUAGUUUGGUAAGAAGACAAUCAAGAUUUGAUUGUACAGAUCGACUGAACAUAAAAAAAUAAUGGGCUACACUAUAUAAGUUUUACACCGAAAAGUAAUUAAAUCUUUUUAUUUUGCUAUAAUUAUUUAUCAUCAUCAUCAAGGGCGGAUGGUAGUAUAUUACUUUUUUGACGGAUUGGAUGAUAUAUGUAUGAGGUAGUUUCGGCUAGUUCAAUGACACUUUCAAAUAAAUUUGGUUAUUUGAAGCAUCGUUGAACUCAACAUUUUUAAAUAGUUAUUGUAACUUUUUGUUUUUUUGGUGUUGUUUUAAUUUACAAUUAUAGAAGCAAAAUUAAUAUAUUAAUUUUUCUUCAAAGUUAAUUUAAUGGUGACAACUAGGGUACCCAUGAAAAAAUGGUGGGUAAUUUACCUCAACCAAUAAACAUUCAUCUUUUUAGGUGGUAUCCAUAAACUAUCUUGACCCCACCAAUAAAUUGCUCAUUAUAAUUGGUUGGUGGGUAAAUUAUCCACCAUUUUUUAAAAGUAAUCUAAAAAAAAUCUAAUUUAAUAUAUUAAUUUUUAAAAGUAAUUUUUUCCUAUAUAUUUGACACCCUCGUGAAUUUAUUGCUAGCUUCUCGGUUGAUUAUCAUUGCACUCAUGUAUAAAGUCCAUUUAGAUGAGAGUGCAUUUCCUUCCGGAGACAAACAAUAUUGCAAUGAAAUGGAAUUUUUUUUAAACUUUUAAAAAAAUUAAAUACACAAUUUUCAAUGUUUCCAUGGUUCAUAGAAGAAUACUUGCUACAUUCACUCUAUUUAAUACUCAUUUGUUUAUUGGGUAAAAUUAAUGUAUACAUCACCGCUAUUUUUAAAGCGUAGAUCCACGUUGAUUUAAACCAAUAAAAUACUCCAUCCGUUUCAAAAUGAACGUCGUUUAAAAUUUUUACACACAUAUUAAGAAAUACAUUAAUUAAAAAAAAAAAGAUGUCAUUUUAUCAAAUUAUCCUAAUCAACUAUUGGUUUGUUUUUCAUUAAAGAAAAAAUAAUCUUUAGGAGUAGUGUAUAUAGUAAUAAUUGAAUGGUAUAAUUCAGUAAAAAAAAAAACUAUAAUUAACUAGUACUACAUUAAAAACUAAGGUAGGAGUAAUUAAGAACCAAGAAAUUAGGUUUGGUUCACAAAGAAAUUGAGGGUCUAUGACUAUGAGAAUGUGAGGUCAUCCAUAAACACUGGAAACAUGCAUGCAUGUGAACAUAAUUAACUAGUACUACAUUAAAAGUUGAAAUAAACAUUAGUGAUACUAGUUAUUGAAACUUGAAACUAGUAAGCCUUGUGAAGCAGAAUGGGUAUGGGCCCUCAUGGCUUAAAUAAAACUACCAACCACCACCGUCUCCUCUUUAAUUCCUAACCGUUUCCUCUAAAAAUAAAUCACUCUUUCUAACUUCCUCUAUAUUUUGUGUUCUCGUUAAUUUCCUCUGAAAUAGUACUCCAUGUUUGUUAUAAAUAGUUCACAAUAUUAAUGAAGCUAGGUACUUACUUGUUCAUUUAAGAAAGAGUACACAACAUAACACUAACACACACUGUUAGCAUAUUCUCAUUUUAUUCAUAAGCAAUCAUGUCAGAGACAGAGUGUAAGGUAACACUUGAUUCAAAACUAACGGUUGUGUCAAGCAGACCAGUGAGUUCGGGUAAGAGCCACAAGUUGACGGGUGUAGACCAUGGUAUGAGUUAUCAUACACUGCAUUUGAUAUACUAUUACAAAAAUGAAGAAAAAUGGUUUGGAUCAUUUGAGUUGGACCCGUUGAGAGAAUCAUUGUCUGAAGUAUUGUCGAUAUAUCCGACAAUAACGGGCCGGUUGGGCCGAGAGAAGGAGGAGGAUGGUGGUAAUUGGGAAGUUAGGUGUAAUGAUGCUGGUGUUAGAAUCAUAAAAGCUAAUGUGGAUAGUACUAUUGAUGAAUGGCUAUCAUCUUCUGCUACUGGAUCUGAUGAGGCACAGCUUAUAGCUUGGGAUGAUAUGCCUCAUGACCCUAGCACAUGGUCACCUUUUAGAAUUCAGGUACUUUAUUUAUUUCACCUUUUAAUAUUUUUCAUUUUUAGUAUCAAAUAAGUCUCCACAAUUUUAAUUAGUAUCAAUCAUAUGAGAAGAAAACUUUUCUUGCCUAACCAAAGGAGGAAAACAAUCUAUUUUCUCUCUUACCAACAUGCAUCCCAAAAUGGGAUCGGAUCUUCUUCCGUGAAUGGAGAGGGAUUGUGGAAUCAUAGCCGUUUAAAUUGAAAGAUUUAAUAUUAAAAAUAGGAGAGACAAACCACUUAAGGUUGUGGUUGGAAAAUGGAGAAAAAUUCAUGAGAAAAUUCAUUCGUUUCCAUAUGAGAGGAUCCUAAUCUUGUGCAUCAACCCAUCUCUCAGCGUAAUCUAAAUGGUGUAGGACUAAAGAUAAACUUUAAAUAUACUUUUUUUUAAGGGAUUUUAAAAUAUACUUAAGUAUACACACAAUAAUUUAGCAAAAUAAUAUAUUUUCAUGAAAUAUGCGUUUAAACUAAUUUACAAAUUAUGUUUUAAUUAUUAUUUUUCCAAGUUCCCUCCAUUUGAGAUGAUUCUAUUUGAGAUGUAUCGAAUAUUUUAAUAUAUAUAUAUAUAUAUAUAUAUAUAGGGUUAAUCAAGUUUUUAGUCCCUAUAAAUAUACUGAAUUUCGUUUUUAGUCCUCAUAAAAAAAAUUGACAGUUUUUGGUCCUUAUAAAAUUUGUUAGCACGUAGUUUUAGUCCCUAUUAAAUUAAAAUUUGUUUAAUUAUGCUUAAACUUCUAAAUUUUUGAUUUAUUUUUACAAACAUAUUCAUAAUAUCGUAAGACACUCUUUUAUAAAUUCUUUUAGUUUGUUUAACAUAUAAUGAUUUAAAUAUGAAUUUUUCUAAAAAUCAAAUUUUCAAGAUUAUAUUAAUGAAAGUUUGGACCUAAUAAUAAAAUUUUGAGCUACUUUUUUGCGGAGGAACUUUGUAUAAUGUUCUAAAUAAGUAUGUAACAAAUAUGUUAAAAAUUUAAAAGUUUAAGUACAAUUAAGAAAAUUUUAAUUUUACAAGGACUAAAAGUAUGCGUUGGUCCCUAUUAAAUUAAAAUUUGUUUAAUUGUACUUAAACUUUUAUAUUUUUAAUAGACAUGUUAAGAACAUUAUAAUAAUCUUGUUUAUAAAAAAUUAGAAUUUUUUACCAUGUCAUGAAUUAAAUAUAAUUUUUUUAAACGCAAAAAAUUCAAGAUAAAACUAACGAAAAUUUAGACCUAACAAUAAAAUUUUGAGCCAACUUAUUGCGGAGGAACGUUUUAUAAUGUUUUAAACAAGUAUGUAAAACAUCAUUAAAAAAUUUUAAAUUUUAAGCUUAAUUAAAUUUUUUUUAAUUUAACAGGGACUAAAACUAUGUGCUGAAAAAAUUUAUAGGGACCAAAAACUGUCAAAUUUUUUUAUGAGGAUUAAAAACAAAAUUCGAUAUAUUUAUAGGGACUAAAAACUUAAUUAACCCAUAUAUAUAUAUACUUCAAUUAGAAUUUUGACAUUAAUAUCACCGUGAGCUUAACUCAGUUGGUAGAAAUAUUGCAUGUUAUAUGCAGGGGUUGGGGUUCGAACCUCGGACACCCCACUUCUCCACAAUUAAAUUGUGUGAUCUCUAUCCACUAGGCUACUUGACAAAAAAAAGAAAAAGAAUUUUGACAUUAAUUCUUCACAUUAUAAAAGUUUAGCCCCUUUUAUUAGACUUCAUCGUAUUGGUUGCUUUAAACCUGAUUUACAUAUUUGAAUUUAUUUUUUAUGAUGUACUUUCACAUACUAAAUGUAUAUGCAAAGUACAAAACUGAAGUAUAGAUAAAUUAAUAGCAAAAAAGAAUUAUAGAUAAAUUGAACUAGUGGUACGGGUGAUUUUGUAUUUAAGAAGCUAUGAACUAAUAAAUUGGUGGGGUUUGUUGCAGAUAAAUAGCUUCAAAGAAGGUGGUGUAGCAAUAGGACUAAGUUAUAGUCACAUGCUUUCUGAUUUAACUUUUGCAUCAUCAUUCUUCAAAUCAUGGACCCAAACUCACCGCCACAGCCCCAUUUCCAACUCACCUUUCUUCACUCCAAUCAAUAUUACUACCUCUUCACCACUCCUAAAUAACAACAUUCCAAAUUCAUCCCUAAAACCACAAACUAUUACCUCUUCAUCAAACCUAGCCACAGCCACUUUCAAAUUCUCAAGUUCAAUCAUUAAACAUUCCCUCUCCAUAAUCCAAAACAAAAAAUGUCUCAAUGCCACCCCAUUUGACUUCCUCUCAGCUUUAUUUUGGACUCGUGUUACUCACUUGAAGCCCACAAAAAUUCAUAAUCAAACUCACUCUUUAUCAAUCUGCAGAGACUUCAGAAAGCUAAUAAAACCAUCCCUCCCAACUGGAUAUUUCGGAAACGCGUUACAUUUUUCAAAUCUUUCGCUAAAAAUGGAAGAAAUGGAGAAUGGUGAAUUAGGAGACAUAGCAAGUUUAAUUCACACAAAGUUGAAAGGGGUUACUGAUAAAGAAAUAAGGUCUUCAAUAGAAUGGUUUGAGUCACAAAAGGAAACUGAGGAAGGGAAAUUUGGAACACCUAAAUGCAUGUAUGGGAAAGAGUUAACUUUUGUCUGCAUGGAAGAGGAAGAGACAGAAUCAUUGUUGUAUGAAUCAAUGUUUUGUGAUAGUGAGAAACCAGCUCAUGUUUCUUGUCGAGUGGGGAAUGUGGAAGGUGAAGGUUUGAUUAUAGUGAUGCCUUCUUCAGAAGGAGGGUUUGCAAGAACUGUGAUAGUAAUGUUGAAGGAGGAAGAACUUGAUAAAUUAUGCAAUGAUCAAGAAAUAUUGAAGCUUGAGCCAAAGAUUAUCCUUGCUGGUUGUAGGAUAAACCGUUGAUUUUUUAAAAUGCUACUAAAUUCCGUUUGAGUCAACAAUUAUUGGCAGGGUAGUUGUUGUAUAACUAAAUUCUGUUUGUAUGAAUUAAUAAGUGUAAGCUUUGUUUGGAAGAAUUAAUUAUUGGCAUGGCAGUGGCUGUUAGUUGUAACUGAAAAUUUAAAUUGUGAUUAUGAGACCGAUUAUAAUCAGUGUAAGCGUGGGAUAAGAUAUGUGUGUACUUUUUACUAGAAUGAAUUGUUUGGUGCAAAAAUUUGUUUAUUUUACUCAUUUUUAUCAAGCUUCACGUGUAUGAGUAUUUUACGGACAUUUUUGUGGAAUAUUUAAAAAAAUAAAAAUACUAGUCUAAUCUAAUUAGCUAACUCUUUCUGCAUAAAUCAACUCUUUAAUUAAUUUCAAAUCCUCUCAAAAAAAAAAAAAAGAUUAAUUUUAAACUUUAUUAUGAUGUAGGCUCCACCACUUGAGUAGACCUUAGAAAAGCACCCCUCCCAAGUGCAAUGGAGGCCACCUUUCUAGGCCAUGGGCCUUCAUGAUCACCCAUUGACCCCAUCCAGGUAAGUAUGUUGUAAUGUUGCUGAUACCUCUUUAUUUAUAACCUUCUGUUCUAUUACAUGCGUACAAAUUCACCGAUGUGGGAUUAAUAUUGCUACUUCACACGUAUGAAAUGAAACAGCAUCCUUUGAACUCUCCUUUAUUUAGAGCCACAUGGAAGGUGAUUGGCUUUAUGUUUCUUCUCAAAUCACAAGUUCUAUGUGAGAUCAAAUCAUCUUUAGUCAGAGUAGAUGUUUAUAGGAACAAUUGAACAGACAAAAAACUCCAUGAUCAAUGUCAAAACUUGGUAUAAAAGAUGUGCAAAUUUGAAAGGCAAUGUGUCAAUACUGCUUCCGUGCUUUGGCUGAUCUAGUCAUCUUUUGUUUUCCUCUUACACUUUCUCAAGACUUCUUUUACAUCAUCCAUCAAAUAUUACACAAUGAUAACUAUGUAAAUGAACUAAAUAACGAUCAAAUAAUGGUUAACAGAUUCAACAGAGAGCACUUUUUUCAGUUGGUGAGCAACAAAUAAUAGAAGACACUACUCCACCACCAAGAGGCAUGCAUAAAAGCUAUUUAAUUCCUAUGAGUUGGUACCAUCUCCCUUAUAUAUGUUUAUCUUUGAUUUUAAUAUACCUGACUUGUUCAAUAACAUGUUUUCCAUUUGUUGAGUACUAGUGAAUCAUUGCUUGUGGAUUCAUAUCAAAUUAUUCAUACGGUGUGUUUGUGAGCUCGUAUUUAACUUCAAAAUUUCAUUAUGAUUUAUGCUGGAACUUAAAUAACAGCACACAACAUCCUCUUUAAUUGAUUAAAGACAUUUCUUGCAGUUGUAGAUCACUCCAGCAUCAUUCUUUUGAAUUCUAGGUAAUUUUGAACUCCAAUGUUUUCCAAGUGUUGCUGUAAUUGUUGUUAUUUCCUAGAUUUAAUGCUCGAGUUGUAUGCCUCAACCAUGACUUUCAAUUUCAAUCACCGAGUGUAAAUACAAAGAAACACACAUUUGGCACUUCCAUUGGAGUCCAAAUGUACAAAUUAAACCAUUGUACCUGUGGAAACUGAUAUGCGUAUGAUUGUGAAUGUGGAUGUAUAAAUUAACCUAGCCCUAGUUUAUUUUAAAAAUUUGAACAACAGGCAGAGAGAAAAAUAAUCACAAUUUCACAUCUCUCUCCAGACAAGGAAUAUAUUAGUAGAACAUGAUUUCACAUUAAUUAUAAGCAAAUUGGUUUAAUCACAUAACAUGGACACAACUAAGCAUGAAACACAAAUUUUGCUGAGUUAUCCGCAUUCGACCAAUGACAAUCGGUUUUAUUAUAUGGGAUUAAAUUUUUAACAACAUUCAAAGAGACCAGAAACUAGUUUGAGUCUCAAACACUGAGGUACAAAACUGGCAUCAAGCUAUGAUUUUGUUGGAGUAUUAGCAAACUUCCAAGAACAUUGAACAAAAGCACCAGUUGUCCGAUCCCCUGACACCUCAGAUAUUGGCACAGCAUCUUCAAUCUCCUUCAAAUCAUUUUUGUUGAGUUUCACUUUAAACGAACUGAUAUUACUUUCAAGAUUUUUUAUCUUAGUUGUUCCUACAACACAUGACAGUCUGCAAAGUCAUAUUUGCAACAACAAAAGGAAUCAUAAUUGAGGUUUCAAAAAUUUCAAAUAAUUUCAUGUAGUGAAUUUGUCAUAACAGAUUGAUUAGUAUCCUUCCCUGAACAUUCAAAUUAUACACGGGAGUAAGCUCCAUAGAUGCCUAACUUGUUGAGGUCACAAAGUGGAAAGUUACUUACCAGGGAUGGGCACUACAUCGUCUCCUUGAUGAAGAAUCCAUGCAAGAGCAAGUUGUGAAGAUGUACAUUCAUGCUUCUCUUGUGCCAACUUUUCCAUCCGAUGAUAAAAGAUCUUGUUCUUGUCAAAGUUUUCCCCUUGUAACCUUGGUUGGAUUGCCUGGUGAAAAAAGAGAUGUUGGUGAACAAUGAACAAGGACCUGUUUGGAUUUGUUCAUUCGGAUUUAUUUACUGGUAUAAACAUAUAUGAGACUGUUUAGGACUCUAGGAUAGCUUACGAAAAGUACUUAUUGUUUAUAUAAAAACAGUUGGACUUUUAAUUAUCUCUUAUUAUAGAAAUAGCUUAUAUUUAGACACUUAUAAAUGAUAUGCGCUAACAGUGACUGUCAUCAGAAACAAAUCGGGUCGAGUCCAUACCAGAAAACUGUCUGCAGGUACACUUUCUGUAAUAGCCUUGCCUCCAAAAAAUCCACGGCCAAGGGGACUGUACGGUACUAUUCCAAUGCCAAGUUCCCUGUAAGAGUUGUCACCAAACAACUGAAGUCAUUUCGAGAAAGAAUUGUAAAGGAUAUCAAAAAUCAUUAAGUUAGGAAUUGUAAGAAAGAACUUGGUAUUCAUACUCAAAUCAAAAGGUUCCAAAUCAAGGAAGUAAAACUAUUCGAUCAAAGGUAUAUCUCUUCUCUAGAAAUCAAACAACUUUCUUUGUUUAAGCACUAUCACAUGAAACAGAAGGUGUGUUUUGUUGCCAUUUCUAAGACCACUAACAAUGUAAAAGCCAUUGUUUCAAGGAACUAUUGUCAUUUUCAAUUGUCUCAACAAUUACAUCAAGAUGAAAAUUAUAAACAGAUUACAAAGGUGACAUAACACAAAGAAAGUUGUAGGAAGUAACCACUCAACCCUUAAUGUUUGUUUUACUUGAAGUUAUUUAUUUGAAUUUUGAGAGUUAUCAAACCGAAGUUAUGAAAUCGUGAAAUAAGACCGAAGUUUUUCUAAGUUCUGCAUAAAAAGGAAAUGACUUAACUCUUUCAUGAAGAAAUGCUAAUGACCUCUGUUAGAAUUUGUUGGACUUGGAUAUAAUGGUUACAAGUUGUUUAGUAUUAAUUGCAAGUUAGUUAAGAUUUGUUAGCUUAGUUAGGAGGAUCAUUAAUUAAAGUCAACCAUUUUCAUUCUAUCAACUCCAAAUAACCGAUCCUUCUCUCAAUUUAUUCUCUCUUUUUUGGGCAAAAAAUCAUGCUUCUUAACAUGGUAUUAGUGGCUAUUCUUUCAAGUAAUCCACCAAAUUAUUCACACACCAAGCCCAAUAGUGUUGAGCGUGAGAGAGUGUAUUGUGAAAAAUUGAAGUCCCACCUUUUAGAGGAUAAGGUCUGAAAUAAGUUUAUAUAGAAUGAAAUUCACCACCUUAUAAGCCGGUAUUUUAAAGAUGAGUUAGGCCUAAUGUAAAAUUUAAGAUGGCUCAUAACUGAAACAGUCAUAACAAAAAUUGAAAUUUUCGACUUGGUGCAUAUUUGGAUUGAGAGUGAAUUUCGAUUUUGCCAAAAUUAAGGCAGCGCAAAUUCACAGUAAAUCCAAACAUACUUUUGCAGUCAUAAUCAUGGAUAAUCCGCAAGUUAGACAGAAAAAGAAAAUCAAUCAGUUAGGUACCUGCAAAGGGGAAUGAUAUCUGGCUCAAUUUCACGAGUCCAAAGAGACCAUUCCAUUUGAACAGCAGUAAUGGGAUGAACAGCAUGUGCCCUUCUGAUUGUAUCAGUACUAGCCUCAGAUAAUCCUAUGUACUUAAUCUUUCCCUCUUCAACCAACUUCUUAAGCUCUCCCAUCUGUGAUUCAUUCAAAACACCAAAUCAAAAACACGAGUACCUACCUACCACUUCCUAACAAAUUUUAAGAAUAGAUUCUAUUACUUACAGUGUCCUCAAUGGGAACAGUGGUGUCAAUACGGUGCUGAUAAUAGAGAUCAAUGUAAUCCACCCCAAGACGUUGAAGACUACCCUCACAACAUGAUCGAACAUAUUCAGGACUACCAUUUACUACAACGUUACCAGAUUCCAUUUUGACAAUCCCAAACUUUGUAGCAAUCUGAAUUUGAUCUCGUGGUAUGUCCUUAAGUGCCUGAGAAUUGUUAAAAUGUUUAUGUUACAUCAUUUUUGUUAUGCUAAAACAUAAUAAAAUAAAAUAAAUAUGUGAAUGAAAGUAGUACCUUUCCGACAAAAACUUCAUUGGUAUGUGCAGCAUAAAAAUCAGCAGUGUCAAAGAAAGUGAUUCCUUUGGAGAAAGCAUGUUUGAUCAAAGAUAUGGCAACAUCUUCUGGAACAGCAGCGUUGUAUACUCCAGUGAGGCCCAUACAUCCAUAUCCAAGCUUAGAAACCUGAAAGCAACAAUAAAUAUUAUCAAUGAUUCUCAGGAACAAGGAAGUGUGAAAAUUCAAGGAAGGACAAAAGUUACUUACUUCUAGGCCUUGGCUUCCAAGCUUCACUCGAGGAAUAUGAAUAGUAUCUCCCAUUUUUAUUUUUUUUGUGUUUCUCACUUUCUGUUUCUCUGCUCCACUCCAAAAUUUUCCACUCUAUCUCUUUUUCUCUGUUGUGUUGUUGUUUGUAUGUUCCUCUUCAAAAAUGUAUUCAUAGGGGCAGCCGGUAGGUGAGCGUUACCUAACUCUUGGGGCAGUGUCAUAAUGCCACCAUUUUCCUUUUUUAUUUCAUUAAAUAAUCUUAAUUGACUUUUUUAAUUUUAAUGCUGGCUUAUUUGAUUGUCUAGGCAUGUAAGUCCCUGUCCUUAUUCCAGGUGUUGUGUAUUCAAGUCAUCAUCAAUCUUAUUUUUAAGGCUAUGUUUGGUAAAAAUAGCGGAUAGCUGAUAAGCUAGCUGAUAGCUUUUAGCUAAUAAAUUAACUGAAAUGUUUGGUAAAAAUAGCGGUUCAACUAGCUGAUAAAUGUAAAAUGACAUAACAGGUAUUCUUAAUUCAUAAUAAAAAUUAUAUCAUUAAUUUAAGUAUUUGUAAUUUUGUAAACUAAUUUUUCUUUAAAAAAAUACUUUAAAUUUAUUAAUUUAAUAUAUCCUAUGUAUUAUAAAUUAAAUUAAAUUUUAUUCACUAAAAUUUUAUCUUAUAUUUAUUAUCAUUUAAGUGUUUCCACUUUAUAAAAAAAAUAACAUUUACCUCAAAAACAAAAAAAAAGUAGCACUAAUAGAGUAAUACUAAUAACAGAGAAUAAGGAAAAUAACACUUACCUCAAAAAAAAAAAAACAAAGGUAUAUAUUUUUUAAAAAAAAAAAGGUCAGCUGAUAUAUAUACAAAAAUUGGAAUAAAGAGAUAGUAGUCUUUAUUACGUAGCUUAUUAUAAAAAUUAUAAUGGAUAAAAAUACAAUUUAAAUGAAAUAAUAAGGAUAAAAUUGGAAGAAAAAGUGAGAAGCUAUAAGCUAUAAGCUCAAACGCUACUUGGAAUAACUUCUGAAAAAUAGUUUAUAAGCUCGUGAAAUAAGCUAUAAGCUCAUGGUGAAAAAGUAUUACCAAACAGAACUUUUUUUGUCAAACGAGCUUAUAAGCUAUAAGCUAAAAGCUAAACGCUCUUUUUUGGGUUAACCAAACAGACCCUAAACCUUACAGUUAUAUAUACACUCUCGAUCGGGCCAUGCAAGUUCCUUGGAAUGUUGAGUUUCAAGUCCAUCUUACAGCCCCAUUUAUACAUUUUUUUAUUUUUUAUUUUUUUAGAAUCUGAAAAUCACUAAAAUCAAUGAAGCGAUACAACAUGUCACACUAUGAGAAUCUGAAAUACAAAAUAUGUCAUACUAUGAGAAUCUGAAAAUAAUUUUGUAUUUUGAUACUAGCUAUGAAUGGGGGGUAGCCUACUUUAAAAAGCAGGGUGCAAAUUAAAAUAAAAAUAAGAAUAUUUUCAUUUAAAUCACUCAAGUUGGGGUUGGGUCAAUCUGAGUGCAGUCACACAACUUGGGUCAAUGUCAACCCAUUUUCGCAAUUAUAUACAUUCCUAAGCAAUUUUUUAUUCAAGCUAUCGAAACAACAUGAACACGAAUUUCAUUGUUUUUUAUUUCUUUUUCUACAUUUUGGUUUCUAUUAGUUUGUUUUAACAUUUCAUUCACAUUGCCUGAAAAAAAAAAUAGAAAAAAAAACAUUUCAUUCACAUUCAUCCAACAUGGAAUCCUAUGAGAAUAUGAUUGAAAUCCCUUAUUAUUUAUUUACUAAUCAAAACAGCAGAACAACUGUGAACAGCCGGUCUUGAUUUGUUCAGCCAGGUCAUAAAAGAGUUAAAUACAAAUAAAGAAAUCAUUGCUGCGCUUUAUUCAUGACUGACUGCAUUCUCCAACUAAAAGGGAUUUAUACUUCAGGUUGAGACACUUCAAACUUUUGGAGGUGUGUUAGCAAACUUCCAGGAAAUAUGAUCAAAUCCAUUGUAGUAUCUACUACCUGCUAUAUCAUCCACAGGAACCGCUGCAGAAAUUUCUCUCAGGUCCUCUUCUGAUAGUUUCACUGCUAAGGCACCAAGGUUUUGAUCCAGAUUCUUAAUCUUCGUUGUUCCUGAGAAAAAAGAAGUCCCCAAUAUUUUCAAGAAUAAAAAAACUGAAAAUAAAAACUUAAAUAAACACUUAGAUGCAUGACUUGUAUAGUGCAUUAUCAGCGCUUAAAAAAGAAUGCAUGACUUGUAUAGUGCAUUAUCAGCACUUAAAAAUUUAGAAGAACCUUCAAUAACCCCAAAUACAUCAGAUAACACUCAUAAUAUAUGAAAUUUAAGGCCACAUAAUGCCAAUAUGUAGCAAACGAAAGUUGUUGAAUAAAUAAGCGAGGAGAUGCUCAAGUGUAUUGAACCCUCCAAAGACUGCAUGGUUAAGGGGUAAACUUGUAAAGUUGUAAUCUAAACCGCACUAGUUAAACAUUGCAUUAUACUCUAUAAUCUUAAGUAUUACAUAAUCGAAAAAUUACAGCAGUCACUUUGCUGUCGGAGACGUAGGAACAAUUGACCAGAUUACGUGAUAAAUCAUUUAUGUUCUUCUGUGCAUUUAUUUAUUUGUUUUCUUUAGAGUUAAGUUUUCUUUUUUAACAAGUGUAUACAUAGUUUUUUGGUGUAAAGACAAGAGUGUACAUAGUUCUACUCUUGAUUGAUCAGUGCACAACGAUAGAAGUAUACAGAGCAUACUAAUUUGUUCAGGCUUCAGAUUAACAAAUAAGACGAAAUCUCAUAUUUCUGAUACUGUUAGGAUACCAGCUAAGAGUAGCUAGCAUCAAAGGUUUUUGCAAUAAUACUAUUUUCGAAAAAAAUAUGCAUAUUUUUCACUUACCGGGAAUAGGCACAACAUCCUUUCCUUGUUGGAGUACCCAUGCUAAUGCUAACUGAGCAGGAGUGCACCCAUGCUUUUUGCCAAGACUUUCGAUCUUAUCAUAUAUGUUUUUGUUCUUGUUCAAGUUCUCAGCUUGGAAGCGGGGAUGAGAAGUCUGAUAAGCGAAAUAUUUAUCAGAAAAUAACAUACACUUUUAAAAAAGGAAAGGGCAUUAAUUUUAUAAAAGACUUUGCAUCAUUUAUGUGAGAAAAAAACAGAUAAGGAUGAUAUUCCCUGUAUCAUUACUCUAGUUUAAAAAAGCAUGCAUUUGUUUGUUUACAAAAUAAGACAACAAACCAACCAAUAUUUAAUACAUGAUUAAGAUUUGAUCAAUUACAUAAAUUAGCAUGUCUUAGUAAUAGUUCAAUUCCAUGGAAAGCAACGGAAACAGACAUAUAAUUUAAGUUCUGAAAUGCUACUAUACCAGGGAGCUAACAGCAGGCACAUUUUCCGUAACCCCUUUGCCACCAAAGAAACCACGACCAAGAGGACUAUAUGGUACAAUUCCAAUACCAAGCUCUCUGUAUCAACAAAAGCUUUAAAUUAGUGAAGUCACAUUUAACACAAACAAGCAACCAGGAGCAAAUGGUUCCUAUUCCUUAACCCUCUUUUCAAGUAACACUUAACCAAUGAACUUGGAGAGGAACUCAAACUAACCUGCAGAGAGGAACUAUCUCCUCCUCAAUGUCGCGAGUCCAAAGAGACCACUCUAUUUGUACAGCAGUGAUGGGAUGAACAGCAUGCGCUCUCCUUAUUGUAUCAGGGCUGGCUUCAGAUAGUCCAAUAUACUUAACUUUUCCCUCUUCCACCAGUUUCUUAAGUUCACCUACCUAUAACACAACAAACUUGUUAACAACACAUCUAGUGAAAUAAGCCAAAUAAUCUUCAAAUUUGAAUUGUCAAUAACUCAACCCUAGAAAACCAGCUUAUCAAGGUAUGGGAGUCUCCCAUUUAUAAUUUGGGACUCUCAACAAAUAAUGUAAGCAUAUAUACGUAACGCGUAGUCGAGUACUAGGAAGAAAUAUCCUUAACUGUAUCCUCAAUAGACACAGAAGUAUCAAUUCUGUGCUGAUAAUAGAGAUCAAUGUAUUCAACAUCGAGACGUUUCAAGCUAGCUUCACAACACGAGCGCACGUACUCAGGUGAACCCUUGAUGGUCACAUCAGCGAGACGAGAAACGUCUCUUCUAGAUAUACCAAAUUUUGUAGCCAACUGGAUCUUUUCUCUGGGCAAUUGCUUUAAUGCCUAGUCAACAAAAUCAAAUUAGCAUAAUAAAGUUUGAAUUGAAUUGAAACAUGAUUAAAUUACCUUUCCAAGUAAAAUUUCAUUAGCACCACUACCUCCAUAGAUAUCAGCAGUAUCAAAAAAAGUAACGCCUUUACUGAAAGCAUAGUUAAUUACGGAAAUACCAUCUUGUUCAGGAAGAGGAUCAUUGUAAGCUCCAGUGAGUCCCAUACACCCGAAACCCAAUUUUGAAACCUGAAAGCCUUGGGUUCCAAGUGGGACCUGAGGAGGAGGAAUUAAUUCAGUUUGUGUUGUGGCCAUUUUGGUUGAAUUGAUGAAUAAUUACAAACUCCUAAUUGCAUUGCACGGACUAUAUAUAUAUAUACGAAGAGCGCAUCCUACUCAUUACGCUUUCUUCGAUUUGUGAGAUAUCGUCACUCGGUAUGUCAGCGGGUGGGUAUAAUUCAUCACUCAGUAUGUCACUAUAUAUAUUUUUUGGCUUGGAAAAGGAAGGAUGACGCCAAAAAAAAAAUAAAAUGUAGCAUGUAUUUUGACUAAAUUUUAAAUCAAAUUUUGCUAAUAUUUUGUAGGCCAAUUAAUUAUUUUUCAUGGUUUUACGAGGUCAGUUAUUUAAUAAAAGAUGAAGAGAAUGAUUUUGAGUGAGAUAGUACUUAUCAUUAACUGAAUGUGCUCUGCUCUAUUCCACUUCCUAUUAAUUAUGCAAUCGUCCUCGUUGAUCACUAAGAAAGAAGUAAUUCAUUCUUUCAACAGUUUAGAUUUUUGGUCACAUGCUGGGUGCGAGUAAAAUAAAUAUUUUGAUCCAAACAAAACACCAAUUUGUUUGUUUUAAUUUUUUAUUUCUAUUAAUUCUUUGAAUUUUUACAUUUCACUCACAUUGCCUCAAAAAAACCAUUUCAUUCACAUUCAUCUAACAUGGAAUCCUAUGAGAAUUUGAUUCAAAUCCCUUAUUAUUAUUUAUGGAAUGAAAACAGCAGAACAAAUGCAAAAGCUCAGUCUUGAUUUUCUCAUCAAGCAUGUCAUAAUUGAGGCAACUACAAAUAUAGAAAUGAUCGCUGUGUUUGCGCCUUAUUCAUGAUCGAGUGCAUUCUCCAACUAAAAGAGAUUUUACUUCAUGUUGAGACCGUUGAAACUUUUGGAGGUGUGUUAGCAAACUUCCAGGAUAAACUAUCCAUUCCAUUGUAGUAUCUACUACCUGCUAUAUCAUCUUCAGGAACUGCAGCAGAAAUUUCCCGCAUGUCCUCUUCUGAUAGUUUCACUGCUAAUGCACCAAGGUUUUGAUCCAGAUUCUCAAUCUUGGUUGUUCCUGAGAACAAAAGAAGUCCAUAAUAUUUUCAAGAAUAAAAAAAAGCUGAAAAUAAAACUAGGUGGAAAGCAUAACAUGCAUGGCUUCUAUAGUACAUUAUCAGCACUUAAAAAUUUAGAAGAACCUUUGGUUAGUAACCUGAGUACAUCAGAUGACACUCUUAAUAUAUGAAAUGCAAGGAAAGUUGUUGAAUAUGACUCAUAUUCACCAAUAAGGGGUAAACUUGUAAUCUGAACCGUACGAUUUAUAACGUUACAUUGUACUCUAUAAUCUGAAGUAUUGCAUAAUCGAAAAACUACAACAAUCACUCUGUUGUCGGAGACGUAGGACCAAUUAACCAAACUAUGUGAUAAAUUGUUUAUGUUCUUGUGUGCAUUUAUUUGUUUUUAUUAUAGUUAGGUUUUCGUAUCUAACAAAAGUGUAUUUUUUGGUGUAAAUACGAGUGUACAUAGUUCUUUUCUUAAUUGAUCAGUACACAACGAUAGAAGAAGUAUAUGGUGCAUUCUUAAUUGUUAGGAUACAUGGUUCUUCUCUUAAUUGUUCAGAUUCACAAAUAAGAGGAAUACUCAUAUUUCUGAUACUGUUAGGAUACCAGUUAAGAGCCUACCAUCAAAGAUUUUUAUGAGAAUACUGUUUUCGAAAAAUUGUGCAUAUUU